GGGCCUGUAUUGCAAACCGAGGCAUGAUAUUCAUUCUUCCAGUAUGUGAAGUAGCAUUCAUUCAUCUAUUUUUGGUUGGAUAAAGGACAUGAUAUUAUUUUUGCAUCUCCGUAAUGGGGUGUCACCUAUGUUUUAGAUUUUAGAAGGGAAUAAUGGUAUAUGCGCUGGUCCACUGCAUGAAAGGACAGAGCUAAGAUGCAUUAAAUCCUACUAUGGCCCCAAUAGACGUAAAGACGACACUUUCCUGUUGUUUCGGUUUCCAUUUUUUUGAUCAGAUUUUUGCUGUGAUUCUCCCAUUAUUUCCAUUUUGCUAAUUUUAUAUCUUUUGGGUAGAUUUGGAAGUUGUUACUGGGACCUGGUUGAGUUAGAGAACAGCAUAGGCUUUUACAAGUCAGGUAUUUCUUUGUAUGAACUAUGAAGCUGUCCAAACAUUUUAGAUGUGCAGAUUAUUCUUUCAUCAAAUUUACUUAUUAAUCAAUAUCUUCUGGUUCUCCACUAUGCUUCUAUGCCGCCUCUAGUCCUGCAUUUUCUCUUUCAAAAAAUGGUAGCCUUUAUUUUAUCAGAGAUUUGUUAAACAUUUCUUUAUCAAGGAUUCUUGUUGCUUUGUCAAGUUGUCAACAAGAAGGCCAUUGGCAUUAAAGAAAUUGAUUGAUCGGGUUCGUAAUUAUUUAAGAUUAUUGGGUGGCCCCGCCUUAAUUUGAAUGAUCUCUUUGCCCUUUUCUGAAGAUUCUGUCCUUUAGGGUGAGUAAUGAUGAAAAAUGCUCUCAUUCCCACGAUAGAGUGGAUACUUCUUUUCAUUUUGGCACAAAAAAUGUACAUUGUUAUUUUUAGAUAUUAUCUCACAACAUUUUUUUUUUUUUAAUCUCUACUUUAAACAUAUAUUUAUAAUUUUACUACACAUGGUUGGCCACAAAUUCCUUACUUUGUUAUCUUACUUAUAACACUCCAAUAAAAAGUGGGUUCAUUCUUCUCCUCGUAAUAUAUUCACCUAAUGUUUAUUAAAAUUCGUGCCACCAAUAAUUAUGCAUAUUUUUAUGGAACAAAGAGAGUAUAUGUUUUUAUAUUUUUUCAGCCUUUUCACAUGUUCCGUAGGAUGAAUUAAUUAAAAAUGAUGAAAAAUAUAUAUUUUUAUGUUUUAUGUUAUAGUUAUGUCACUUAUCUAAAAGAAAUGCAUUUUUACUAUUAUAAAUUAUAUGUCGUUUAUCAUAGACUGUAGUCAAUGAGAUUAAUAAUAAAAAUCAUUAUUUAGAGUAAGUUCCUAUAAAAGCACCUUUUUUUUCAACCAUUAUAAUGUUGAUUGGUUCCCAUUUUGAUACUAUACUUUCAGUACGGUGUAGGGUGCAGGCUUGAGUUUUAAUAAGUAGUUGAGAGAGAUGUAUAAAAUGAUGAUAUAGAUCAUUAAAGUUGAUUUCUUAGAAAAUUAAUAAAAUAAUUUGUUAGAUGAAUUUUAUUUGUACAUUAUUGAAUAUGAAUAAAGUUUAAAAUAUAAAUACGUAUCAAAAUGAAAAACAUCAUACUUAUUGGUGACGAACCAAAAUAGCUAGAAAGACCACAUUUUUUGGUGGACGAGUGAGUAUAUAAGACUAUCUUUAUCAAUAAUCCUCAUCAACCCAACUUUUUAAUAGAAAAACAUUUCUUUCUCUUCCACAUAUACAACCUAUAAUUCAAUUCAAUUUUAUAACUUUUUUACUUUAUCAAUAACCCACACCAACCUAAAUAUAAUUUAUUCUUUUAUUAUUUUUUAUUAUACUUUUUGAUGACAAAAUGCCAAAUGGCAUAACCUCAUUUGACAAAUGAGGUUAUUAAAUAAGUCGGUCAUUGCCCAAAAACUUACAACCAGUUAUGCGGUUUAGAAUAUUUUAUUAUUACUUUUGCAAUCAAACAUUUUGUCUUAUAUAAUGAUCGGUCGGUGAGGUCAUUAGUAAAUGUAGUCUAAUAGGAAAAUGGAUUGAAGCUCUCUCCUUAAUUUAGGAUCCUAGAAUGACAUCUCCAUAAUUCUUUAUUUUUAUUUAUCUAAAUUCUUCAUUUAUAUUUUUUUAAUUAUAUAUUUUAUGUCUAAUAAUAAUUAUAUUAUUAUAAUUUAAUCUUUUCAAAAUUCAUAAAAUCCAUAAUUUAGCUUAAUUAUAUGAUUACAAUAAAUCCAAAUGUUGAACCAGCCAAAUAUGAAAACUUAUAUCUCCAAUUAAAUACUCCAUCUAUUCCGUAAGAGAGUAUCACUUUGGGGCUUUUGAGAGAUGACACAAGUUUUUAAAAAUGUUGGUAGAUAAUAUAUGAAAUAGAAAAAGACCAAUUACUUUUUAGAAAAAAGUGAUAAGUGUGAGGUCAUGUCCCAAAAUAAAAUUUUGAACCAAUCCGAUGAUGGGCUCGCUUCUUUCUCUGAAGGCUCCAAUAUUUUUUCUCCGAGCUCUCUUCCAACUCCGGCAAACCCACCGCCCGUUGUUGAAGCCGAAGAAGUGAAGCCAAAGUCUUCGAAGCACCGCAUUGGGUACAUGAGUGCCGAGACAGAGCUCAUAUGCAUGUUGUGGGUGGAGGCUACCCACAACUCAAUAUUGGGAGAUGGUAUAAAAGCUACUCAAUAUUGGAGAGGUGUCACUGAGAGAUUCAACGCCAAUAAACCCGAGCGAGCUCCUAUUCGUGAGAACAUGCAUAUCAAAUCUCACUUUCAACACAUUCAAAAGGACGUUAAACUGUGGGAAGCGAUAUACGACAAAUGCAAAGCUAGUUGGGGUAGUGGAAUGAGUGACGAGAAAAUCACUCAACAUGCGCAAAAAAUCAAUGAGGCCAACAAUGGCUCCCAAUUUAGGCAUUUCAAAAGCAUGGAUGAUCUUGCGCGAAUGUCAGCGAUUUGCAUCUCAGGGCGAGGAUGUGCACUCCCCCAAGAAGUCAAAAAGCUCUGAGGGACAGGCCACAACAUCUUCGGAGCCAAGUAUGACGACGAGGACCCAAGGCCAGAAAGCGGCGAAGCGCGAUAAAGGUAAAGGGAAGAAAGUGGAAUCAUCGCCGAAGCAAAAGCUAAAAUGACCGAACCAAAAAUCAAAAAAGUCAAGAUGAGAAGAGAGGAGUUCGAUUUCAAAAUCUUCAACACGAACACUUCAAGGAUGUCAGAGGCUCAAUUGGCAUGGCACCAGAAUAUGGUCCAAUAAAUGCUCAUGCGUAGAGGAUUCAUGUAGUCUAGGGUUUUUUUUUUUAAUUGUAAUUUUUUAAAAUUAUUUAAAUUAAUAAUUUUUUAUUUUAAUUAAUGUAAUAUUGAAUUUUUAAUUUUAAUGAAAUAUUAAAUUUUUAAAUAGAAGAGAAAAAAUGAGAUUAAAUGGAAAUGAAGAUUAUAGCGUCUCUUAUAGAGUCAAUGCACUUGAGAUGGGAGGUGCUAAGGUGAGGAUCACAAAAAAGGACCUCCCUUUAACGCCUUCUACUGGAGAUGCUCUAAUAAUAUUAUUCCCUCCGUAUCAUAACAAGUGUUCUAGUUUCUUUGUAUUUAAUAAAUAAACUAUGACACUUGUCAUGGGACGGAGGGAGUAGUAUAUUAGUUUUAAAAAAUAUUACUAUCACUUUGAUAUUUACAAUAAGGGGUUAAUUACGCCAAAAACCAUGAACUAUACCCCAAUUUCCAACUUUUCCAUGAUUUUUUUUUUUAAAUCAAAAAUUCCCUGAACUUAAUGUGUUGAACAAUUUUUCCAUAACUUUCAAGAAUCCCCAAAUUCAUAGCUGACAUGGCAUGUUUUAAGUGACCGGAUAUAUGAUAUGGCAUCGCCGGCGGAGAAUUGAAACGACGUCAUUUAAUUGGAGGUAAACGACGUCGUUUAACAUCAGCCCCCCUUUCUGAGCCCUAAUUUCGGCGGAGGCGAAGGCGGAGGAAAUCGGCGGAGGCGAAGGCGGAGGAUCAGUGCCGGAGAUGCAGUGCAACGGCGUGCUGGUUUGCAGCAACGACCUCGCGCGGUGCUGGUUUGCAAUUGCCCGUUCUCGUGCGGCGCCGGACGCUAACCUUAUCGCAACAAUUGAUGUCUCUUCGAUUUUGGAUAGAGGGGUGGAUCUGAGGGGUGGGCGGCGGCAAGGGCACCUGAUCUGGUGCGGCGGCGGGUGGAAGGAGGUGAAAUUAGGGUUUGGGGGUGGGGAAAACGGGGGAGACGAAAUUAAGGUUGGGGCGCCGGAUCUGCUUUUGCCCUCUCUCUUUCCUCCUUUCUCGCUCUCUCGGUCGGACGACCAUCGACGAAGAGCCAACGCCGCUCUAUUAUGCUCUGCUUUGCUCUACUAUACUCUACUCCGCUCUACUCUUCUAUACUCUGCUCUGAUCUACUCUGUUCUGCUAUACUCUACUCUGCUCUGCCCUCGGACGACCAUCGGCGAAGAGCCAACGUCGCUCUAUUCUGCUCUACUCUUCUAUACUCUGCUCUGAUCUACUCUGUUAUGCUCUACUCUACUCUGCUCUGCCCUGCUGUAAACCCUAUCCCCUCUCCUCGAAGUCCGGCGACUGCACAGCCAUAGGGUUGUCGCCGCAAAGCUCCAGAUCCCCCACCUUCUUACGCCUCAUCUGCGCUUCGAUUGGACAAUAACCUGACCACCACCGUGCAAACGAAGAGAAUACAUGUGUAAUUGUUUCUGACAUGGAGGAGGAGUUCGUCGAACAUGGAGGAGAGGCGGCGGUAGGCGGUGGAGAGAGAGGGGGCGGCGGAUCUGGUGGGGCGGUGGUGUUCGCCGGACAUGGAAGGGGGGAAGAGAAAGAGAAUAAUUUUUUGUUUUUUGUUUGUUUUUUUUUUUCAAGUGUCAAUUUUUAGUCCAAAUAGACGCCACGUUAGCUCGAUAUUACCACGUAGGCGACAAGUCAGCCCGGAGCUUCACCGGGGAAAAAAGUAUGGAAAAAUUGUUCAACACAUUAAGUUCAGGAAUUUUUGAUAAAAAAAAAAAUAUGGAAAAAUUGAAAAUUGGGGUAUAGUUAUGCGUAAUUAAUUCUAUUAAUUCUAAAAUAAGCAAAUAAUUAAGUGUCGGUAUGCAAUUAAGAAACAAUUAUCACUACGCCUAUCAUAUUAGACAAUUAAUGACACCUAUCAAUUCUGGACUUAAAUUCCUCUAGCCUGAUGGCUGAGUGAUUACCUAUCAUUUUAUGCCAUAAUUAAUCAUACCUUCUUUUUCAUUUUUUUUCUUUUUUGAGUGGAUUGUAAAGGUCAAACCGGUCUUUUCUUUUUUCAUUUAGGACAACACGGUUUGAAUUUUUGACCAAAAUAAAAUUUGUAUAUUUACUUAAGUUUUUUUUUGAGACAAAAGUUUCUGUUACUUGGUUGUUAUUACAAUUUAUAACGAAAAAUCAAAGACAUUAAUAGUCGAUGUAUUAUAGUUUUAAUAAGAAGAAAAUGAUAACAAAGACGUAAAUAAACAACAUUAAUAGUUUCUCUCUCUACAUUCACUCUUCCGACUUCCGAUCCAGAGAGAGGGAGAGAGAUUCCAUCAUCAGCGAUUAACGGCAAAAUCUAGAGAGAGAGAGAGAGAGAGGUGGGGAGAAUUGAUUACUUGCUUUGCUGUGAUGAUUUAGUUGAUGCAUUGUUCUCACAUUUACGUUAAUUCAUUUAUUUCAUUCGUUGAUUUGCUUAAGCUAGAUACAUAUAGAACACGGAAAUCGGGAAAGCAAUCGGAAACCCUAGGGCUAGUGGGAUUGGGCGGGAUUUUGUUAGAAUCGAGGAGUUCACAGCUGGAGGGAAGAUCGAGAUCAUUGAAUUGCCGCGGUGGCGGAUCUGAUGGUGAGAAGCGCUUUAUUGAUUUCGAAGAAUUAUUUGGACCUUGUACGUUUGAAGAAUAUUAGGAUUGAUUGUAUCGGUGGCGGCGCAAGUGGUGGUGCCUGUGGUAAUUCUUUGAAUUUUGGGAGGUUAAAAGGAGGGAAUAGGAGGAUACUGGUGGAGAGGGGCGGCGGUGCAGGAAGAUGCAGCUGCACUUCUCACCUAGCAUGAGAAGUAUAACGAUAUCGUCGAGCAACGGUGUAGGAAAUGGAAAUGGAGGUGGAGAUUUGAUGAAGAUCAAGGUCGCAGCUCGCCACAUUUCGUACCGCACGCUGUUCCACAGCAUUCUGAUUCUUGCGUUUUUGUUGCCAUUUGUGUUCAUUCUAACAGCUCUUGUCACCCUUGAAGGUGUCAACAAGUGUUCGUCAAUUGGUACGUUGUGAGAUUCUCCUUCUCCUUGGCUCUUCGAUUGAUAUCAUGAUUUAAUUAUUGCCUUAUUGGUUUUGUUUACUUUAGAUAAUUAUGAUGUUAUUUCAAUCUAAAUUAUUAUUCGGUAUUAUGCAUGUGGUAUGGGGCAUUACUGUGUUUCUAGCUUCUAAAGUUGUGUAGAAUGAUGUGAGACCUGAAUUAUGAUUCUCCUGUUGGCUGUGAUUCUCAACCUUAUGGUAGAUAAAUUAAAAUUGUUGUGUUAAAAAAGACUUGUUAUAUCAAUAUGUACAUGGGGAUGGUCGAACAUUCUGCCUGUGUUUGCUGUUUUUAUUCAGUUCUGUUGUUGUGGGUGCUUGCGUCAAACAAUUUUUUUUCCCUUUCUGUAUUAGGUGUUUGAUAUUGUUAAGCUAAUCUGCUAAAUAUCCUUUCCUGUGUUUGUAAAUCUGCUAAAUAUCUUUUUCAUCCACUAUUGAAAUGCACCCCUUUAUGCUUCUGUACAACUUUGAUCUAGAGAUAGUGUGGUGAUCACCUUUAUGGAAAGUUUCCAGGUUUGCUCUUCCUAGAUGUCUAAAGAAGGAACAGGAUGGCUUAACCCCAUCUUGGAUAAAUUCUAACUUGGCCCUUCACUUGAGAAGCACUAUAAUUUUUUUAAUCCAUGCAGUGAAAUUCCUCCAACUAAAAAUCAUUUCUAUACAACACAACUUGUAGACAAUUCUGUUAAGACUGCUUCAAGUUCUUCCUUUUCUGUUUGUUCUUUUGGACAAAUGUCGUUGAUCUCCUUAAGGCAUUUUAAUGUGAAUAUGCAAGUUUUCGUUUUUUAUCCAAAAUCCUGAAUAUAUGUGUUCUCAAAUUUUAUUUUCUAUUGCUUUCAGAUUGUUUAGGACGUCGGUUAGGACCGAAGCUUCUUGGUAGAUCCACUGAUUCCGGGGUAUGAUUCGUAUAUUCAUAUGGUUAAUUUAUCAAUCAUAAAAAGCAAGCUAAAACUUUGUCGUUGUUGUUGUAAUGACAGAAGCUGGUGAAGGACUUUGUUAAGAUUUUGAAUCAAGUAAACUCUGAGAAAGUCCCUGACACCUUGAAGAUCCCAGACUCUUAUAAUCAGCUCCUUUCUGAAAUGAAAAACAACAAGUAUAGUUCAAAGGACUUUGCCCUGAUUCUGAAAGGAAUGGUAUGUAUUUGUGUAUUGCAUUUUUUUCACAGUUUCAUACUAUUUGUGGUUAGCAAAUAAUAUAUGCAUUAGAAAAAUGUCUUUUUUUCUAUGAAGUUACGUUCCUGAACCACUUAACACAGUUCUUUAUUUUACCAUGCAUUUCAUUCAAGAGAUUAUAUAAUCUCUGUAUGCUCCACUACUUUUUUGGAUUUUCCCAAGUGACCUUGGUUGCAAACAAUUAUAUUUAGUUUUAAAAUUGUCUUUUCUCGUAACAGAUGGAGAGAUCUGAAAGGGAUAUAAGGCAGUCCAGGUUUGCUGAGCUUAUGAAUAAACACUUUGCAGCUAGUGCCAUCCCGAAGAGCAUUCAUUGCCUUUCAUUGAGGCUGACUGAUGAGUAUUCUUCCAAUGCUCAUGCCCGCAGACAGUUACCUUCUCCGGAGUUACUUCCUUUGCUCUCUGACAACUCCUACCAUCACUUUGUGUUAUCCACAGACAAUAUUCUUGCUGCUGCUGUUGUUGUCACAUCUGCUGUACAGACUUCUGCAAACCCUGAAAAGAUAGUUUUCCAUGUCAUAACUGACAAGAAAACUUAUGCUGGCAUGCAUUCAUGGUUUGCCCUGCAUCCUUUGCCUCCUGCUAUAGUUGAAGUAAAAGGUGUGCAUCAAUUUGAUUGGUUAACAAGAGAGAAUGUUCCAAUUCUUGAAGUUGUGGAGAACCACAAUGGUAUUAGGAAUUACUACCAUGGGAAUCAUAUUGCCGGGGCCAAUCUUAGUGAUACGACUCCACGAACAUUUGCUUCCAAAUUACAAGCUAGGAGUCCAAAGUAUAUCUCAUUGCUUAACCAUCUUCGUAUAUAUCUCCCAGAGGUAAUUGUUUGCGCUUGAACAUACAGAUGUUCCAUAUUUUAUGUUUAUAUUGUAUUUAUUUUACAAUAGGAAUGUCAUACACCAAAAUGAUGGUAUGCCAUUGGACUAACUGCUAUCUGUUUUCAUCAUCUGCACUUGUCUGCUUAUGUGCCUAAAUAUAUGUGAUUCUGGGUGACAUAUUUGAAAUGAAAAGCCCUGACUUAGCCCAGGGGUGAGGAUCAAACUUCACAUACAAUCAUUUUUGAGAAAAUUGAGACAAUUAAUCUUGUUCCUUUGCUUGAAGCUUAUCAUUUUGAUCCCUUCAUUGCACUCUGGUCAAAUAAAUGCUCAUAUCAUUUUAAUUACUUCAAUCUUCGUAUGCUUAUGUUUUAACCAAAUUUAGUACUCCUACUACUCAUUUCUUCAGUGGUCUAUUGUCCUUGUUCUCUUUAUUGAACAUUCAGGUUCUUGGUGAAUAGAUUGAUUUGUGGGAUCCAUGAUUUAGUACAUACAAUGUCAAAUAAAAAUAAUUGGAGCAUGGCAUUGGCGUUGUGUUGCCUAAAUGAGUAUGCUUUUUUCUGGGACAUCAGGGAUGCGCUUUGUUUCUCACUCUGGCUAUUUUGUAUCUUUAAAUUAUGGAUGGGAUUGAAAGUUGGUUCCAGCAUUCUUUUCUUUCAUUAAAAAAAUCUUAAGAUUCACAGCAGACAGUAAUAUUUGCUAUGAUUUGCAGCUAUUCCCGAACCUAGAUAAAGUGGUUUUCCUGGAUGAUGAUGUUGUAAUUCAACGAGAUCUGGCUCCUCUCUGGGAAAUUGACCUUAAUGGAAAAGUUAAUGGAGCUGUUGAAACUUGUAAAGGUGAAGAUGAGUGGGUUAUGUCUAAGCGAGUCAGGAACUAUUUCAACUUCUCUCAUCCACUUAUAGCAAAGAACUUGGAUCCUGAUGAAUGUGCAUGGGCAUAUGGGAUGAAUAUUUUUGACUUGCAUCAAUGGAGAAAGACAAAUAUUAGAGAUACUUAUCACACCUGGCUUAAAGAGGUACACUAAAAUUUCCAUACAAUUUAAGUUAUUUCUCGUAUCAUCUGUUUUUGCCGCUUAGUUUGAUUAAUGGAAGAGGAUUGCUUUUGCAAGCAAGUUCCAAGUCUUUACUUUAGCUGCUGGAGCACCAGAUCUUCUACACACUUUGAAACUUAAGACAUAAUGAUAUUAAAUAAACCGCAUAGAAAUUUAAAUCCCUCACAAAUGGAAGCUCAUUUCUUAUGUCCACGUAUCUAUAAUCCCUAUGGCUGAGCUCUUCCCAUUCUUGAAAAAGAUAAAGUUGGAUGGUUUAUCCAUGAGCGUUUUUUUCAUUAUGUCAUUCAUUUGCCCCUAUUACUUCCAGACUUCGGCGUUUUCCUGAAAAUAAUCAUAUUAAUAAUAGUAAUGAUUUUCUGCUAUAAUAAAAUUGAGAUCGUCCAGUCUUGUUUGUUACAACUAGGACUGAUGCUGAUAAUUAUAGGAUAUCAGUGUGAUAUAUUUCAUAUGUUGAUCUUAAAUUUCUAAAAUUAAGAUUAAACAUAUGCUAUAAAGUCUGGAGAUGUAGCUCAAAUGGCAAAACAAUUGAAUCAAGAUUAAAAAAUAAAAUCAAAUGCUGCUGUGUCCGCUGGAGGUGGGUGAAUAGGUUAAUGGCAGCUGAGAGAAGGGGCUGGUUAUGUCUAGCGUAGCUCAUUAACAGCAUUUUAGAAGAAAAUUUAUUUAGAAUUUCUGUUUUGGCUAUAAACUCCCAUUACUUCAGCAUGAGGUGAAGAGUUUCUGUAAUAUGCUCUUCUAAUGUGGGUGCUGUGAAUUACAGAAUCUGAAGUCAAACCUCACGUUGUGGAAACUUGGAACCCUGCCCCCAGCUUUGAUUGCAUUUAAGGGUCAUGUUCAUCCAAUUGAUCCUUCCUGGCACAUGCUUGGGUUGGGCUAUCAGAAUAAGACGAAUAUUGAAAAUGUGAAAAAGGCAGCCGUGAUCCACUACAAUGGCCAGUCAAAACCUUGGUUGGAGAUUGGAUUUGAGCAUCUCCGACCAUUCUGGACAAAAUACGUGAACUACUCUAGUGAUUUCAUAAGGAACUGCCACAUCUUGGAGUAGUAAUGAGUCUAAUGACACCAGACAUGCACCGAGGAAAUCAUGGGACAAAGACAGAGGCAUUAUGGAUUAUAUACUCAAAGUCUUUUGGCAGGUAAUAUUUAUCAAUCUUGAUUAAGUAAGAAACUGGGGAUUUAGGUGAAUCUCAGAACACAUUCAGCAAUGUGGCCAGACAUGAAACCUUCGUUUUGUUGGAUUUGCCCCAACCCUUGAAGAAGAAGACCUGUAUUGCAGACCAAGGCAUGAGAUUCGUUCUUCCAGUAUGUAAAGUAGCAUUCAUUCAUAUAUUUUUGGUCGGAUAGAGGGCAUGAUAUUAUUUUUGCAUCUCCGUAAUGGGGUGUCACCUAUGUUUUAGAUAUUAGAAGGGAAUAAUGGUAUAUGCGCUGGUCCACUGCAUGAGAGGACAGAGCUAAGAUGCAUUAAAUCUUAAGGCUCAUACUAUGGCCCCAAUAGACGUAAAGACGACACUUUCCUCUUGUCUCAGUUUCCAUUUUUUUGUUCAGAUUUUUGCUGUGAUUCUCCCAUUAUUUCCAUUUUGCUAAUUUUAUAUCUUUUGGGUAGAUUUGGAAGUUGUUACUGGGACCUGGUUGAGUUAGAGAACAGCAUAGGCUUUUAAAAGGCAGGUAUUUUCUUUGUAUGAACUAUGAAGCUGUCCAAACAUUUUAGAUAUGCAGAUUAUUCUUUCAUCAAAUUUUGCCUGUUAAUUAUCAUAUGCUUAUAUGCCGCCUUUAGUCCUUGCAUUUUCUUUCUUUCAAGACAUAGGAGCCUUUGUUUUAUCGAAGAUUUGUUAAACAUUUCUUUAUCAAGCAUUCUUGUUGCAGUGUUUGUCCAGUUGUCAACAAGAAGGCCACUGGCAUUAAAGAAUUUGAUUGAUCUGAUUCGUAAUUAUUUAAUUAUUGGGUGGCCCUCGCCUUAAUUUGUUUUUUUCCUAAAGAUUCUGUUCUUUUAUAGUUAAAUGAUUAUCGCCACCUGGUUGGGUUAAUUGGUUGAAUAUUUUGGUUCCGAUUUAGAUAUUAUUCUAAGAAGAUUUUUUUUUUCUUGGACUAGAUGGCGAGCUUCUGAAUUGGGAACUGGUAGUUCCAAUGCUUUUCGAAUAUUACCAUUCUCGGCCAUCACUAUAAUCAUUCAAUUUCUUUAAUAUUUAAUUGAUUUAUCUUGUUUUCACAUCAUCAAUAUUCAUUCAAAUUUAACCAUACUCAUUUGGAGAGAUUUAUUUUAUUCAUAAUCACUCCAAUUCUAACUACAAUAUUUUGUAUAAGUAUAUUUUUUAAGCAUAAGAAUUAUAUAUGAAAAAUAAAAUAAAGAAUUAUAACUAUAACAAAAAAUGUUAAAAUGCCAAUAAGUAAAAUUGAGCAAUAAACAUAAAAUAUAUUAUUAUCAAGAAAUCUCAAACUAAAUUAAUAAUACAACAAUACGAAAUUACAAAUAAAUUAAUUGUUCUUCAAACAGAUCUUCGGAAAAAUUACACAUUCAAUUUUUACAACUAAAUUAUUUUGCGUGUGUAGAGAAAUUAAAAUUAUGAAUUUUGAUAUAUACUCCCUCCGUCCCAAUUUUUAGUAUCCAAUUGAGAGUGACACGAGUUUUAAUAAAAUAAUUAGGUAUAUUGUGAGUGGAAUAAGGGUAUCACCUUUUAUGUGAAUGUUAAAAUAAUUAAAGUAAAGUAAAUGUCUCACUUACCUUUACCAAAAAUAGAAAUGGAUACAAAAAUAUGGGACAUCCAAAAAUGAAAAUAUUGAUACUAAAAAUUGGGACAAAUGGACUAAUAUAUCACAAAAAUUCAUGUGAAACCGAUUUUACGGUGAAAUCGGCUUCACAAUGACACUACGUCAACAUACAAAUAACACUACUUCAACAUACAAAAAGUGUUAUUUGUAUGUUGAAGUAGUGUCAUUGUGAAGCUGGUUUCACCAUGAAAUCAGUUUUUACAAAAGACCACCUCCAUAUAUAUAGGGUUAGGUUAUAAUGAGAUUGUUAUUUUGCGUGAAAUGUGAGAUUAAUGAAUAAGUCAGUAUAUAGUGAUGAAUGAGAUAGUAUAUAGUGUUGAAUAUCAAUAUUCAAAAAAUAAGUAAAAUUUUUGCUCACUCUUGGAUUCGAACCCAGGUAAAAAAAAUUCUCUCUAGACAAAUAUCAGCCAUAGAAUUCAUUAAAUCAACACAUAUAGAUCAAUCUAAAAUCUCAUCAUAUUGGAGUUUGAGAUAUCUUAUUGGAACCAUUCCAUAUAUAUAUAUAUAUAUAGGGUGUGGUUCUAGAGAGAACUACAUUAUUUGUGAGAACGGGAGAACCAUCAAAUCUAAUGCAUCCACUGUAAAAAUUAAUGCAUUCGCUGUUAAAAUUAAUGCACAAAUUUUUUUUUUAAAAAAAUGCUCCCUUCAGGAUUCGAACCCAGGAUCUGCAUUCAUCCAACAAGAUGAUGCAUCCACCGUAGAUCUUGAUGAUCGAAUGGCUGAGAAAUCGAAUCCAAGAUCUGCAUUCAUCCAACAAGAUCUUGAACCUCUCCCUAUAUAUUCAUCUAACAAGAUGAUGCAUCCACCGUAAAUCUUGAUGAUCGAAUGGCUGAAAAUGGUUAUCCGGUCUUUUUUAUUAGUGGUUCUUUCUUGAACCUCUCCUAUAUAUAUAUAUAGGGGGCGGUUAUUCAAUAAACCACCUUAUUUUAAGAAUUACGAACCAGCAAAAAUGCAUGAAUUUUAUGUAUAACACGCAUGAAUAAACUGUAUAAAGGCAUGAAUUGCGAAAAAUAAAUUUUUUGCUACCUUUGAGAUUCGAACUCAGGACCAUGAAUUUAUCCAACAAGGUGAUGAAUCAACCGUAGAUCUUGAUGAUCUAAGGGCUUAAAAUGGUUCCUAAUUUAUUAUUUUAAGUAAGCGUUCUUAUUUUAGUCCUUCCCCUAUAUAUAUAUAUAUAUAUGUUGCUCCUUCUGUCCCAUUAAUCUUUCAUGUUUUUCUUUAUAGGUUGUCCCAUUAAUCUUGUCAUGUUUCUAUAUUUGAUAAUGAUUUUACACAACAAACAAUAUGACUGCACAUUUUUAUACACUUUUACUAUAAAAUUAUACUCUCCUUAAUAAUUGUGUCCAAAAGAAAUUAAUGAGACAAGUCUAAUGGGACGGAGGAAGUAUUAUUUAAAAUAUGAAUAAUAUAUCAUAGAGAAAUAUCUAAAGAGAAUAACUGAAUUUGCUAAAAACACUUCUUUUAUAUAUUUCUUAAUCUUUCAAAAAUCCAAUAAAUAAGUAUUAUAUGCCUUCCUAUCUUAAAUUGGGUCCUAAAAAACCUCUUUUAUCUUAAACUGGGUCCAAAAAACAAUUACUACCUCUCUCUCUCUCUCUCUAAAUUUACCGUACGUAUAUAAUGCUUUGAUGUUGAGAAAAGAGAUACGUCUGAGUCAGCUGAUCCGAUUCGCCCUCAUUUUCCACCCCACACGAUCCGAUGUCGUUUUGCGGAAAUAUACAUGCAAAUGUAUUUUUGCAACUUACCACUAAAAUCAUUUUUUUAAAUGACGAUUUUAUAUAAAGAAAAGAAAUACCACUAAAAUCAUUAUUUUGAUAUCUACUUUUCAUUUAAUCCAGACGGUAUUAACGCUGAACCGUUCAAGUUGGAAGUGGUCCAUCCACAUGUUUGGUAUUCACAUAUUGCAACCUUUCAGCACAGUUAAAAGUCACGUUUCCUUUGCAUACAUAUGUACUCUAGUCUACAAGGAUACAAUAUAGAUCAUGUUUCGAUUCCACCUUCCAAUUGAAUUUUUGUUUUUUUUUUUUACCCGUCAUAGUUAAGGUUUGCAAAAUCAAUUACGUCAAGUAUGAUUGCAAAUUCAUUACGUAUGAAAAACUGAGAUAAAAUAAUUAGAGUGAGAAGGAAAAGAGAAUAGCAUGUCUCAAUGAUGAAGAGUUUAUUUCUGCUCGAUCGAUCUUGUAAUAGCUUUGGCCGGUGGUAGUAAAUUUUUUAUUGAUCUAUCGUGAACGUAUAUCUUUAAAAUUAAACUAUGUAAAAUAUCACGUAUGUUGUUAUUUAUUAUUUUUUUCAUUGUAUUGAUUUUACUGUCAUCAAGCGAUUUUCUGAAUAAAUCCAAAUCUAACUAACUUAUUGUUCGUUACUCACUAUAUCCACAAAAAAAUAUGCUACACCGAAGACGACACUAAUCUUAAUAAAAUAUUAGUAGAAUUGAUAGCAGAGCAAGAGUCUCACUUUAAACGUGAGUGAAGUUGUGUGCACUCUUGAUGUGUGUAUUUUAGUUGUUCAUAUUUUUGGAUUAUUUUGUACUUGAAUUGAAUUUAAUAUUCACAUUGAUGUGAUUUUUGGUGCAGGAAUUAAAGAGAUUGAUAUUGAUGAAGUCGAGAGAAGAAUGAAAUAGAAAGGAAGCAAUUUUUUAUGCAAAUUUAGAAGAUGCCAUGAGAUGAAGAUUAUAAGCUGGCGAUGAAGAAGCUUAUUUUGAGCAAAGAAGAUAAUUAUUAUUUGAGUGGAUGAUUUAUUAUUUAAUUAAUAUAAGUAAUCCACAAUUGUCGAAAGUGGGCUGGUACUUUGAUUGAUUUUUAUUAUUUGGCCCAUAUUGAUGCAUGGCUGCUAGAUUGAAGAAGUUUAUUAUUUUGCAAAGAGAAAACACAUUAGAUAUAGACUAGCAGUAGGCUUUGGGAUCAAGGAAUCACUUUUUGGAAUUAGAGACUUGGUGGGGGAACUUGGGAAGUCAGAUGAGAAUUAAUUGCGAAUGGGAAUUGGAGAUUGACGGCUGCAGGAGACCUUGUUCUUGGUUUUAUUUUAAUUUCAUAGUUAGACUGAUUCGUUGAUUUUCAAGAUUUCGGUUCUUUCAAUUCUUAGAUUUUUUAUUAUGUUUUAUAUUUAUUUUAUUGUGUUUAAUUUCAAUAGUAUGAAUAGCUAAUUUCUUGUUCAGUGAGGCCUACAAGGCUUUUUGUUUUGAGGCAAGACCUACCGAUAUCCACAGAGAAGAGUAGAAGGAAUGGUCAUCGAUCUGGAAAGCUCCUGCCCUCUUCAAUGCAAUAACUACAUCUUGGAAAGUUUUAAAAGGGAGGUUGGCUACUUGUGACGAGCUUCAAAAACGGCAGAUGGCCAUUCAAAACUCGGAGGCUUUUUGUGUUUUUUGCAAGUUGAAAUCAGAAUCCAUUGAUCAUCUCUUCUUUGAUUGUCAAAAAAUCGAUGAAGUUUGGAAAUACAUUUUACUAUGGCUUGUUAAACAGAAAGCAAACCAUCAUAAGGCGAAAGAACACCUCCUAGCUUUCAUAAAUCUAGGAAACAAGGAGGAUAAACUAUUUUUUCUUGGAGUCUGGAUUUGCACGAUUUGAUGCUUGGAAAGGGAGCAAUGACUGCAAGUUCAACCAAGGAACGUGAAGUAGAGAGAGAAUGCUUGCUGAGAUCAAGACGAGGCUUUGGGGGUGGAAGCUGGCUUUCAACAUGUCGACUUCGUCAACAGAUUUCAAACGGUGGUUCUCGGCGGUAAAGUUGUUUGGCUAACUUUUGUUUAGAAUUGAUCUUCUUUCCCCUUCACUUUCUCACUCUGUUCUCUUCAAAUUCUGGGUACUUCUGGUACCCGCUAAUAAUAAUUUUUUUNCCUUUGUCUGAUCAAAAAAAAANUUGAUUCAAUUGGAUUUUGAUUUGUUCCCUGAACAGAGUGUUUUAAUCUGAUUUUCUUGAGCCUCAUCACCUUAGGUUAAUUCAGAUUAGUGUCAAUUGGUUCCUUCAAUCCGUAAUUGUUGGAAUCGGGCUAAUUAGUGACGAAGCUAUCAUAUCGGUAGUAAAGAAUAAAUUGGUAAACGAGUUAUUACUUGAGUUUCUUGGAUAAUUUGUCUAAAUAGGGUUCCUUCAUCAUAAUGCUAUUGAAAUAUUAAAUCUAGGUCUGACAUCUACAGCUAGGUUGUGUUUUAAUAAGGAAAAUAGUUAGGUCUAGCGUCUACAACUAACUAUCGAUAAAGUAAGUGGAAUUGGGGUACGUCCGCUGCAUUCACGGUAUCCUAUAACUGGUUGGUCCAUGAGAAUUAAUUUAUCUUUGCGUCUAUGAUCAGAGUAGUGACUAGUGUGGAUUUAUUUGAAACUGAAUCCGUUUUAUUCUUGAUUUAUCACUUAUUUGCUAUUUUAGUUAUUUUUCUUAGUUUAUAAUCAAUCUCUUCAAUUUAAGGCGGGGUGGCUACACAAAACAUAAUCUUUAGGAAUUUGAAUGUUUUUACCCGUUCUCUGUGGUUCGAUCCUACUUAUUCCUAUACUCAUUUAAUUAUUAGUAAGAUUGCAGAAAUUAUUUGAUGGUAGAUGACGACCACCAAUUCUAUUAAUAUAAAUGAAAGUGACAUUUUUUUAUGAACAAACCGAAAAAAAUAAUUGACAAAUUUUUCAUGAACACAGGGAGUAUUAUUCCUUCAUGGAGAUGAUUCUUAUUGAAAUCUCAAACUUUUAGAUCUAGUCCCCAUUUUUUGAGCAUUUGAAUAAUGUCUUCAUAUUUUGAAUUGUAGUAAAUUUAUUUCUCUUUUUUUGCAUAGGAAUAGAAUUGAGAGUUAGAAAUAUAGGAAUUUCAUUUUUAUUAUAGUAAAUCUAAAUAUAAAUCGCACAUUGUGUGUAUGUGACGCACUAAGAACGUGAUAUAUAGUAGAGACAUUCCAAGAUUUUUCAAGGAAAAAUACAUAAAUGGAUAAAAUAUGAAAUAUUAAUUUUGGGUAUUAUAUUAUAGGGGAAGGUUAAAAUAAAAACGCUUAUUAAAAUAUAAAUUAGGAACCAUGUUCAGCCCUUAGAUCAUCAAGAUUUACGGUUGAUUCAUCACCUUGUUGGAUAAAUUCAUGGUCCUGAGUUCGAAUCCCAAAGGUAGCAAAAAAAUUAUUUUUCGCAAUUCAUACCUUUAUACAGUUUAUUCAUGCGUGUUAUACAUAAAAUUCAUGCAUUUUUGCUGGUUCGUAAUUCCUAAAAUAAUGGUGGUUUAUUGAAUAACCGCCCCCCCUUAUAUAUAUAUAUAUAUAUAUAUAUAUAUAUAUAUAUAUAUAUAUAUAUGUGUGUGUGUGUGUGUGUUGUUUUUUUUUUGCACCGCUCGCUAAAAUAUGCAAAUAGUUAAAUACAAAUAUGUGUGUUGUUACAUAUAGAUAUGCAUGAUGUUACCAUAUAGACAAUUCUUAAUUUAUUACCUAACGGAUCGCCUAGUGCAAUGUAUAUUUAUGUGCAACGUUAUGCAUAUAUGUAUUUAUAUAUAUAGAUAUUUGUGUUCAAUUAUAUUCAUAAUUAAGGUGGUGAGCAUUGGCGAAAGGCACCUGACGAGUCGCUAGUGCUAUGCAUAUUUAUUUGCAACAUUAUGCGUACUUGUGUUUACAUAUAUGAUAUAUGAAUAUUUGUGUUCAAUUAUAUGCAUAAUUAAUGUGGCGGUGGUGCGAAAAAAAUAAAUAUUCAGACCAAAAAAUAAAUAUUUUUUGAUUUUCGAAGAUUCUAUUCCUACUUUAUCCAUGUGUAUAUUUUGCCUUGAAAGACUUCUGCCACGUGUCGCGUGUUCAGUGCGUCACAUAAACAAAAUAUAUGAUCCAAAUUUGGACCUAUAUACUACUCCCUCCGUCCCAUUAAAGUUGGCUACAUUUCCAUUUUGGGUGUCCCACUAAAGUUUGCCACUUUCCAAAAAUGGCAAAAAAUUAACUUAAUUAAAGUCACUAAUUAAGUUAUUAAGAAAACCCUAAUUUAACCUACUUAAAUCUAUUUUUCCAUCAUUUGCACCUAACCUAGCCGCCACUCUCUAAGAUCUUCUUCUCCGGCGAAGACACCGCCGCCGGCCGUCGGCUCCCGCCCCGGCCCCGACCUCUCUCGCCUCUGCUAUCCCUCUCUCUCCUCUGCGCCCCCGACCUCUCUCGCCUCUGCUCUCCCGCUCUCUCUCCGUCGGACGCUUCUCUCCUCUCGUCUGACCGCCGGCUUCCCCAUCUGAAUCUGUCGUCGUCUCCGGUGAGCAAGGCAGCAAUCGCUUACCUUAGGGUUCCGAUUCACGCGAUUUAGGGGUGGUUCGCCCAGAUCUGAGGUGGCGCGACCCCAUGGCCGCCGCCUGUCUGUCUGCGCCGCGACCCCAUGGCCGCCGCCUCUCUGGUCUGCGCCGCGACCACCGCCGAACCUUUCCCCUCUCUGAGGGUGGCGCGAUUUGGGGGUGAUUCGCCUAGAUCGAGGUGAGGCUGAUGAGAGGCGAAGUUGUGGAACUGGUGAAUGGCGGUGGUGGCUCUGCCAUCGCCGAUAAAUCUGAGGGUGGUCGGAGGGUGGUGGUUGUUCUCAGAGGGUGGUCAGAGGGUGGUGGUUGUUUUCAGGCGGCUGGUUUGAGGGUGGUGGUUGUUGGCUACGGUGGUGGUGGUUGUUCUCAGAGGGUGGUGCUCUUAAAUCUGAGGGUGGUCGGAGGGGGUGGUGCUCCGGUCACCGGCGGCGGUGAGUUGGCAGAUUUGUGGUGGUUGUUGGCAGAUUUUAAUUAACUCAAUAAUUUUGAUGGGCCCCACUCAAUUAAAACAUAACACUACAUUUCUUAAUCUCCGUGCCGAAACAAAUGUAGUCAAAUUUAGCGGGACAGAGGGAGUACUACAAAAAGAGGAUCUACCGGAUCUCAUCCAUAUAUAUAUAUAGUUGUCUUCCUCAUGGCUCUCUCUUUUUUUUUUUUUUCUGCAACUUCUAUCACAUUAUAGUAGUCACAGAAAAAAUCUCUAUUACAAUUAUAACCUAAUCCUCGUCUCUACCCCUUAUCUUCAUCAACGUCGGUGUGGCUGAGAGAAAUAAUUUUCGACCAUCCUUAAAUUUCUAAGAACCAAAUAAAAAUAAAAAUUGGGUGUGGGCUUUAGCGCGCCUAGCUCUCGUAUAAAUCCGUCCCAUGUUCACAUGGACACUGAAUUUCAAAAUUAAUCGAUGACUUAUAAAGCUAAUUGUAUGUUUGUCAUUUUUGUCGUCGAAUGGCUAUGAGAAAACUUUAAUUUUGUCGCACCAAAUCUUGACUCAACGACUUAGAAACCAAAUGUCUGGUGAUAAAAUUGACAAUAAGAAAGAACAAUUCAAAUAAUGGGCUUUAAAAGUUGUCAAUCAAUUUCAAGUUUCGACAACUUCAGAUGAAUAUUUAAAUAUAUUUAACUUUAAACUCAUGCAAAAAUUAAAAAUAGAAGAAUUUCCUAGAAAUCAAAAGUUUAAUUAGUAUAUAAUUGAAAUGCAUACAAAUUGAAUCUAAUUUGCCAUAAAGUCCAACACUUGGGAUGCAUAGAUGGAUGUCGAGUGAUGAAUCCCCGCUGACUCUGUAAUAUUGUGGUACUCCUGGUGCCGCUCUUUUCAUUUUAUUUUAUAUAAUUUUCUUACCAAAAAAAAAUUUGCCAUAAAGUCCAACACUUGGAGAUUUAAAUUGCAAUUGUUUUUCACAAAUUAUUAUGUGCGUGCGGACACCCACAUAAUAUACGGACGGUUGGGUCCGCUUUGAUCCGACCCGGACCGAAAUGAUAUAUUAUUGUUUUCAUAAUUAAAAACAAUGGGACGCCAACUGCAGAUGAAGGCAAGGAGAUCCGGUCGAAGGUUUGGAGAAUUCCAGUUCCUUUUAAAGUGAGAGUCACCGCGUGGAGAAUUCUGCAGAACAGACUUCCCACUUGCUCUAACCUCAGAAGAAGGACAUGGGAUUUGAAAUCCAUUGCCUGUAUUUUUUUNCCUCUUUUUUUAGCUAGCAUUUUUUCCCUUUUUUUUCUCUCUUUUUUUCCCUCUUUUUUCUACCAGCCUGUUUUCUUGUGUUUCUUUUUUGUUUUAUUUAUAUUCUACUUCAGUUUUUUUUUCUUCUGAUUUUUACAAUUUUAUUUUAUUUGUAUUUCAUAUAUUUUAAUAUUAUUUCAAAAUAAUUAUUAUUAUGACAAAAAGUAAUUAUUGACAUAAAAAAAGUAAUGUUUCUGAACCAUUAUUUUUCAUCAUUUCAAUAGUUACUUUGUCUUACAACAAUGAUUACAUGAAUAAUUAUUUGAUUAUUUUUUUCUGUAUUUUAUUUAUUUCUACAUUAUUUAAUAAGUAUAAAAUAUACAUUUGUUAGCACAAAUGUAGACUUAUGUUAAUAUAAGUAUUUACCUUCAUUCAAUAUUAAUUAUUAUAUUUUCUAAACCCUAAACCCUAAAUCCUGAAGACUCAACCCUAAAUCCUAAACUCUAAUAGGACUAUUUACUUUUAAUAAGUAUCAAAUAUACAUUUGUUAGCACAAACACAUACUUAUGUUAAUAUAAUAUUUACCUUUCAUUCAAUAUAAAGUAUUAUAAAAGUAACAUUAAUUUUAUACAUAUCAAUAGCCCUUGUGGAUAAACAAACAUGGAGCGCAAAUGUUGUCAUUGCACCAAACCACACUUUUGAAUUUAUUUACCAAUAUUUAAAGUAUAACCUGUUCUAUUUAGGGAUGGCAAUCGGGUACGACGGGUACGGAUAGUGACUAUCCAUACUCAUACUCACGAACUAAAUGGAUAGUGGUUUAUAACCACGAAACCAUCCAUGGAUAUCAAAUGGUAUCCAAACCCGCUAUCCGCGGAUACCCGCUACCCGUCGGGUAUCCACGAACUCGCUAUCCGGCGGGUAUCCGUCACCCGCUAUUCGCCGGACCCGUCACCUACUAUUCGCCGGAUACUCACGAAACAAAAUUUAAAUAUAAAUUUACAACAAAUUUAAUAGAAAAAAAAAAAUACAACACAAAUAACAUAGUUCAAAUCCAUAUGUUGAAAUCCACAAAGAACAAUGUUUAAAUUCAAAUUCAUCAACUAAAAUAUAAAAUCCAACAAAAUUCUAUAAUUGCUCAACAAAAUUCAAAUUUAAAUUAGACUAUUAGAAUUUGGGUCUUAGUUCAGUUUCUGUUUGGGCCUAUUUUAAGAUAUAAUAUGCUAGCCCAUAAUCUCAAAAUAUAUAUUCAAAGCCCAUAUUUUAUGGAAUUUUUUGUGGAUAUUUGACGGGUAAUUCACGGAUAAUUAACGGAUAAUUGGCGGGUAUUUUUCGCGAGUAAACAGGUUUCGCGGGUAUGGAAAGUAAGUAUCCAAACCCAUAUCCACGAACUAAAUGGAUAGUGAAUUGCAACCACGAAACUAUCUGUGGAUAUCAAAUGGUAUCCAAACCCACCCUAAUAGGUUCGGAUUUUCGCAGAUAUCCAUUUCCCGCGGGUAGAUUGCCAUCCCUAGUUCUAUUCAGGUUGGGUCAAGACAGACCCGACCCAGCCGUAUCCUAUGAGGAUGCCCGCAUAGGAGACCAAAUGAUUAUUUUUUACCGUAUUUUUCAAAGUCCGAUAUUUAUGUCGCAUGGGUUUGGUUUCGGUUUUCCUCUUCAAAUUAUUACUAGCAGCUUUCGUACCCAAAUUUUGGUCGGGUGUUUUUAGAGGUUGGAAACGAAUCAAGUAAUUGAAUCUAUUACUUGUUGUUUGAUUUGUGUAAUGAGAUAAUCAUUACCCUUACUUGAGGGUAACCCAAUCACCCAAUUUAUUACUCCUCAAAAUAGAGGGGAACUAAAAGAAAGUGAUUCCCUUAUUAAUGAUUCAUUUAAUUAUUUUUAUUGUUAAACCAAACACUCAAUAAAAAUAAUGAUUAUUGUUACCAUUCAACUCCUUUAUUUGAUUCCAUUCUUUUUUCAUUCCUCUACUUGAAUCAAACGAGCACUAAAUCUGAGUUAGUUAAUGUUAAUCUGAUUCCGUGAAAACCCCUACUUGUAGGCUGUAGCUAUGAAUUGAAUUUCGGUUUAUCAUUAGUGUUAAUUUGCAUAAUUUGUAGGAUUAGUUGGAUAGGGCGAAGCAUAAUUAAGCGCGUUUUGAUAAUUUGCACACAGGCCAGCUGUUUGUUACUAUGCCAAUUUAGGUGGCGCCAUGUUUCUUGAAAUUAUGCGAACCCAAUAAAUGGGAGAAAUAUAUAUUGGAAAUUAGUGUAUUUAUGCGUUAAAUUUUAUGACUUUUUCUUUUUCUUGGUGCUGGCUAGGGGUGGCACGGUACGGUAUACUUUAUUAAAUCGAUCAUACCUUAUACCUUACCUUUACCUCCGGUAUGGAGAAAAUUCAUACUUUUACCUUACCUUUACCUACGGUAUACCUUAGUUCGGUAUACCUUAAGUACGGUAUGGAGAAUAUACAAAACCUUUACCGUACCUUUAUUUCGGUAUACCUUACCGAAUUUCGGUAUACCGUACUUUCACGGUAUACCGCACUUUAACGGUAUACCAAAAUAAUUGGUAUUAUCAAAAUCGAAAAAAUUCAAUUGGUAUAUCGUACUUUAUAUUCGCAUACUUGUAUGCAUUCACGUAAUAUAUAGUAAAUUAUAUAAAUGUUAUAAGUUACAUAUAAUUUAUAUGUUAUAAGUAAUAUUAUUUAUAAUAUAAUACUAAUAUUAUAACUAUGCUAUUAUAUAUGUAACUAUUAUAAGUUAGAUGUAUAAUUUAUUGUAAAACAAUAAUUUUAGUUAUAUAUUAUAACUAUACUAUAAUAUCAAAAUAAAUAAUUUUAUUUUAUUGUACAACUUAUACUAUAUACUAUAUUUUAUUUGUUUUUGUAUCAUUUGAUGAUAUUUAUAAAUUUAUAAGUUAUAUAGUAUAUACUAUAAGUUAGAUGUAAUCUAAGUUAUAAUAUAAUAUCAAUAUUAAUUAUAGCUAUGCUAUUAUAUACAUAGAUGUUACACGUCAGAUGUAUAAUUUAUUGUAGAACAAUAAUCUUAGUUAUAUAAUAUAGAAUAUUAUAUUAUAACUGUACAAUAAUCUUAGUUAUAUAAUAUAGAAUAUUAUAUUAUAACUGUGUUAUGAUAUCAAUAUAAAUAAUUCAGUUAUAUUAAAUUAUAUAACUUACAUACUAUAUUAUAUUUUAUUCAUUUUUAUAUCAUUUGAUGAUAUUUAUGUUCGCAUACUUGUAUGCAUUCAUGUAAUAUAUAGUAAAUUAUAUAGAUGUUAUAAGUUACUUAUAAUUUAUAUGUUAGACGUAAUAUUAUUUAUAAUAUAAUACUAAUAUUAUAACUAUGCUAUUAUAUAUGUAACUAUUAUAAGUUAGUAUGUAUAAUUUAUUGUAAACAAUAAUUUAGUUAUAUAUUAUAACUAUACUAUAAUAUCUAAAAUAAACAAUUUUAUUUUAUUGUAUGACUUAUACUAUAUACUAUAUUUUAUUUAUUUUUGUAUCAUUUGAUGAUAUUUAUAAAUUCAUGUACAAUUGUAUAUAUUUACAUAAUAUAGAUUAUAUACAUCAUUUUAUAAAAUUUAUAAAUAUUUUUAAAAAUAUAAACAUAAAAAUAAAUAUUAUAUAUUUUAAAACUAUAGAUUUUGAUACGAUAUAUACCGCGAUUUUCGGUAUACCAAUAUAUACGGACAACUGCGGUAUAUCAGAAUAAGGUAUUGUACCUUAUUACCGGUAUAUACCGAAUAUUAAGGUAUACCAGAAUAAGGUAUGAUACCGCAUCACCGUUAUAUGCAGUAAUAUUCGGUAUACCAGUAAUACGGUAUCAUACCGUAUUCCGGUAUAUACCUUUAAUAUGGUAUUUAUUGAUUUUUUCGGUAUAUACCGCGGUAUCGGUAUACACCGGUAUACCCCGGUAUUUGGAAAAUCCAUACCUUUACCUUACCGUAAAUCUUCGGUACGGUAUCAUACCUUACCAAAAAAACCAGUAUACCUUAAAUUCGGUAUUUUGCGGUAUUUUACGGUACGGUAUGGCCGGUAUACCGAGUUUUCGGUAUAUUUUUCCAGCCCUAGUGUUGGCUCGUAUUAUAUAAUAUUAAAUGAAAAAAUUAUACUUUAUCACAAAGACAUACGAGAAUUAGUGGUUGCGGGAGAUUGUUUCGGAUAAUAUGUCCUAAUUUAUAUAUCUUCCUUCUCAAAAAAAAAAUGUGUUCGUUUUGCUCGUUCUAUAAACCGUACAGUUUAUCUAUAGAAGACUGCUCUUCAUGACGGAAUAUGAGAUAAAACCUUUGUUUUCUUUUUUUUUUGAUAAAUGAGAUAAAACCUUUGUUACUGCUAAAAUGGAUUAAGAUCGAAAAAAACCAUUCAUUAUUUUGGUGAUUAAUUUCGUCAAUUUCUAAUUUUAGCAAUUUCAUGUCAGAAAUAUUUAAUUUGUUGGUAUUUAAUUUCUGGUUUUUACGUCCGGCGAAAUUAAGAUAAAGCUCAUCAAAUAGUAUACUAACUCAUAUGAAGGAUUCAGAUUGGGAUGAUGUGUUCGCAUAUUAAUUACAUCAAGUCAAAUAAAGAAAAAAUGGGUUUAUAUAAAUUUAUUUUUGUGGGAUGGUAAUCACGGUUUCUGGACUCAAUAUGUUUUUAGUUGCCUGACUUAGAGGGUGUUUGGGUAAAGAUUAUUUUAAAGAGCUUAAUUAUUUAUAAGUUUUUAGAAUUUAUAAGAUGUUUCAAGAGUUAAUAAGAUGUAUUCUCUGUCCCUAAAAUAACUUCUUAUAUUUCCUUUUUGGACGUCCCCAAAUAACUUUCUAUCCAUUUUGGGACAUUAUCUCACCACUAAUAAUACUUUAUUUAUUCUUACUUUUCAAUUUUUCACCAUUUCCAAUAUUAAGUGCUCGUUUGGUUCAACGAGAGGAAUGGCAAGGAAAUGAAAUCAAAUAAAUGAGUGGAAUGGUAACAAUAACUAUUACUUUUAUUGAGUGUUUAAGAAAUAAAAUUAGAUAUAAUAUAGAAAAAGGUCAUAAUUGAGUUAUUUUUGUAAAAUAAGUCUUAUAAGAUAAUGAGAAAAUAAGUUGGAUAGAAAAAUAUAUUUUUUGAAAAACUUAUAACCUAUUAGGAAACUUAUUUUACAAACACUUUGUAGAAGCUUAUAAACUCUUAAACAACUUACAAGUUGUUUUAAAGAACUUAUAAACUCAGCCAAACAUUCUCUAACUUAAACAUAACUUAGAUAUAAAUAGUGUAUAAAAUAUUUUGACAAGGAAAACGUUGAUUAUUUCAGAAUCAUAAUAUUUCAUUGACGAAAUCGUUACUUACCAAUUUGACUACAGUCCAAGGAGACAGCCAAAUAGGUCAAUGAGCAAUUUUUGUAAUGAAACGCUAAUAGAUAAUAUAAAAUCUCAUACCUUUUCAAAAUGAGGAGAAAUUUGACAUAUAUAGUUAAUAUAGAUUGUAUAGAUUAAUAGUGGUCUAUCAAUAUAAUUUUAAGAAAUUAUAGUUAAUUUUAAGGAUUUUGUACAAAAUAUCCAUUCAUCAAAAUUAAAUUUCUAUUAUUCAAUUCAUUUUUAAUUUCUCUCUUUUCUUUUCUUUUCUCAUCUCUCUUUUCUUAUUUACUCUGAAAAUCUUUCCAUCAUUCUCUAAAAAUUAGGCGAUGUCGCCAGCGUCAUCACUAGCAUCAACCAAUCCUCUACUUCAAUUCACUGCCACCAAUGGUCGACGCUUUUAUUUAACCGGUGAAAACAUCCUAUGCCUCUCCACAUGAAAAUGAAGAAAAUGAAGAUUUAGUUCAGACAUUUAGUUAGAUCUAAUUGCAAUUUGUGAGAUUUCGUGUUAUUUUGCUUAUUAGAUUCGAAUUUUGUUCAUGAAUUGUAGUUGAAACAAGUUGAAAGCUAAGCGUUUUUUUGUUGGAAUGUAAUGGUACAAAUAGGUUCAUUCGUACCAUUAGUGCCAAGUAUUAGAGCAACAAAUCUCGGCACGAAUGAUGCAAAUUAGCUCAUUCAUUUCAAGAUCUAUUGCGCCAACUAUAGGGGGUGAAUCCAACAAUUACGGAAGUGACGUCAGUAACGUCUGGAUCGAUGGGCACUAGCAACCUGAAACCACAAGCAACGUUAGAGCCCUCCGAAGAGCACUGGUGGGGGUGUCGAUGGAAGGGCCUCCGACGCUCAAGUCAGUGAAUUGAUAUGAAUAAUAACGCAAGUAACGUAAUGACAAUAAUUAAACGAUGGAGAGAAGAUAGAAAAAGGAUGGUAAUGCGGGAGUUCUCCGACUGAUCCGGUUGAUCCAGUAGUCAGAGGUAGAGCUAAUGAGCGGUAUGGAUCAAGGGGCGACGGACGUCGGGGCUAGCGGGGCCAGCCGGACGAUCGGAACCCUAGAAAGUUGUGAGCGUGGAGGCGAAACAGAAGAGCGGGGAUAGCGGGAGUGAGAGAUCGUGUGUGAGUGCCAGAGUGGGAAUGAAUGAUUGACCGUCCCCCUAUUAUGUCAAUGGGCUGGUGCAUAUAUAGGUCACGGGCCCGUAGGGUGGCGACUAGGGUUUCUAGAGUAUUCUCUGAAACCCUUCUGGUUCCGAUUCCCCCAGAAACAUCCUUUCAUAUCUUCCUAUUUUUCCUAGGUAUCCAACUACUAUUGACUUACGUAUGGACUUGCUUCAUUGGGCCGACCCGUUGGGCCGCAUGAUUUCGGGUUGCACGGAUUCUGUCCAUUACACCAACUACUAUUGACUUACGUAUGGACUUGCUUCAUUGGGCCGACCCGUUGGGCCGCAUGAUUUCGGGUUGCACGGAUUCUGUCCAUUACACCAACACUUGGCACGAAUGGGUCAACCUACACAGGUGGAGACUUAUUGGGAGAAAAUGAUCAGUCAUUCGAGAUAGAGAUGAUGAAGGAGGCCGAUGACAACUUUAUCAAGAUCAAUGAGCGAGACGAUGGUUGGAAUUAACCAUCGAGCAUUCCUUGGAGUGAAGAAGAAAAUACUAACAAUCCCAAGAAAUCUAAUGUUCAUUAAUGACUAGUACAAAUGAGUUUUUUCGUAUCAUUCGUCUCAAGUACUGCUAAUGCACAACACUUGGCACGAAUGGUACGAAAAAAAAUCAUUCAUACAAUUCAUUCAAAGGCUUGUCGCACCAAUACUUGGCACGAAUGGCACGAAAGAACUCAUUUGUACUAUUUGUUCCAAGGCUUACUAGGCACGAAUUGUACAAAUGAGUUUUUUCAUAUAAUUCAUGUCAUGCGUAGGAUCGAAUGGCAUGCCAGGACUAGUACGAAUAACUCAUGUUCGUACCAGAUCUGAAAUACAGAUGAAAAUAAGUAUUCAAAAUAUAGCUGAAUGAAAUAUCACAACUAAAUAUGAAAAAUAAGUAUUUUAAUGGAGAAGCACAAAAAACGACUAGUUAACAUGUAUUUGAAUAGAGAAGAUAACCGAAAAAGUAUAUUCAGAGAAAAUAACAGAGAAACCCACAUAACGAGAACCACGUCGCCGAAUUUAAAUGGAGAAGAUAGCCUGACAAAAAAUACAGAGAAGUGAACAGAGGCAAAAUAAACACGUGAAACAUUGAAGGAUAAAAUCACUCAUGUUGUUGCCGAAGAAAAUAGCUGAGAGGAAAAGAAAAUAAUCUAAAAAUAUUUGCAUUUGAAUAAAAGGAAGGGGGGGGGGAGAGUUAGAGAUAAGAGAGAAAAUAGAAAGAAAGUGUAACAUCCAGAGAUAAAAAGAGGCAAAACUUGUGAUGUAAAGUUGACGAGUAAAUAAGGAUUUUUUUUCUCUUUUUAAUUAACACAAAGUCAAUUAAAAUAUAUUAAAAAUAAAUUGAUGAAUAACUAUUAAUUUACACUAUUCUUUUGGAUAUUUAGCAUCAUUAAUUCCUUCAAAAUUAUCCCCAAUAACAUAUAUAAAAAAAAGCAUGCUCUUUUUCCUAUCAUCCUUACAAAUUACAGCUAGUAUCAUAGAAAUGUCAAAUUUGCCCUAGGUAAGAUAAACAAAAGUCCCAAUAAAAAUGGAACAUUUUCCUAUUUCAUAUAUAGACAAAGAUCCAUUUUUGUGUAAGACAUGAAAGCGAUUGAUACUCUGGUAAAAAUCCACAAGCAACACUAAUUAGUGUAAAUUUGUGGAUUUUGAUUACAAUUACUUUGAAUAUGGAAUUAUAUAUCUAAAGAUAAGACGAUUCCAGGAUUUUUAAAACAUUAAUAGUAUAUGUGCACUACAGCUAAACUCUGAAUUGCAUGUUUCAUUUUUCGUAUAUUAAUUAUUUUAGGAAAAAUUGCACCUAAAUACACAAACUUUGCCAAAAAUCCAAAUUUAACGCAAACUUAGGAUUUUACAUUUUAAUACACCAAUUUAAGAAGUUGUUCAAUUUUGACACAUUUUUCAAUUCCGGCGACCGGCAUUCUGACGUGGACGCCGGAAUGCCAAUGUCGCAGCCACGUCACGCACACACACACACUCCACUCUCUCUCUCUCUAUACACGUCACCUUCCCCCCCCCCCGUCCCCCCGUCGGACCCUCCCCCUCCCCAGAACCGCAUCGCACCGCCGCCGCCGCCGAGCCCAGCCUCCCGCCGUCAGCCACUUCCCCCUCCCCAGAACCGCGUCGCACUGCCGCCGUCGAGCCCCACAGGGCCUCAGCCGCAAACCCUCCCUCCCCCCGUCGGACCCUUCCCCUCCCCAGAACCGCGGCGCACCCGCCGCCACUUCCCCCACCACCCGCAGCCCAAAAUCGACUCCGCUCUCUCUGACCUCCGACAUCANGUCGCACUGCCGCCGUCGAGCCCCACAGGGCCUCAGCCGCAAACCCUCCCUCCCCCCGUCGGACCCUUCCCCUCCCCAGAACCGCGGCGCACCCGCCGCCACUUCCCCCACCACCCGCAGCCCAAAAUCGACUCCGCUCUCUCUGACCUCCGACAUCAACAACAGAUCCUCGCUGCCUCCGUGACUGUACUCCCUCGAUCCUGAGUCACGCCGCCGCCGCCGUUCACGGCCAAGCACAGACCCUAGAUCUGCAAAUCUGUGCAAACCAAAAAAAACGAUGGUGGUGGAGAUUUGGUGACGGUGGAUAUGGCGUUUUUGGUGGUUAUGGUGGAGGUGAGGGAAAACGGUGGUGGUGGGAAAUCCGGUUGGUUUGGUUGGUGGAGGUGGCGGGUGCGCCGUGGUUCUGGGGAGGGGGAAGUGGCUGACGGCGGGAGGCUGGGCUCGGCGGCGGUGGUGCGACGUGGUUCUGGGGAGGGGAGGGUCCGACGGGGGGAGGGGGGAGGUGACGUGUAGAGAGUGAGAGAGAGUGGGUGUGUGACGUGGCUGCGACAUUGGCAUUCCGGUGUCCACGUCAGAAUGUCGGUCGCCGGAAUUGAAAAAUGUGUCAAAAUUGAACAACUUCUUAAAUUGGUGUAUUAAAAUGUAAAAUCCUAAGUUUGCGUCAAAUUUGGAUUUUUGGCAAAGUUUGUGUAUUUAGGUGCAAUUUUCCCAUUAUUUUACUUAGGGGAUAUGGCGGUUAAUUUAAUAUUUUAUAUGGAUCAAAUAAGUAGACGACCGCGUGAAGCAACCUAUAAGUUUCGUACAUGUGUAUUAAUUUCGUACCCAUAAUUGUUUAAUAUUUUCAGCAGUAAGCAAACAUACAUAAUGAUACACCACGCAUAUUAAAUUAUUGAUGGCAUCACGAAUCAAUUGAGCUUGAUCUUGUCCACACAUUCAAAGACAUCUUUCUUAUAAAAAUAAAGGAAUCUUGAGCCAAUUUAGCUACUUAAUUUUAAGAAAAACAAAUGAAAUGUGUCGGUAAUCUGGGAAAUUCUAUGACUUCCAUGAAGCACAACCCUGAUAUUCCGACUUUUCUAGGUUCAUUUAAAUAUUUUUGUUCGAGUUUAAAAUUAUUCGUUCGAUAUAAAAAUUAAAUAGGAACGCCAAUUGUCAAAAAUGUAUUUAGGGACAUGAUAGAACAAGUCAUGCUUUAAAAUGUUCGAAAAGAAUUAAAUAAAAUGAAUUAUUCAAAAACCAAAAUAGCAAUCUAGCUUGUUUGAAUCGUGUAAUAGGAAAAUUCGUUUAAAAUAAAAACAAAUAGGGAUGAGAUCCAGUGUCCCACAAUUUUAUGUGUGCCACUGUGUCCUAUGUUUAUAUUUAUUAUUUUAAAAAUAUUUUUUAUAAAAUAAAAUUUAUUAUAAUACUAUGAAUUAUAUUUAAUUUUUAUUUCAAAAAAUUAAAUUUUUUAAAAAGUAUAUACUAUGACUUUGAAUUUAUCAACUUAUUAUUAGCUAAUAAAAGUGAAAUUAAAUGAUAAAAAAUAAAUAUAUACCCUAGAUUGAUGGAAUAAACCCUAGUUAAUAAUCACAAAAUUAAAUUAAAGCAUAUAAAGUUGAAUUUGAAGAAAAUAUAAGAAAUUAAAUAAAAUUGAAAGUGGAACACAAAGUGGGACAUAAAGUGUGGUACACUGAAUCUCAUUCCAAAUAUUCACGGCCCAAUUCGUUGCUCAAUCGUAAGUACGUACCAACUCAUUUUAAUGUUAACAUGAAAUGUUACGUCAACAAAGUUAAUCGAGAAAGCGACGAUUUUGAGAAAAAGGCUGGAUAAGUUCAUGGGAUAUAUCAAUUCCAUUAAAAACUAAGGCCGAAUAGCUCAAAAUUAUUGGACUUUUAUGGACUAAUCGGUGUUCAUUGAACUAAUUAAUGUACAGUCUCCUGCUCAAAGUAAAUUGGAUUGAUUGUCAAGUAGAAUGUUGGAACAAUAAACUCGAUAAUACUGUAUCCCACAAUCAACUUUUCUCUUUGUAUAUCAGCAUCGAAUGUAGUGUGGUUUUGCUCUAUUUAUAGAUAUAUAUCUUGAAGCCUUGAAGUCGAAGCAUUAGAAUUGCACAACGUGGCAAGGUUGCUUCAAGUGAAAAAGUUAUGGUCUCCUAAACUUCAGCUCAGAGCCUGCACAAUCACUACAAGAAAACGCGACUCUAACGACCGAAUUUUCGGUCGUUAAACUCGAAAAAACGGUCGUUACAGACCUAACGACCGAAACAACGACCGAAAACUGUGGUCGCCAUUUUGUUCGUCGUGUGGUCUUCAACGACCGUUUUUUUUUCGGUCGUUGAAAUUCAACGACCGAAAUUUAAUUAUAACGACCGUUUAUUCGGUCUUUAAAACCGUAGCCAAGCUCCCAGGGACGACGAAAAUCAGGGAUUAGCGACCGAAAUUCGGUCGUUGAUCAACGACCGUUUUAAAACGGUCGUUGAUGAUCUCAGAAGAUCAACGACCGUUUUAAAACGGUCGUUGAUCAACGACCGAAAUUCGGUCGUUGAGUCCCGAUUUUCGGUUGUUGUUCAACGACCGUUAUUAAAACGGUCGUUUGUUCUUCUGAAAGCAUUAAUGACCGUUUUUAACUCGGUCGUUGUUUAAAGACCGAAAUUUCGGUCGUUAGAGGUCGUUUUUCCUGUUUUUUUCAGUCAGUUCGUAACGACCGUUUUUUUAAAUUUCGGUCGUUGUUUAAUUUCGGUCGUUUUUUGUUUUUCGUUUUUUGUUUGUAUUCCUGUUUUCAAUUAUAUAGCAAUCUAUAAAUUAUUCAAAAUCAUGAAGAUGAGCAAAGUAGAAAGACAUCAAAUAUAACAAAGUAGCAAAUCAUAAAAUAUGUCAACAAGUUUAGCAAUUCAGUAUUCAAAGUAUAGUAUCUAACAAACGAUAGUAAAUAAUAUAAUCAGAGGUCCGGGUGGGUCCCAUCAGAGGCGUCGGAGGGGGACUGUGCAUGAUAUCCUCGCAUGAGGAGGGCGAUCUAGGCUUGCAUCUCCUGUAUAGCCUUGCUCUGAGCCUCCUCGCUCGCUCUCCUGACCUCUAGCUCCCUCUGUGUGGAGCUCAGCUCCUCCCUCAAUGUAAUGAGCUCAUCUCUCGAGGCAACAGGGAAAGGAAACUGGGAGUGCUAGUGGAGUGCGUGCUCGACGACUCGCCGCUCUCAGUAAUCGCCCUAGACAUCAUCAUGCCUAAUCCCAUGAUGCGCCCCCUCGAAUCAGGAGCUAGCGACGACCUCUCGGAAGAUGCGCUCUACAUCUGCGGGUGUGACCUCUUCCUGUGUUUGGCGAAGCUCUGCCAAUCGCCUCUCGACCUCCAACUACAAUACAAAAAUAGUUAGAAUAGUUGUAAAAUAAAUUAUUCGAACAAAGGAAUUUAAAGAUACUAAAUUAACGUCAUACCCCGUGCUGCGCAGGUCGUCCAGCGGUAUACUGUCCAUUCUUAUAAUGCAUCCGUCGAAAAGUCGCCCAAGUAGCCUCGUCAAAAGAAAUAUUGCUCUCCCGAGCCUUACAAAACACAUUAAAAAUAUAAGUAACAAUUUAGUAAUGCAUCAAAAUUUUAAAUAAAACAUUGUAAAUUUACCAGAUGCUCAGCAUGAUCUAAAGCACUGCGCGACCCUCCAUGAUGGAUAGCCAUCCCUGUACCCGGACCGCCUGGCUCUGAGCGGCGAUUCCUGGACGCCUGAGCAGACCUUGCCUGAGUAUCAGGCAAAGCCCAAUAAGCCCUCCAAGCUGCCUCAAUGUUAGGCUGAAGAUAAUCGAUCUUCUUCUUAUGUAUCAACAGGACCUUCUUGCAAUUGCUGAUGUAAUCCUUGUACGCCACUCGAGCUGACUUAACCCACGCUUUCUUAAUAACAUGCCUGGUAUGUUGCGUUUUAUCCCAACAAAAUGCUUUCUAUUUAAAGAUAUUGCAAAUAAGAGAAAAAUUAGUAUUGUGAUUGUUUGUUUAGAAUAUAAAAAUUAUAUAUGAGAUGAUCGUACCUCAAACUCAUCAAAAUAAAAAUCCAUCAUCCCCUCAGUCAAAUUCUUCCAAUUGGUGCCACUUUCAUGUGGCAUACCUUGAAAGCUAUCAGUCGCCCUAGCCCGAAUAGCUCCAGUCGGCCUCAGAAUACUUAAAGUGUUGAAAUUAAAUUUAGAAUUAAUGUACAAAACAAUUUGAAGUUAACUGAUACAUUGUGAAACGUACCUACGAGUGAAAUAAACCCAUAUCCGCCCAUCACUAGCAACACGUUCCUCCUCCACAUUAGGGUUUUCAUCCUCUGGCGGCCUAUUAUCGAAAAUAGGACCAGAACCGGAUGGACCAGAACCGAUGGAUAGAACCGGAUGGAUUAGACCCGGAUUGAGUAGAAGCAUCCAUCUAUAUCCAAAUUUGAAGUAAUUAGUAUAUUAGUUUAUUAUUUAACACAUUAAAUAUAUAAAAUGUUCAAAUAUGUUUUAUUUGAAGUCAUUAAUUACUCAAUCUGAUUCAGUGUUAGAAGACUCGGGGGAUUGUAAAAUAAGGUCUUCAUCAUCUUCAUCAUCAUCAUCAUCAUGAUCUAUGUCCACCUCGCCUCCAUGUGGAUGAACCAUUGUUGAAAUGUCAUCUAUAUUCGUAAGAGAUAUUCUGCCUACGACUUCCUCUUGAAAAGGCAAAGACGUUGUUGGAAGUUCAGUUGUGGAAACUUCAACAACUGGCCUUGCUUUCACUUUACAAGCAGCCAACCAAUUGCUUCUGUUGUUAUUUUUACUUGGAUACAAGCAAUAAUAAACUUGUGCAGCUUGAUUGGCGAGGAUAAAUGGUUCGUAUUUUGAAUAACGACGAUUCUUGUGCACCGAAACCAGAUUGAAGUCACGAUCAAUGUCGGUUCCAGUUGGAGUUUGAGGGUCAAACCACUCACAUUUGAAUAAUGUGGUGUUUUAUUGGUAGCCCAGGAUACUCUAGGACAACAACCUCUAACAAACGACCAUAGAAAUCUAACUGGACACCGUUCAACACUGAACCCUUAACGCACAAUCCACUAUUAUCAGUUGAUUUCUUCGAGCCAUAAGAAACCGUAUGAAAUUUGAAUCCGUUGACAAAGAAUCCUUGGUAUGUAGUAACUCUGUGCAGAGGUCCCAAUGACAAAUGAUGCAAAAAUGAAUUGACUAGCCCAUUUGUUGGAUUUGAAGCCUAUUCAAUGAAAGAAACUUAUUAGUUAAAACCAAUUGUAGUAUACUUUGACAUAAUACGUUGAGUUGAAGUUCAUUGGAUGAAAGAACUUACAUAUGCUUUGAACCAUGUGGGAAAUUCUUUCUCAAGUUUCUGUUGAAGUUCAUUGGAUGAAAUUAGGGGUGAGCAUUCGGUUAUAUGGUUCGGUUUUUGCUAAAACCAAACCAAACCAUAUUUUAGUUCGAUUUAAAAAAAAACCGAACCGAACCGAAUUAACCGAACAAACCGAACCGAAUUAACCGAAAUUUUUAUAAUUAAAACCGAACCGAACCGAAAAACCGAAUUAAUCUGAAGAAAACCGAAAUUUUUCGAAAAAAAAACCGAGAAAACCGAAAUUUUUCGAAAAAAAAAACCGAAAAUUCCAAAAAAAAAACUAUAAAAUUAAAAAAAUAUUAGAAGUUAGAUAUUAUAAAAUUAUAAUUAAAAUAUUAUAUAUAUAUAUAUAUAUAUUAUAAAUAUAAUUCGUAUUUUUCGGUUUGUUCGGUUUUAAAAAAAAACCGAACCAAACCGAACCGAAAAAUCAAAAUUUUAUGGGGAAAAAAAAUCGAACCGAAACGAAAAAACCGAAAAAACCGAACCAUAUUUUAAAAUUUCGGUUUGGAUCGGUUCGGUUAUUCGGUUUCGGAUUUUUUGCUCACCCCUAGAUGAAAUAUCACGAAAUUUAGCCCGCAUUUCAUCCUCAAACAACCUAUUGAUUAAUAUAUAUCAUAUUUAUUAAACAACCUAUGUGUAGAUUAAUAAAUUUAAUAACAUAUGCUUUGUACAUACCCUGUGUAGGUUUCUGUAACUUCUGUGCAAUUGUUUAGCACGUACAAAUGGGCGGCGUCGUGCUCUUUAGGUUCUAGAAAUCUAGUUGUCAUCUUUCCAAAUGGUCUCCCAACAUACUUGAAGACAGACAACAUGUCAGGGAUCACAUCAACACCACUACCUUCAAAGUUUUGAGGUACAUUCCGUUGCUUUGUCUUAACGUGAUCUUCAAAGUAAUAACAACAGAAUGUUGUAGCCUCUUCCACAAGAUAAGCAUUUGUAAUUGAUCCUUCAACUUUCGCUUUGUUUUUAACUGUUUUCUUCAACUUUCCCAAGUACCUCUCAAAUGGAUACAUCCAUCUAUACUGUAUAGGGCCUGCCAUCAUAGCCUCAUCGGCCAAGUGUAUUGGAAGAUGCUCCAUAGAGUCGAAGAAACUAGGAGGGAAGAUUCUUUCCAACUUACAGAGAAUGACAGGAAUAUUUUUUUGCAUCUGAAGAAGAUUGUCAACUUGAAUGUUUGGUGAAGUCAAAUCUUUGAAAAAGAGACAAAGAUCUGUAAUUGUUUUCCACACAUUGAAUGGUAGAAGAUCUUUUAGUGCGACCGGCAAUACUCGUUGCAUCAUCACGUGCAAUCGUGACUCUUCAUACCAAACAUUUGAAGUGUACUCAAGUUGACACAUCUACCCAACGAGGAUACAUAGCCAUCAGGAAAUCUAAGCCCUUCAAUCCACUUAAGUAAGAUUCUUUUCUCAUCAUUAUCAAGCAUAUAACAUGCUUUAGGGUACUUUCCUGUUUGUUCAUUGGCUUCUAACUCAGGUCUGCGACAAAACCUAUUCAAUUCUUCGCGAGAUUUGGCCGUAUCCUUUGUUUUGCCUUUAGUGUUCAUAAUGGUGUUGAACAAAUUAUCAAAGACGUUCUUUUCUAUAUGCAUAACAUCAAGAUUAUGACGUAUAAGCAACGAACUCCAAUAUGGCAAAUCCCAGAAUAUACUUUUUUUCCUCCAACCUGAUUCAUAAGUUCUUUGUCGUUUAGAUAUCCGUAAUCGAGUCUCUUCAACUGUCAAUUCUGUUACUUUUUUAAUCAUGCUAAAUCAUGCUUAAUUAUAAUUAAAACAUGCUCAACGCAAUCAAUCAUGCUAAAUCAUAUAUUUCGCCUCUCCCCCACCGGCGAUAAAGCGAAUUAAAUAAAUUUAAACAUUAUAAGUUCUUUAAAUAGAAAUUAAGCUUCCUAAGUUCUUUAAAUAGAAAUGAACCUAACUAAGUUCUUUAAAUAGAAAUGAACCUAACUAAGUUCUUUAAAUAGAGAUUAACCUAACUAAGUUCUUUAACUAAAUCUAAUAUAUAUAAACCUAACUAAGUUAUUUAAAUAAAUCUAAUAUUUACAAAUAAACCUAACUAAGUUCUUUAAAUAAAUCUUAUAAAAUAAAUUAUCUUACUAAGUUCUUGUUCUUUAAACAAAUCAAAUACAAAUGAACAUAUAUAUAAUUAACAUAUAAUUUCACAUUACAUUCAAACUAAAUUCACAUUAAUUCACAUAUACUAUACAACACAACAACUAAAUUUCACAUUAAUUCAUACUAAUAUAAUUAACAUAAAUUUGAAGCAUAGCCUACAUUAAUUCACAUAUAAUUCAUACUAAGUUCUAUGUAAAUUUCUCAUUAAUUUACAUAUAAUUAACCUAAAUUCAUAUAUACUAACAUACCAAUAUUAACCUAAAUUCAAAUUAAUAGCCUACAUUAUAUAAGUUACACGAACUAACCUACAAUCUCUUAUUCCGGCAACGGCAGGGGCGGUCCGGCGAGGGCAGGGGGCUGGGAAUUAGAGUUAGGGUUAAUAAUUGAUGAAAUCUAUAAAAAAUAAUUAAUUAGGGUUAGGAUGAAUAAUUAAUUAACUUACCGUAGAGUAUCACGUCGACGGAGAGCAGCGGCGUCGGACGGAGAGCGGCGGCGGCGUCGGCGUCGCGUCGGACGGAGAGGAGCAGCAGCGGUCGCGUCGCGUCGGACGGAGAGAAGCAGCAGCGGUCGCGUCGGACGGAGAGGAGCAGCAGCGGCGGCGUCGAUGGAGGUGGCCGUUCGAUGGACGGAGGCGGCGGUGUCGGGAACGGCGAAAUCGGCGGAAGGAGGCGGAGAAUCGGAGGAGGAAAGGGUGGAGAAGAAAAUGGGGGAAAAAUUAGAAAACCUAAGUUAAGUCCGCGAAUUCAACGACCGAAUUUCAAUUUAACGACCGUUUUUCGGUCGUUGCUAAUUUUAAUUAUAAUAUGAAUAAUUUCGGUAUACAACGACCGAAAAACGGUCGUUAAAAAUAAUUAUUUCGGUCGUUAAUAUUAAAUAUAUUUAAAUAAAUUAAAAUACAACGACCGUUAUAAAACGGUCGUUAAAUAUUUCCGAAAACUUAAAAAUAUCAGAACUCAAAUUUAAAUAAAUUAAAGUACAACGACCGUUACAAACGGUCGUUAAAUUAAAAAUAUAUCAAAAUUCAAAAAAAAAAACCAACGACCGUACAAACGGUCGUAGUUACGGUCGUUAUAAAUUAACGACUGUUUCAUUCGGUCGUAGGAAAUAAAAAAAAAUAAGAUUUAAAAUAUUAAACAAAACGAUCGUUAAUAUUAAAAUUUCGGUCGUUACGGCCGCCUUUUUAACGACCGAAAAUUUCGGUCGUUAAUUUCGGUCGUUGGAGCCGCUGUUUCUUGUAGUGACUGCUGUCUGCGCAGUGUGGGCAUACCGGCUGACUGCCGGAUAUUUUUGGUGUAAAACGACGCACCACCGCCCAACACAAAACCUCCCCAUUCUCUCUUCUUCUCGGCGGACGCCACGCCCAUGGCCGCCGCCGCCUCUCACCCCUUUGGACUCUCUCAUAGAUCCAAUUGUGUUUUGGGAAAAAUAAGCUUCAGCCAAACAUUAACCUAAGGCUGAUUAUAGUUCUACUUCAAUCAGAGCAUGGUUUCGGUAUGUAGCAACUCUGAAUUUUAGCUUCGGCGAUGGAAAGUACUUGUGGAAAUCGAGCACCAACACUACUGGACGUCGAAGGAGAAUCUAAUUUGAGAUAUGGUUUGGGAAUAUGAUUUUCUAACUUUAUGAUUUUCAAUAGGAGGUCAGAUUGCUUUCUGGAAUUGGGACGGAGGGAGUAUUUUAUUAAAAUUGAUGAUUUUUUAAAUUGAUCUAAGUUGGGACCAAAUUUUUUUAUUUAUAUAGUUUAAUAAUUUAUUUGAAUAUUAUUUUAAAGAGGUUUUACUAUAUUUAUAAAAUCAAACAUACCAAAUUAUUAAUUAAAAAUUUAAAUAUAAUAAAAUUAUAUUUAUAUAUUUUACUUUUAUCAACAAAAUAACAUUGAUUAUACACUCUUUCUGCUAAGUAAAUUAAAAAACGAAGGUUCUCGAGCUUUUAAUUCUCCAUAUAUAUUUUAUUAAGGCAAAUAUUAAAGUAGCCAUUUUACUUAACUAAAAGUUAAUUAUAACCACCAUAACAAUAUAUUAAUUAUAAACACUCUUACAAAAUAUCCUUUUAUUAUCUUAUUUUAAAAAUUAUCAAACAUUUAAAAUUGUGAACCCAAAAAAAAAUGUAUAGCCUGCAAACGUUGUGGUGUAAUUACAGAGAAUGCAAUACGGGGGAAAUGGGAUUCAGGGGGGAAGCGGAAAAGGGUGGGGCGGCGGGGGUUGGGUAGUUUGUAAAUUUUCUUAAGUUUUUCUUUUCUUUCAGAUUUUUUUAAUUAGAAGAUAUAAUUUAAAUUUUCUUUUUAUUUAUUUUUUAUUAUAAUUUCAUUAAGGAUAAAAUAAUAUAUUUAUAUAAAAAUUGAUUAGAAUGAAUAUAUUUUUAUUUUUAUAAUUAUUAUUAACGUGUACGAUGAUUAUUUAGAGAUAUUAAUACUAUUUUUUUCGAGGUUCAAGGAGGUACUCAGAUUUUGUAUUGUUUGUCACUUUGUGAUCAAUGCAUUAUCUAAUGAUUGAGGAUAUAAUAAUAAGAUAAAAACAGAGUUUGAGUAUUCAAUUGAACUAAUUAAAUGAAAAUUCAAGAAUCAGUUGCUACAAAAUGAAAAAAUUGUAGAACAUCAUGCCAAAUUAUGAAAAUUUGAGGUUCCAGUUAAAGUUCACCAAGACUUAUUUCCCUAACUUUUCUAGAUAGAUAGGGUGUGAUAGGAAUUGAAAUAGAAGAAACAGAAAACAUAUAGAAUGAUUGAUAGAUGAGAAUAGUAGGCAGUGUAGGGACUAGAAAUAAGAUAAACAUGACUUCAUCUCCAGUGGAAAGGAGGAUUGGAGCUAAAAUCGCAUGCACAAUUAACAUAGUUGAAUUCAAUUAUAGCUAUCAUUCAUCAAACUUUGUUUUCUUUUCUACACAAUCUGAAGAGCCACAAUUUACAUAGUAAUCCAGCUGAGUCCAGACAAAUCUACAUACUAUAAUAGAAGUAAAGAUGGGCAAAAUUUGAAAAGUGAGAGAAGCUAAUAUGGAGGAGGAGGCGAGUUAAGCAGGUGCGGUUUGAGCAAGGAGAAGUAGGCGCUGCGGGUUCCCAUGGCCAUUAGAUCAGAAUGGGAGCCUUGCUCCAGCAGCUUGCCAUCGUUGAUGACAGCAAUGGAGUUGGCCUUGUUUAUGGUGGAGAGGCGGUGAGCCACCACUAUGCACGUCCGACCAACCAUCAUCUUGUGGAGCGCCUCCUGCACCAAGCUCUCCGACACGCUGUCGAGGGCGCUUGUUGCCUCGUCUAGCAGCAGGAUGGCCGGGUCCUUGAGGAUCGCGCGAGCCAGCGCUAUUCUCUGCUUCUGCCCUCCUGAGAGCUGCGUUCCUCUCUCCCCACAGUAUGUCUCAUACCCAUCUUUCAUCCCACUUAUGAACUCGUGGGCGUUGGCCAUCAUUGCAGCCUUCCUCACCUCUGACUCCCUAGCACUCUUCUCCCCAUACGCGAUGUUCUCGUAGAUGGUUCCUGCAAACAGAGUAGGCUCCUGGCUCACUAAGGCGAUGUGCGAUCUCAGUGCUCUUAGAUUGUAAUCCUUCACAUCCUUGUCGUCGAUCAACACUGAUCCGUUUGUGGGGUCGUAGAAUCUUUCGAUGAGAGAAAUGAUGGUGGAUUUCCCAGAGCCGCUCUGCCCUACCAAUGCAACAGUGGUGCCUGCACUGAUCUUGAGGCUGAGGCCCUUGAGGAUGAGCUGCUCGGGGCGCGAAGGGUAGGCGAAGACGACCUUCCUGAGCUCCACCCUCCCCCUUAUGCCCUUCCUCACAUCGUCCUUGUUGUACGUGUUGUCGGGCUCAAUCUGGCUCUGCCUGUCAAGGAUUGCAAACACUGAUCCCACGGCGCUGCUGCCCCUCGAGAUGUCGUUGGUCAUGCUCCCGGCCUCUGCGAUGGUGUAGGCGGUGAAGAGGAGGGCGAGGAAGGCUUGGAAGAGCUUCUCUGGAGUUAUUUCGUGUUGGGACAGCAGCUUCCCGCCGUACCAGUAGGCUAAAGCGGUUGAAGCCGCUGCGAGAAACUGUGAGCUGAAAAGGCCGACGCCUGCGAACCAGGACUGCCGGAUGCUCUCCUUUCUGGGGCCUUCUAGCGUGGCUCUGAAGAGGGAGACGAUCCGUUUCUGAGAGGAGAAGGCGGUUAUGGUUCUGUGGUUUAUGACUGCCUCGCUUGCGAGCUGGCUUCCCUCCUUCUGUGCCGUCUGUGUUUUCUGUGACAUGCUCUUGGUGAGGACGCUCCUCGCGUAGAAGCUUCCGAUGAGCAGCGGCUGGGCCGCCAUCAUCACGAGGGCGAGCUUCCACGUGAGGUAGAGGCCGAGGAUGUAGGCGAACGUGGCCCCGAACACGGCCUGGGCCAGCAGGGACAUGCGGUCCCCCACCAGGGACCGGACCAUGUUGGCCUCUGUUGAUAGGCGUGCGGAUAUGGCUGCGCUCGUGUUCUCGUCCUGGUCGAACCAUCCCACCUCGAAGGUCAUCAGCUUCUUCAGCAGCAUCUCCCUUAUCCUCUUGGUCAGCCUCUCCCCCAUCACCGCGAAGUUGUAGUGUUGGAGAAGGUUUGUGAAGAAGUUGAAGAAGCCUAGGCCUAGGAAUAUGAAGGAAUAGGUUCUUGCGUGAGGCGUGAUGCUGGAUUUGUCUGUUCUGAAAUACACUGCUAUGAGUCCUCCCACGCAGUACGCGUUGAUGGGCUGGACAGCUCCGGAUCCGAUGGCGCCCAGGCACCCCAGCAGGGCUCGACCCCACUCGGGCUCGUUCAGCUUCAGCAGCCGCAGCUGUGAUGGAGCGGUGUGGGACGACCUGUUUGUGUCUUCGUCGUCAUCGCUGUCGUAUGCAGCCUCGUAUUGGAUGGAGUAAGGUGCGCUCAUGGAGAAUGGGCUCAUAGGGUUCAUGGACGGAGUGCGUGGGCUCGACACCACGCUCUUAGGGCUAGGAGGAAUCAUUUUAGAGAGAUGGUUCUUCCCUCUGGGGGUGAAGCUUUCCCCAUCAUUAUCCAUUGCUGAUGGUGAUGCUGAGAGCUGGAGGUUCACCAUGUUGGCGUACUCGCCACCGUUGAUGUGCAUGAGCUGAUCGUGUGAGCCGGAUUCAACGACUCUCCCCGAGUUGAGAACCGUGAUGAGGGUAGCCAUUCUGAUGGUGGAGAGACGGUGAGCUACGACCAUGGCUGUCCUCCCCUUGGAUGCCUGCUCUAUAGCCCUCUGGACUAUUCGCUCCGACUCUGUAUCAAGCGCGCUGGUGGCUUCAUCCAGUAGCAGUAUCUUCGGAUCCCUUAUCAGUGCUCGUGCUAUCGCUAUCCGCUGCUUCUGCCCGCCUGAUAACUGAACUCCAAACUGCCCAACCUACACAUUCAUGGUCAUACAGCCACUUUAGUCACACUACUGUUACCAAAAUACAAUGGCUGUUUUUAGUUAUUCUUACUUGAGUUUCGUAUGCAUCCGGUAGCUUCAUGAUGAAAUCAUGGGCGUUUGCAGCUACGGCCGCCUUCUGCACAUCCUCCAUGGACGCGCCUUCUUCCCCAAACAGAAUGUUGUCUCUGAUUGUUGUUGCGAAGAGGACUGGUUCUUGAUUCACCAGUCCCAUUUGGGAUCUGAUCCAUUUGAGAUGCAGGCGGUUUAUCUUGUAUCCAUCAAGCAGAAUCUCGCCUUGGAUUGGAUCGUAGAAUCUCUGGAGAAGCGAGAUGAUGGUGGACUUCCCCGAGCCGCUUCCCCCAACUAGGCCCACAGUCGCACCCGCUGGAACCGUGAGGUCUAGUCCUUGCAGGAUGGGAGUAUCCGGCCUUGAAGGGUAGUUGAAAUGCACUCCUUUGAACUCUAUCUCGCCUCUCACGUACGACAGCGCCUUCCCCUUCUUGUCGUCCGCGUCUAUGGCUGGCUCGCGGUCUAUCAUCUCUGUUAUCCGCGUUGCUGCAGAUUUCGCCUCUGUUAUGGCUGUCAGAUUCGGAAGAGCAGUCAGAAUGUUUCUGCAAAGAUGGAAGUUUGUGUUUGUAAGUGUAUGGUGUGUGUAAACAAAUGAGUGAUGAUGAGUGAGAGAGUGAUGGGAACUGACAAUCCUCCCAUUAGGACAUUGAAUCCAGCGACGAACACAUCUCCCCCUUUUCGCCUUUCUUGGUGACGAGGAUGGAGCCUAUCCAGGCUUGGAACCCCAGCUGAUGUAGAUGACGCCCAUGCUCCCCAUCAUCAGCCCUCUCGCGAACCCUUGCUUCACCCCGAGCUCCAUCGUCUUGUGCAACGCGUUGCUGAAGUUGUCGAGGGUCUGGUGCUCUGCGACGUACGAGUAGACCGUCCUGAUGGAGGAGAUGGCCUGUUCUGCUAUGCCUCCAGCGACUGCGUACGACCCUAUGCCUUGCAUGGCCACAUCCAUCAUCAUCUUCCCGAAUCCAAGCCCCGGGACGAUGAACAUUAUGGUGAAUGGUAUGGCGGCCAAGGUGAGCUUCCACGAGAGGGAGAAGGCGAAGACGAAGCAGAAGAAGAAGGAUGACAUGUAGGCCAGGCAGUCAGGUAUCUGCAUAGGAGUGUCAUUUUGUUAGUAAGAAAUUAAUUAUCAUAAAAAUCCUUUGUUUCUUUCUAGUUAGACCUUUUCUCCAAUGGUGAUUUGGAUUGUGUUGGAGUCUGCAGAUAUUGUGGUGACGACUUGGAAAGUGGUGGAUGAGUCAGGUGCUUGGGAGUCGAAGAAGCCUACGUCUUGCUUCAGCACAGAUUUCAGAUACUCUAAUCUCAUCCGAGAACUCUGCCUCUCUGCUGUUCUUGCCCAACAUAAUCCUUCUGCAAAACUCAAUAAUAUAAUUCCAUUUCCUUUUCUAGUAAGGUAAGGUAAAGCUAAUGCAGACGAACCUACAAAUGCAGACAGCCCCACUCCGAUGGCAACGUAGAAAAGCCUCAAUGCAUACUGUCAAAAGAAAGUUAAGGUUUUAAGCUGUGGACUUGAUUCAUCAUAUCAUCAUCAACAUAGGUUAUUAUACCUUGUUUACGGAAGCCAUGGAGAUUGGGAUGCCGCGGUCUUUGCUAACGAGGCCGUAUUGAUUGAUGACAUCGCUGAGAACAUACAUCAUGAGAGGGACCUGCAGACCAUCUCCAAUGCUGCCUAAAGUCCCCAGAAACAUCAACAGCUUGUCUGACCUCUCUGCAUAUCGAAAAAUGCCGUUGCUUUUCCUCAUUUUUGCCAUUGCAUAUCUCACCUACUUCUCUUUCUGUGCAGUCUAUAUUUUUAUAUACAAGUUUCUCAUGACUUCUGCAGGCCUCAAUUUCUCUCUCAAGAAUGAAUCAAAUGCUUUUUUUGUGUGUGUCUGCCGGCCGUUUGUUGUCCAACUGUUUUGUGUUUGUCUCUCAUUUCUUGCUUCAAAUGUAUAUAUUAUAAGAUUUAGAAAGACAAAUACACAUAGUAUGAAAAGAGUAAAUGUGAUGUGUUGAUUCAUUUUGUGAGUGUUUUGGUAGUGGAAAUAGAAUCUGCAUGCGGCAUUUUUUGCAUUGUAACAAUGCUUAGUUCUUGUUGUUUAUUUCACUGCCUACUGAAUAAUUUUGUUUGAUCACAAGAUUUUGGAUCUAUUGGGGAUUGUGAAAGUUGUAUUAAUGAAGAGGGAAGAAAACGAUGUAAUCAAAGCACACUAUGUUCCACACCUAGAUGAAAAUCAUUAAAUUAAUGAAAUCUAUACUAAUAUAUAAAUGAAAUCUACACUAAUAAUAAUUUAAAAAAAAGUGUGUUGGGCAUAAAAUAUAAAUUACUCUAUUAUAUAUUUAUUUUUAAUGAUAAUUAUGGAAAUUAUAAAUUAUAUAUUCAGAAGAAUAUAUUAAUUAAUUACGUUACAUUACUUUAUCUAAAAUAUAUUUGUAUGUGUAGAUCUUUUCUAUUCUCUAACGAAAUAACAAUAAAAUAAAUUAUUAUUAUUGGCGAGUCAAAGGAUGCUACUUGUACUUACAUAUUUUCUUUUUAAAAAAUGCCCACUUUGAAAUAGUAAACUUAAAAAUUGUCCAUUAAAAUAAAAACAUAAAAAAAUGGCCACUGUUACCAAAAUACCCUUCCACAUUAAAAAUUUAAAAAAUGGUCACUUUACAUCACCCCUUUAAAAAAAUCCCGCAAUUCACAACCAGUGUGAAUUCACAACCAAAAUUUUUUGUUUGUGAAUUCACAACUAGUCGAAUUCACAGCCAAAAUUUAAUUCACAACCAGUCGAAUUCACAACCAAAAUUUAAUUCAUAACUAGAAUUUUUUUGUUGUGAAUUCGUUUGUUGAAUUCACAACCAAAAUUUAAUUCACAACCAGAUUUAUGUUGGUUGUGAAUUCACAAUCAGUCGAAUUCACAACCUGAAUUUAAUUCACAACUAGAAUUUAUUUUGGUUGUUAAUUCAUGUAGUUGUGAAUUUGAGUUUUUAAAGUUUGAAUUCACAAUUAAAACUGUAAUUUAUUUUGAUUGUGAAUUUAUAGAUUUGGUUGUAAAUUCAAGAAUAUUAAGUUGUGAAUUCAUCGAGCUAGUUGUGAAUUCAAGAACAUUAAGUUGUAAAUUCAUCGACCUGGUUGUGACUUGUGAAUUCUUAAAUCUAGUUGUGAAUUCAUAAAUCUGAUCGUGAAUUCAAGAACAUUAAUCAAUUUUCAAUCACUUUAUUUUUAUAUUUUUUCCAAAGUUUAUCUGAAACUUCUAAAAACAAAUGACUUCCAAACAAACUUCUAUAUCUACCAUAUUGUGAAAUCAUUCUCUCUUUCUUACCAGCCAAGAAUUAUAGAUAUAUUCAUUGAUUUUUUUUGCCUCCCAAUGUCUGUUGCUUUUCUCGAUGAAGUCUUCCACUCUUUUUCUCAACUCGUCUUCUUCUUCUUCUUCUUUUAAUUAACCAUGUCUAUGCUCAAACACGAUUCUUUCUCCUCGUGCAAUUCAAUUGAUUUCAUUAGGCGAUCAUCAUCAACAAUGCUAAGCUUAACUCAGAUCUUGAGUGCAGAGUCGAAGACGAACAAAGCUACGGCGACGGCGCAGCUGGCGGCGAUCGACAACAACGCCACUCCAGCUGAAGACGCCGGUGCAGGACCUUCCUGCGCGGCUGAGCGAGCGGCGAUUGAGUGGGGGCGGAGCGGCGAGGACGAGAGAGAGAGUGAGUGAGCGUAGAGAGGGAGAGAACAGCGAGAGAGAUAAAACGUAGAGAGAGAGAGUGAGGAGAUAGAGAGAGAGUAAAAAAUUAUGAAUUUGUGGGGAAUGAAUUUGUGGCUAAUUUUUUAAUUUUUAUUGUUAGGGGUAAUUUUGUACUUUUACACAAAAAAUGGCCAAAUUUUAAAGUUUUUAUUUGACUGGCCAAUUUUUAAGUUUACUAUAUGAAAGUGGCCAAUUUUAUAUAUUAACUCUUUUUGUUAUUGCAGUCACUACAAACAUAUAUAUAUAUAUAUAUUUGUGUGUGUGUGUGUGUGUCCACGUACAUACAUGAAAUUAAAUAUUUUUCAUUUAAUUUUGGUCUUAAUUUUUUUUGUCAAAAUAUAAUAUCUUAGAUUUGUUAAUUAUUAUAUUAUUAAUGUUCAUAUAUAUUAUAUAUUUCAUUAAAUUUUAUUGUGUGCAUCGCACGGGGUACAAUACUAAGAUACUAAAUUUUUCUUUAAUUCACAAAACCAAGUAUUUGUAAGUUGUGUUUUAGAAAAUGUUAGAUAGAAAUGUGUAAUAAGUAUACAAUUUUUUUUUUCAAUAAAGAUAUGUAGAUAAAAAUAAAGAAAUUGUUGGUGGGAUAAUGUAAAAAACAUAAAUUCUCAUGUUUUGUGAGAUAGAUAAAAUAUACUAAUUUUUUUUCUAUACAUAGCUUAAGAGGUAAAAUUUAUUUCUCUUACUAUUUAAUUGUUUGAGUUAAUAAAACGAUAUCAUAUUUUAAUUUUAUGUUCUAGAGUUAAAAAUUUGGGACCCAUCAAUUUGCUUAACCAAUUUGCUGAGACCGGCAAAUUAAUUUUAUUAUAAUUUGGUUUGAGUUCAUGCUUUGAAUUGGCUAAGCCCAAUUCUUUUUCUCCUUGGGUCUUUUAUUUUGCUGUGGCCAAUUUUUGGGUACAAUUUUUUUUUUGUUGUGACCCAUAUACAAAAUUAGUAUACAUGUCAACUUAAUUAAUAUAUAUUUAUUAUAUUUGUCACGACCGGCCUUAAUUAAGGAUAAUUAAGCCGGGGAAACCGUGACUAAUGGAGGGAGAUUAGAAGCGGGGUAGAAAGGGGAAUAAUCAAACAAGAAAGGAUCGCAGUAUCAUUGUUAACAACAGGGAUAUUUAUAAUAUAACGGAGUUUUAGUCGUAUAGACUCAAAUAACUAGUAAGUUCGGAUAACUCCGACUUAACCAAAAUAACAUAAGGCUUCUGAGUACGCAGCGGAAUAAGGUUCUGAUUACAUGUAUGAAGACAUGUAACCCUAGAGUUCAUUAAUACAUAAUAAGACAAAAGAGUCCCGCUCGUCACUUCAUCACCAUCGGCAGCUGCUCAACCUGCACAUUUAGAAAUAUAUGCAGGGCUGAGUACAAAAGUACUCAGUGGGCACAUAUGCCUAAGUAUAAAAAUACAUGCUUCAAAACUGUAAAUUGUCAUGCCAUCAUAAACAGUACAGCAAGGGAGUUUUUCGCUAAAAAGGCCCAAGCUUACUAAAUUCAUUUGUGAUUCUUAAAGUUCGACUGCAGUCUAAGUUCUCUUGUAAUCUAUCAUAUCUGGAACUGUGUGCCGGAGAGGUAGCCACCUCUCACGGUCACUUGACCGGCCAACCCGCUCGAUGACUCACGGCCCUGGGUGUACACUAGCCCUGGCAGGAUAGCUAUCAACUGCUCAGGACCCGAAUUCGAUUACAUAACUUGGCAAAGCCACAUCAGAUAGAUAUCAUACUGAAAUUGAAACAUUUUAUGGCAAGACAAUACUUGAAAUAACUUCAAUUAAUUUAGUCAUGAAAUAACUUGCUUGAACGUAACAUUUAAACUCAUUUGAUAUAUAUGAAAGUAAUGCCCACCUGAUAGCAACUCUUGCUGUGGUGUAGCGGCUCUUAAUCUAGUUAUUACUCUCGCCCUUGACCUUUAUUGCGAGAAAUUUAAGUAAGAUAUGUGCUCGGAUAUAAUCCUCGAUUAAUGAGAAUGCGAAAAUAAAUAUGCAUGACUCUCUUAUGCAUGAUUCAUUAUUCCGACUUAAUAGUCCGGGAAAUUCUACUAUAAAUCCUAACUCUCGGAUUAAAUAAAAUAACUAAAAUAAGGCUCGUCGCAUGGGGUCGGAUAAAUCACCAUAAUUAAUCUGUUCACAUCAGGGUGUUCUAAUUCGCCAAAUAAAUAAUCCCGCUCUAUGUAGUAGAUAGAAAUGAACUGACUCGGCUUAUUCAAUUAAUAAUAUUAUAAGUUCAAGUAAUUAGAAGGCUCAACAUAAGGCAGCCUACUAAUUAAUUAAAAGUGGGCUUGAAUGAAAUAAAUAAUUACAGUCUUAUUUAUAUAUGAAUCUGAAAUCCAAAUAAAAUAAUUAAUCAGGGCCUAAGUAUUAAAGAAAGGAAAGGCUUUAAUCCAAAAUAACUCAGCCCAAGAAAAUCGGCCUAUGUAAACGGAUUAAACUCCAGUUGCCAUGAAAUAAAGGAUAUGGGCCCAGUUAAUUAAAUAAAAUCGGCCCAGAGAAAAUAUUUCAGCCCAAGUGGCUGAAUUACUAACUGGGCUUAAUUAAUUGAAUAAUACAGAGCAGGCCCAAUGAAAAUAAAUAAGUCUGGGCCCAAUAAAAUAAUAAAGGUUGGCCCAAAACUAAUUAACACAAGCCCAAAUCCUCUCCCUCCUUCAACAACUCGGUCUUUCUCUCUUCUCAAACAGACGCUCCCUUCGGUUCUCUCUCUCUCUCAAUCCGUCUCCUGCCGAGGCACCCGCCGCCGCCGCUCCGCAAUCCGGCGAGGCGGCGCUUCGCCGCUCCUCCCUUGUCGACGUCAAUCUCCCCCUAGAUUCACGGACGAGGGCCAAAACGAAAAGGGAGCCCUGAUUUCCUCCCCAAAUCAGAGAGCGCCGUCGCCGCUGCAACUGGAAGGCCGGGAGAUUCGCCGCGCCGCUGCAUGUCGGAAUCCGUCUGCUCGUCGCCACGGUCUCUACCUGCUCCUCUCGUAAUUUCUUUCUCCCUCUCCAAAUCGACGGAACAAAGGAAGCCCUAACUUCACAAAUUGGGGAUCGCCGCCACUGCUUCGAUCCGCCACCGCCGCGGAACCGGCGAGCGGCGCCGCUGCUGCUGUGUGAUUUCCGGCGAGCAGGGGAGGGUCCGCCGUUGCUGCUAUCUCCGGGGUCGAAGGUUUGAGCCACGCCACGCUGCUGCUGGAUUCGGGCGAAUGGUACUCCGCCGCUGCUGAAAUCCAGAAUCGGCGAGAGCCAUCGCCGAGGUCGGGAGUCGUCUGCCUUUCACCGCUCGACGCCGCCGACGCUGCUGUCCCCGCGAGUUGCCGCCCACUCGACGUCCUUCGGCCCGAACAAACAGGGCAAUAGCCCCCGCUCUCUCUAAAAGCUAAGUCUUUGUUCUAUCCCCUGCUACUGUGUUUCGAUUCAUGUUGCUAUAUGAUGGGAGCUCUCAUGGCUUUGGUUGUACAGUGGUAAUAUCUCAAUGUAUGAAUCAUACUACUUCCGUGAAAUGCCAUAAAUCAUGGGUUCGCAUAUGUGGUUUGCUAUGAGCUCUAUAGAUAUGAAUACAACAGGAAAGUAACUGAUGCUAUUUCAUGUAACUUUGCUAAGUUUUCAAGCUUAUGGUCAUCUAUCAUUUGAAUUGGAUCAUGCUUAAUGGUAUGAAUGCAAACUGGAUUGAAUAACUGAGGUCGCAUAAAUACCUUGAGUAUCUAGCUUGUUGGUUGGCUGUUGUGGUAUUGAUGAUUGAGAUGGGGAAUAACUGAAAUACAAUGAAGGUGUUAUUGCUUUAAAAUGCAGGUGGAGGUUAUGGCAGGAGGUGGAAACGUUCAAGCCGAAGCUUACCUUGAAGUGGCAGAGCAUUGGAUUGAAGUCUCUGCUCUCCCAAAGUUUCUAAGUGUAGAAGAGAGGGGAGUGGCGAUUUGGGGCUGAAGUGUGAGACUAAAGGAGAAGCUGUUGCUACACACUUGAGUGUGCUAGUAUGAGCUGUAGGGAUAGGGUGGCUGUGUUGAAACAUGGUAUCAUCAUAAUAUAGAGAAAGAAAAGCCAAAGAUCGUAAUUGUAUUUCUUUGAUAUUGCUUGAUAUUUCCGUAUUACAAUGAUACUCAAUUUAUAGGUUUAAGAAUGAUCAAAGUCAUGCAAAUCCCUAUAAUUAAGGUACUAAAGUCCUACAAUAUAUAUAUUUUGACUUUACUUGUGGUUUUUCUUGACUUUGUUAUUGAGUAUUUUCAACAGGCUGGAGUAUGAGGUGGAUUGGAUGAGUUGGGGCUGCUGGAGCAUGCUAAAGAAUAGAUGGUAGGGUGUAGGGAGAAGGGAACUGGUGGAGUUGGGCGGCUGGCAGCUGGGCUGUUUCAGCCACACGCCUGCCCCCUUCUUUUUUUUUUUUCUUUUUUUUUUUUUUUUUUUUCUUCUUUGCUUCCUUGUUGGCUGAUGGUGUUAAACAAAAGAAUGUGUUGCAUUUGAUGUGUAGUAAUGUGGGAUAUGGCUAAAGUAAAGCUCUUGCCUUUUGGUAAUUCUAAACUUGUAAUAUAGCAACACCCUUAAUGAAAUACUAGUCUUGGAUUCUCACUAAUGUAGCGUAUAUAUAUAUACUCGCACGAUAACUGAUUUCUCGCUUGCUAGCCUUGAUGGACUGUAAAAUAAAUCUAAAUUAAAUCCGUAGAUUUAAUUCGUUUGCUCAUCUUAUAUCUAAAUUAAAUCCGAAGAUUUAAUUGGAAUAAAUUCACGACUCAAGCAAGUACAAAAAUAAUAACAACUAAAUGUAAAUAAUACUUCUAUUGUAACUAUUAAAUAACAUGACUUUGCUAAGUCAGUUAUAAUCAGAAAUAAUAAUUAUUGACUGCUCAAUAAUCUUUAUCGCAGUUUCUCACGCGAAAUAAAAUAAUAACUCUUGCUUCAUGUAUUAUAUAACUCAAAGUCAUAAGUCGAAAUCGAAUCAUAUAUAACCACUGGGUUUUAUUACUGAAUGAUGCAAUAAAUAAUUAUCGCAUUGCUGGUUUUAAUAAAUUAAAAGAGCGGGUUACUACAAUAUUAGUAAUAUAUAAUUUACCUAUAUAAAAUAUAUAGUAAAAGUGCUUAUGUAUAUUAUUUUAUUUAGUAAUUUUAUGAACAAAUUUUAAAACGAAAUAUAUAUUUAAUAUAUGUAUAUGAUCUUUUAUUAACUUCAAUAAAUUUACACAAUCACUAAUUAUAUAUUGUAUGUAUGUCAUUAUAUUGUGUAAUGUUGACAUUUUUUGAAAUAUUCUUUUUUUACUUUUUAAGAAAUGUUUGUGUCUUAUUGUCUUGUAAUAUAAUUUAUAUGAUAUGAAACUAUUUUGUUAUUUUAAUUUCUAUUUUCUGUAUCAUGUAAUGUAAAUUUUAAUUUCAUUUAAUUACUCAGUAUUUUGUUUUGUAUCACUUAAAUGUAUUUUUAUAAUUCUAUAAUACUCCUACUAUACAUGAUAAAUACAUAUAAAUAAUCAGACCGUGCGAAGCACGGGUAUAACACUAGUAAGUUGUUACGGCUUAAGUUCAGUUUGAGUGCUUUGACAAUCGAUAAGUUGAUAACAAAGUUAAAUUUAAAAAUAUGCAUAAUGUCAUUCGUAUCGAUGAAAAGUGAUUUUACAUUAUCAAAUAAUGUGAGAGAUACUACAUAACUCAAGAAAAAAAUAGAAUCACAUAGGACUUACAAAAGUAAAAGGUUCAUAACUAAAUAUAUGUUUAUGUGUGCUAUUGGGAGGCCAUUAUAAUAAGAGGAAGGUGCAAUUCUAUUUGAUGGUAAAGUUGGUAUGUAUCCAUUUAUUAAAGAGGUUGCCGCUGAAAGAAACAAUAAGAAUAGAGUUAAAGGAACACUUGAGGCAAAACUUAUCCAAUCAAUCACAAAGAGGUGAUCAAGAACAACCUAAUUACUCAGGUACCAGUGACGGAUCCAGGAUUUGUGAUUUGGGGGUACUAAAUUUAUACGAUGUCUGAAAAUAUUUGUAUGAGGGUUCGGGGGCGAGAGCUCCCGAGCUAAUUAUUUUAAACAUUACGUACAAUUCAUUUUUAUAUUCAUGUAGAAUUUUAAUGAACUUAUAAUUAGAAUCAAUCACUUAAUAUAAUAAAUAGUUGUUCGCACUUCUAUUCAUCCAACGACAAGUACAUUGAAAGCAUAUAAAGACCUACUGUUACGUUUUUUUAAAAAUAUAUAUAUUUCAUAUUCCAAAAAAAUAAACUAAUUCAUUAUUAAUAGUUCAUAAUUUUACUUUGAUUCGAUCAUUGACUCAAGUUCAAUACUAAAAAUUAUCUAAUAAAUGAAAAUGAGUCAAAAAUAAUACAAAUUUAACAAAUUAAUAUAACAAAUCACUAUAAAAUAUUAAAUAAUUAACAUGAAUAUUAUAAUUAUUAAAAUGAUAUAUUAUAUUUUUUUCUUUUAUUAUAUAUAUAUAUAUAUAUAUAUAUAUAUAUUAUAUAUAUGUAAGAAAUUUGGGGGGUACAGUUUGUACCCCCCUUGUACCAAUGUGGCUCCGCCACUGUCAGGUACAAAUACACACGUCAUCAACAUUAAAUAUUUUUAUCCCCUAAGGUGGUGAUGAAGAACUGUCUAAUUACUCAUAAUUAUUUAUGUUUUCAGAUUAUACCAUCAAUCAAGGCAAAAUGGCCUGCAAAUCCAAACAAGAAUAUAUGGAUCCAACAAGAUAGAAAGUAAUGAGUGAACUAAGAUAUGAAUUACGUACUUGCAUAGUUUUAAAUUGAGGGGUUAUACUUAGUUAAUUUAUACUUGUAAGUUUGAUUAUAAGUUGCAAUUAAUAGUUUUUAAUCAGGAAUAUAUAUACUUAAAUAAAACACUUAACAGACUUAUUUUUAAGGCGAUUAGCAAAUACCUAGCAAACUUGAAAGUUCAUAUAAGAUUUGAAGGCCCAAAUUAGAGCAAAUUCGCAAGAGUUGUAAGAUAGAAACACGUGUAGCAUGUACUCUCUCCGUCCACGAAAGAACUUCCUAUCUUUCAUUUUUGGGACGUCCACGAAAGAACUUCCUACUUAUUUUUGGACUAUACCCCACCACUUAUAAUCCUCUUACUUUUCACUUUUCACAACUCCCAAUAUUAAUUAUAACACAUUUUUACCACUCUCAAUACACUCAACUACCUUUUAUCCACCCUCAAUACACUCAACAAUAUUUUUUCUUAAAACCCGUGCCACUCCCUCCUAGGAAGUUCUUUCAUGGACGGAUAGAGUAUUAUAUUAGACAAGUACUAUUUUUUAUAAGGUAAAUUUUUCAAUUUUGUUUUUGCUUUAUAGGUUUCUUGGGACAUUCUUUUAUCCCAGCCCGAGUAAGAUUUUUAGUCAAACGAUUCUUUUCUUCCAUCAUAGACUCAAGCUCUUUUAGUUGUUUUUACAUGAUAUCUCUUUCUCUUGUAACUUCGCAGCUCAGUAAUUUCAUAUUGUUUGCCCGUCGGUGUUGUCUUACUCAUGGAGUCACCCACAUCCUCGAAGAAUUCCACACUCUUGGCAAAGUGUGUUCUCACAUCCAAAUGUUUGUCAAGAUCACCAAUGGUGGGCCCAUUGUUAGCAUCCUUAGGCAGGGACGUUAGAUCAAGCCCAUGAUCAUUCACUUGUUUUUCUAUAGUUUUAAGUCCCAGAUUCGUGCCCAAUGGUGGAGCGGCAGCCCUGCUGGAGCAGUAGUUGGCACGGUUAGAGCCAGUGGAGUGCAAGGAACCUAUAUCAUCUACCUCAUCAUAACAUAGUUGAACAGUGAGAGCAUAUGUUCUGUCAUAGUGAUGUUGACCAACCCACCACCAGGUGCGAUGAAAGCCAUGUUCGGCAACCCUGCUUGGGUCAACCCAGGUGUUAUAUUGUUGGAUUUUGGGCCCAUUAGUUUGUGGGUGAGCUACAAAUACAAAGCGCUGCAUAAUGUCCAAUUCUGUGACAAAAAUCCUCCAUUCGUUUCCUUGUGAACUGUGUCUCAUUAUCAGAGACGAGUACUCUCGGUGACCCAUAUCUGCAACAAAUGUUGCGCCAUAGGAAUCUCUCGAUGGUGCACUCGUCGACUUUUGUCACCGCUUCUGCUUUCACCCAUUUAGAAAAGUAAUCUACGACCACUAUCAAGAAACAUUUUCCGCCCAGGGCUGUAGGGAGUUUUCCUACAAUAUCAAUUCCCCACUUGUCAAAAGGGCAAGUGGCAUACAUGGUUCCCAUAGUCUCCCCCGUGACAUUGAUGCGCGGGGCAUAUUUCUGACAAGCUUCACAUUUUCUGACAAACUGUUUAGCGUCUUCCACCAUUGUAGGCUAGUAAAAUCAGGGUCAACUUUUUGGCGCUGUGAAAUCUAGCAUGCUCCAACAUGGUGUAAAAAAAAUAUCACUCAAUUCUGCAAUAUGGUGUAAAAAAAUAGAACUUUUUGGCGCCGAUUUUACACCAUGUUCCUUACACUCCAUGCUCCAAUAUCACUCAAUUCUGCAUCCAAACAGUCAAAACUACACCCAACCGUGAAAUCUCGAAAUAAUAGUCAAUAAACUCUAAACGAUAAUCAAACGGGUGUAAAAUCGACUUAAACUACAGAAUAUAAACCAUAAAAAUCAUGUAAAAUGAGUGUUUAUCAACUCCCCCAAACUUAAGAUGUUGCUCGUCCUCGAACAACGAGAAGAACAAAACAAUAAACACGAAUGGGUAAGAUGAUUGGAUCAUCGAUGCCUCAGAAAAAUAAAACCUUUCGAAUUCCCUCAAAUUCUCAACACAUGAACACAAUAAUCACCAACAAGCAUAAUCAAUGACAAAUUCAACCUUGACAUUCCAACAAUUGACUCUCUGGAUCUAAGUAUUUGGCUCAACCUUGUUUUUGGUUCCUCCCCGGCAACGGCGCCAAAAAGUUGAUCACUAUUUUUAUANNNNNNNNNNNNNNNNNNNNNNNNNNNNNNNNNNNNNNNNNNNNNNNNNNNNNNNNNNNNNNNNNNNNNNNNNNNNNNNNNNNNNNNNNNNNNNNNNNNNNNNNNNNNNNNNNNNNNNNNNNNNNNNNNNNNNNNNNNNNNNNNNNNNNNNNNNNNNNNNNNNNNNNNNNNNNNNNNNNNNNNNNNNNNNNNNNNNNNNNNNNNNNNNNNNNNNNNNNNNNNNNNNNNNNNNNNNNNNNNNNNNNNNNNNNNNNNNNNNNNNNNNNNNNNNNNNNNNNNNNNNNNNNNNNNNNNNNNNNNNNNNNNNNNNNNNNNNNNNNNNNNNNNNNNNNNNNNNNNNNNNNNNNNNNNNNNNNNNNNNNNNNNNNNNNNNNNNNNNNNNNNNNNNNNNNNNNNNNNNNNNNNNNNNNNNNNNNNNNNNNNNNNNNNNNNNNNNNNNNNNNNNNNNNNNNNNNNNNNNNNNNNNNNNNNNNNNNNNNNNNNNNNNNNNNNNNNNNNNNNNNNNNNNNNNNNNNNNNNNNNNNNNNNNNNNNNNNNNNNNNNNNNNNNNNNNNNNNNNNNNNNNNNNNNNNNNNNNNNNNNNNNNNNNNNNNNNNNNNNNNNNNNNNNNNNNNNNNNNNNNNNNNNNNNNNNNNNNNNNNNNNNNNNNNNNNNNNNNNNNNNNNNNNNNNNNNNNNNNNNNNNNNNNNNNNNNNNNNNNNNNNNNNNNNNNNNNNNNNNNNNNNNNNNNNNNNNNNNNNNNNNNNNNNNNNNNNNNNNNNNNNNNNNNNNNNNNNNNNNNNNNNNNNNNNNNNNNNNNNNNNNNNNNNNNNNNNNNNNNNNNNNNNNNNNNNNNNNNNNNNNNNNNNNNNNNNNNNNNNNNNNNNNNNNNNNNNNNNNNNNNNNNNNNNNNNNNNNNNNNNNNNNNNNNNNNNNNNNNNNNNNNNNNNNNNNNNNNNNNNNNNNNNNNNNNNNNNNNNNNNNNNNNNNNNNNNNNNNNNNNNNNNNNNNNNNNNNNNNNNNNNNNNNNNNNNNNNNNNNNNNNNNNNNNNNNNNNNNNNNNNNNNNNNNNNNNNNNNNNNNNNNNNNNNNNNNNNNNNNNNNNNNNNNNNNNNNNNNNNNNNNNNNNNNNNNNNNNNNNNNNNNNNNNNNNNNNNNNNNNNNNNNNNNNNNNNNNNNNNNNNNNNNNNNNNNNNNNNNNNNNNNNNNNNNNNNNNNNNNNNNNNNNNNNNNNNNNNNNNNNNNNNNNNNNNNNNNNNNNNNNNNNNNNNNNNNNNNNNNNNNNNNNNNNNNNNNNNNNNNNNNNNNNNNNNNNNNNNNNNNNNNNNNNNNNNNNNNNNNNNNNNNNNNNNNNNNNNNNNNNNNNNNNNNNNNNNNNNNNNNNNNNNNNNNNNNNNNNNNNNNNNNNNNNNNNNNNNNNNNNNNNNNNNNNNNNNNNNNNNNNNNNNNNNNNNNNNNNNNNNNNNNNNNNNNNNNNNNNNNNNNNNNNNNNNNNNNNNNNNNNNNNNNNNNNNNNNNNNNNNNNNNNNNNNNNNNNNNNNNNNNNNNNNNNNNNNNNNNNNNNNNNNNNNNNNNNNNNNNNNNNNNNNNNNNNNNNNNNNNNNNNNNNNNNNNNNNNNNNNNNNNNNNNNNNNNNNNNNNNNNNNNNNNNNNNNNNNNNNNNNNNNNNNNNNNNNNNNNNNNNNNNNNNNNNNNNNNNNNNNNNNNNNNNNNNNNNNNNNNNNNNNNNNNNNNNNNNNNNNNNNNNNNNNNNNNNNNNNNNNNNNNNNNNNNNNNNNNNNNNNNNNNNNNNNNNNNNNNNNNNNNNNNNNNNNNNNNNNNNNNNNNNNNNNNNNNNNNNNNNNNNNNNNNNNNNNNNNNNNNNNNNNNNNNNNNNNNNNNNNNNNNNNNNNNNNNNNNNNNNNNNNNNNNNNNNNNNNNNNNNNNNNNNNNNNNNNNNNNNNNNNNNNNNNNNNNNNNNNNNNNNNNNNNNNNNNNNNNNNNNNNNNNNNNNNNNNNNNNNNNNNNNNNNNNNNNNNNNNNNNNNNNNNNNNNNNNNNNNNNNNNNNNNNNNNNNNNNNNNNNNNNNNNNNNNNNNNNNNNNNNNNNNNNNNNNNNNNNNNNNNNNNNNNNNNNNNNNNNNNNNNNNNNNNNNNNNNNNNNNNNNNNNNNNNNNNNNNNNNNNNNNNNNNNNNNNNNNNNNNNNNNNNNNNNNNNNNNNNNNNNNNNNNNNNNNNNNNNNNNNNNNNNNNNNNNNNNNNNNNNNNNNNNNNNNNNNNNNNNNNNNNNNNNNNNNNNNNNNNNNNNNNNNNNNNNNNNNNNNNNNNNNNNNNNNNNNNNNNNNNNNNNNNNNNNNNNNNNNNNNNNNNNNNNNNNNNNNNNNNNNNNNNNNNNNNNNNNNNNNNNNNNNNNNNNNNNNNNNNNNNNNNNNNNNNNNNNNNNNNNNNNNNNNNNNNNNNNNNNNNNNNNNNNNNNNNNNNNNNNNNNNNNNNNNNNNNNNNNNNNNNNNNNNNNNNNNNNNNNNNNNNNNNNNNNNNNNNNNNNNNNNNNNNNNNNNNNNNNNNNNNNNNNNNNNNNNNNNNNNNNNNNNNNNNNNNNNNNNNNNNNNNNNNNNNNNNNNNNNNNNNNNNNNNNNNNNNNNNNNNNNNNNNNNNNNNNNNNNNNNNNNNNNNNNNNNNNNNNNNNNNNNNNNNNNNNNNNNNNNNNNNNNNNNNNNNNNNNNNNNNNNNNNNNNNNNNNNNNNNNNNNNNNNNNNNNNNNNNNNNNNNNNNNNNNNNNNNNNNNNNNNNNNNNNNNNNNNNNNNNNNNNNNNNNNNNNNNNNNNNNNNNNNNNNNNNNNNNNNNNNNNNNNNNNNNNNNNNNNNNNNNNNNNNNNNNNNNNNNNNNNNNNNNNNNNNNNNNNNNNNNNNNNNNNNNNNNNNNNNNNNNNNNCCGGUGAGUAGCGUAUCACCUGCCAAUGCAUCCCAUUGAGCAACGGCGGGACAAAUACGGCGGGCAAGUGGUGUGAGCAUCCCUCCAAUUGUAAUCACUCCUCUGGUCGCGCUGGAUGCCUUAAACAACUGCUUAAGGAGAAUGUAAGUCAAAUCCAUUGGGGUGCGUGUGAGCAUCCCCCAUAUGAUGAACAGCUCCUGCCUCGUCACAUGAGUGUUGUCCUUCCUUGCCAAUACCGUAUAAGCUAAGAUGCGGUGUACCAUUCUGAGGACAGGAUUUCUUAUAUCCGCCGCAUUCGACGUCCCCGACAAAAAUGCUCCAGCGCUCGGUAGGGCUAUUUCUCUCCAGAAUGCUCCAUCAUUGAACUCGGCACCAAUAGAGUGCACGGUGUAGCCCUCUACCCUGCAAUUGAGUGCCGUGGUGAUCUCGGUCACCGCGAUAUCUGCCUCCCAAAUAUUGUUGAGCUGGAAAGAGAUGGUUCUCGGUCUGUUUUCCUUGAAGGCCGACUGAUCCAACGAGCUCAGAAUCUCCAGUGUUGCUCGUUCAUAGGUGGGCCAUCCACCGUUAAAGAUGUGGACCCACCCCACAUGGUAGAACAAGUCUCUCACGUCGUCAUAAAUGCCCAUCUCCCGGAGAAGGUCAUGAUCGGCAUACCGUGUGAUUUCAAUCCCCUUCUUGGCAAGCUUCUUAAACCGGACCCUAUCAUCGUCGGAUAGAAGGACUACCCCAUGGAACUCGGGGUCCUCCCGUGUAUAUUCGUCCGGUUGGCGUGAGCUUGAGGCGCCGGCGGUUCUACGCUUCUUUGGGGCCAUGGUACCUGGAUUAAUUGCUAGUUAGAAAUCAUGUAAACAUCCACAAGAUUUCAAAACAAACCAACUAGCACCCGCUUUCCAUCUCUCUUGACAAAAAUCAACUUCGUGCGUCUAUCAUAAUCCCCCACAUUAUGCUAAGUUUUUCAAAAGAUACAAAGCCUCAUGAAUAUUAUCAAUGCUACAAUCAACAACACAUAUAAUCAUCAAAUAAAGACCAAGCAAAAGCAAAGCAAAGACAAUAUCCCCUUGAGACUUAACAAUUCUAGAACUAGCAUGCUCUUGUGGAUUCCAUCACUCAUCAACAUCAACAACGAUCUAGCAAUAAUUUCAAACACCAACACAAAACAAUUGAUUCAAACUCCCUAAACAAUUAAGCUCAUAAAAAGUUCUAGCAUAAACCCUAGCUCUACUAACCCAUCAACAAUUUCACAAUCAAACCAAAGGAACGUAGUAAUAGCAUAGGAAUGAUACUAGAUUAAGAGUUAGAAGCACAUACCUUGAGGAUUUAGGAGUGAUUUUCGAAAAUUCAAGUGUUCUUGAGCAAAAAUCCCAAAUUCGUGAAUCUCCCGAUGUAGUGGAUGAAAACCCGAAGUAAUCGGAUGGAAUGAAAGCUAAUGAUGUGGGUAAUGAAUGUAUGGAAGGAAUUGUGAAGAUUCAAAGCCGUUUGGGAGUAAUUGGAUGAAGAAUUUUCGACCAAAAUGCUACUAUGUGUGCUGAGUGUGUGUUUUGGGUGUAAGAUAAGAAAAAUAGGGGAAGAAUCGCACUUUAAAACUGACCUGGGUAGUUCGGCGACCAACUCGGCGAUCGCCGAGUUGGUCGCCGUUUUUCGGAAAAUUUGUGAACAAAAACGGCGACCGCCGAAUUUCGGAAACAUGUUCAAAUUUCAUCCAGGGAAAACGGCGACCUGGACGGCGAUCGCCGUUUUGGUCGCCGUUUUCGGGGCUGGGUCGCCGAAUUCCGUGAUAGGUCGCCGAUUUGGAUUUUCGCCCUUUUUUUUUUUUUUUUACUGCAAAAACGAAAUACACUAGGAAAAACAUAAAAACUAACAUAAACUAACAAAAAUAAACUAAGUAAAAACGAGAAGAAAGAAACGACAAACGAAAACAAAGAAAAACAAGCAAAAACUAACAAAGCAAUAAACAUUGGGUUACCUCCCAACAAGUGCUAAAAUUAACGUCUAUAGCUUGACGAUACCUCCAAUUAUGGAUCAAUGAAAUUGACCACUUCCACGUCGUGGUCCAACUCAGCUUUGAAAUACGGUUUGAGGCGAUGUCCAUUAACAGUGAAAGUGGACCCAUUCGAUGCAAACAACUCAUAAGUCCCAUUCCAAUUGCUCUUGUGAACCACAUCUCCGUCUCCCUCUGAAAACUCGGCACACCCACCUCUCAUUCUACGGCAACUCAGGUGAUCACUAUUUUUAUAGCAACAAAUAACUGCAACUAAACAGUGUAAUUGUAGUACGCAAAUAGCAAGCAGAGUAUCGUAUCCACAGAGACUGUAACACGAAAUUGCUAUAACUAUUUCCUAAACAGACUCUCACAGUAUGCAAGUAAACAAUUAUGAAGGUGAAUUACGAACUAAAUUUAACCAAAUUAAAACUAAAGAGCAUAUAAAUAACAAUUACUUAACUCAAAAAUAUGGAAAACUCUGACCCUAGGGAUGUACUUUCACUAAUCAACUACAUAUAUUUAACCUAUUGAUUCAAUUACCAAUUUUAAUCCAACCCUGAUGAAAGAUCACUAUAUUAUUCACAAGCAUCUCUAACGACCACCUAUGAACGUAGAUUAAUUAAUCCCUUUUCGCAUUCAAGACUCCAAGGAAUAAAUUAACUCCAAAUAGCACAUAAAGAAUAACUUCAUAUAGCUUCACCUAUCGCAUUCAAGACUCAAGGCUAACACUAUAUCAUGCAUUCCUGAAUCGGCUGAACAAUUAUCGCAUUCAAGACUCAAACUGAACAGCUAAACAUGUAAAUCAUUGAUUCAGAUAAUUCACUAAGAGUAACAAUGCACCAGGAAUCAUGAAUCACAAGUUGGAAGGCAAAUUAGAUAUCAAUAAAUCAAAAACACAUAAUCAAUCAGCUAUGUACAAACCCUAGGUUCAGAUUAAAAGACUAGCCAGACAUAGUAAAAUCAAACAUAAACAUAAUUAAAUUGAACGCAAAUGUAAAAACAAAUUGUAUAAAACCGAAUUAAAACGAUUGUAGCGGCUUGAAUCUUCAAUCUUGAUCCAAGCCUUGAAAACUGGAAAUCUAAAAAGUUCUAAAGCUAUAAAACUGAAAUAUGAAUGUUAAGAACUGAAAAACUAAAGCUGGGAACCCUAGAUAGGUCAAAAGAGGACCUAUUUAUAGUCUUAGGGUGAAAAACCAAGUUCUAAACCGAAAAUAACUUGAAAAAUCGUAAAACGCGGAAGAAAACAAAACACGCCUCAAUUCGGCGACCCGUUCGGCGGUCGCCGAAUUGAUCGCCGAAAAUGGCGCAAUUAACACACGAAACGGCGAUCGCCGUUUUUCCUCCGAAGGCCAAAAUUCCAUCCAGGGAUUUCGGCGACCUGGCCGGCGAUCGCCGUCUUGGUCGCCGUUUUCACCCUUUAAAUCACCAAAAUUCGGCGGUCAACGCCCUUUGACCGCCGAGUUGCUCCUUUUUCGUCCCGACUCCAGAAUCUUCGUCUUUUCUCGAUUUUUGGGCUCGAUUCUCUCAAAACUCUUCUCUUCAACAUGUUCCUUACACUCCAUGCUCCAAUAUCACUCAAUUCUGCAUCCAAACAGUCAAAACUACACCCAACCGUGAAAUCUCGAAAUAAUAGUCAAUAAACUCCAAACAAUAAUGAAACAGGUGUAAAAUCGACUUAAACUACAGAAAAUAAACCAUAAAAACCAUGCAAAAUGAGUGUUUAUCAUCAGGGCAUCGGCGACAUUCUAACCCCCAUUCCCUCCGAUUUCCGACGACAAAAACCCUAGAUCCCCAAAUUUUAGCCCCCCUUCCCUCCGAUUUCCGACGACAAAAAUGACUCUCUUUUCUCUAUUUCAACAUCGGCCGACAGUAGCAACUCUCUCGAUUUGGAGAGGGGCCGACGGAGAGGAUGGGGGAAGGGGAGGCGGCGGCGGCGGUGGCGUGGCCGAUUUGCAGAGAUCGGCGCCCGGUGGCAGAUGGUGGGGGAAGGAGAGGAUGGAGGGCGGCAAGCGGCGGGUGGGGGAACAGGGGAGAGGGGGAAGAAGAUCGCGGGGAGGGGGGGUUAUUCCACAUGAGAAAUUUUUUUCUUUUGUUUUGUUUAAUUUUAUUCUACAUGUCAAAUAUAUACUUAGGUGUCAAUUCUGGCUGCCACCUCGUCGAUUCUGGCUGCCACAGUGGCAUUUUCGGUGCCGACAUAAGAAAAAAUCGGUCGCCGGAUAAUUUUUAGACAAAAAAUUAAAGGUUAGGUAUUUAAAAGAAGAAAAAUAAAAAUAGGUGCAAAAACUAAUUUCGUGUAAACGUUAGGGAUUUACAUGGAAUUACUCCUAAAAUAUAAUAUCUUGUUUGGUAUGAUGUAUUAAGAUUAUAUAAAGUUAAUAAUAGUUAUAAUUAAGAUUUGUAUUAUGUAUACCACCGUGGUAUACGGAGGUGGUAUACAGAAUCCCUCAAAUAAGCAUAAUAUUUUGCGGGCUUUUAAUUUAUGAAAGGCUGUGUAUUUCUUAUUACUUCUUAUUAAACAAGAUAUUAGGGUGUCAUAUGUAUAUUGUUACUGUACACUCUAAUCUCCCGUAUAAGGUGUUUUUCUUAUUACUUCUUACCACUUCCUCGCAUAUUACUAGAUCGUCCACGUAUAGUUUUUAGAAUUUGACUUGGUCGAGUUGCUCGGUCAUGUAACAAUGUUCUUUGUCGACCUGCAUGGUAAGGUUAGGUGUAAAUUCAACUAAUUAAGAAAUAUGCUAAUACUUGUGACCUGCGGGCCAUGCGCAGUUUGAAUGUGAUGUCAUGCUCGCUUAACUCCACCGCCCACUUAGUUAGUCGACCUAAGAGCUCCGGUUUGUGGAGAAUACCCUUGAGAUAUUGGUGGUUAUGACUUGGAUUGGAUGACACUGUAAAUAAGAGUGUAACUUUCUUAUGACAUGUACUAGUGCAAGAGCUAAUUUCUCCAGCUGGCUAUACCGUGUUGCUGCGUCAAAAAGAGAUUUGCUCAAAUAGUAAAUUGGAGAUUGUUUUCCGUCGUUCUACCUGACCAACACCGCACUCAUGAUUGUGUGUAGGAGUGUUCACAAUUUGAUUUAAACCGGAAACUAAAUCAAACCAAACCAUAUUUAUGCAGUUUGGUUUGGUUUAUGGUUUGAAAAAUAUGGUUUGGUUUAUAUUUUCAAAAAAUAUAGUUUAUGGUUUAGAUUUGGCUUUUAAAAUAAUAGACAUACAAAAUAUAUAAUAAUAAUAAUAAUAAUAAUAAUAAUAAUAAUAAUAAUAAUAAUAAUAAUAAUAAUAAUAAUAAUAAUAAUAAUAAUAAUAAUAAUAAUAAUAAUAAUUGUUGGGAACCUUGUGGAAUAUCCUAACCCUUGUUUUGAUGAUACCAAAAUUCAUAGGACUUAAAUGUAAUAGACUAGAAUCGUUUUGAACUCAAGUGUUAGAGUUCGUUUCUAGUUUAGUUGCGGUGUCGAAGACUGAAGACUGAAGAAUGAAGACUGAAGACUGGAGUUACCAACUGAAGUAUCAGUUGAAGAAUCAGUUGAAGACUGAUUAUUUAAUGCGCGCCAUAGACUGAUACUAAAGUCAAGUAUCAGUUGAACAUUCCUCCUAGGACUGAUCUUCCAACGUUCAGAGGAAGCCACGUACGCUCAAGUACAGCCGCAUUAAAUGCAGAGAUAUCUCAAUAUCUUAUCUCUGCAGAGGUCAUUCCUAUCUGGUGGCUACUUUUCAGAGAUGUCACAUCUCCUGUCCUUCAAAGAGAGCCGUUUCCACACAGACAAGGAACCUCGAAGAUUGAAGCCUCAGCCCAAAUUCGAAUUGCUCUCCAACGGAAGAAAUCUUGAAGACGAUUUACGCCAACGGAUCUAUUCAAGAGUCCUCCUACAAAUAGCGCUCGAGGAUCACUUCAAUCUUCACCGAUUCAACAACAUAAGCUGAAGCUCUGCCGAAAUAGCUACUCAGCCUAAAGCUUAACCGCUCAAAGCUUGAAUCGAAGAAGAGAAUUCCAAAGCCAAAAUCAGUCACUGCUGAUUACAUACAUUCUCUUAGACCCUAGGCAUAUAUUCUGUGUACCCAGAAGCCAAAGGUCAAACUUGCUUCAAAGAACUUGUUCUUUGUAAGUAUAGUUGGCACUCGUUUAAACCUCUCCCCCAUAAGAGUGUUUGAGUGACUCGGAGAUUCAGGAAGGUACUCUGAACUCUGAAAGGGAAGUCUGAGCACGAGGUGUGCUUAGCAGGGAAACCCUACGCGAGUUGUGUAGGUGCUGAAAUCCUAUACGAGGUGUGUAGGUGGGGAAACCCUACGCGAGGUGUGUAGGUGCUGAAGAGAGUUUAUCUUCAGUUUACGGUUUGCAGUGCACCAGGCAAGCACUUGCGGAGUGGAUUGUUGGUCUGAUCAACCAGCCGUGGAUGUAGGAAAGAGUUUUUCCGAACCACGUAAAAGUCUCUGUGUUAUUUACAGCUUUCAGUUUUACAUUCUUAACUGUGCUAUUUCAAUUGAUAAAACUGAACACUGACUAACAGCUAGAGAAACCCUAAUCCAACUAUCUGCUCCACCGAGGCUAUUCGAAACUAAGUUUAAUUUCCGCUGCGUAUGAUAUCAAUCUGACUCACUAUCCUCUGAUAGUAAGGAAGAGAGAUAUCAUCUUUAUCUUUGCAAACACGACUGAAGCCCUUACGUGGAUCAGUUAAGUUUCAGUGACUUAACUGAUAACUCUUUACUGAAGAGCUUUCAGUAUCAGUCGUCAACCCUGUUGGUCAAAACUAAUUUCGGUUAAACAGGUGUCUGGUUUGCAUGAAAAGUUUCUUUUCUAUCUCUGACUGAGAUCCCUCUGAUUGAGGUUGGUAGAUAGAUUAAAAAUAGCCUAUAGGUGUAUUCCCCCCCCCCAUACACCUAUUCGAGACCCCCCCGGACCUAACAAUUGGUAUCAGAGCAGGUUGUUCGCAAGAACUAUCUGUCUCUGACUAGUUCCUACUUGAACUAGAUCCUCUUGGGGGUGACGUUGUUUUUGAUCAAAAAUUUCUUCUCGAGAUUUCUCUUGUAUCUGCUUGGUUGUGUCUUUUUCUUGUUUCCUGUGUGCUUCUCCUGCUUUCUCUAACCAUGUACAGGAACAAAAAGGAUUCCUCCAGCGAUUAUGUUCAUACAUAUUUUCGAGGAAUCAGCGGAUUUGAGUUAGGAUCAUUGGACUCCGAUGAAGAAGAAAGAUUCAUCUUUCCAGAAGAGAACAUUAGUCCAACUCACUCACAAGCAGAUAUGAUACAAUGCGACUAGAGUAUCAACACCUAAGAUCGAGAUUUGAAGAUCUCCUUAGGGAGCACAGACAGAUCCUCAAGAGAUUGAUCGUGUGCAGGAUGCUCGAGAUCGUCAGGCUCCACUUUCUUUCAGAUGAAGACGAAGCAAACAAAAGAGAUGUACAGGAGCACAGACUGAUCAACAGACUGAAACUUCUUCAGUCUCAGAAACAAGAACUUCUUCAACGUCUCAAGGAAACAGAGACAGAAUUCAAAGCGACGUCAGAAGUUUUUGAAAGAGUGAUUCGUGAGGAAUCACUACUGCACAGAAGAAAGAUGGAACGAGAAAGAAGCGUGCAACAACAGCCAACGGACUCAAAAUCCAAGGAGAAUCAGUCAUAAAACUCAGGGGGAACUUACACUUCAAUCAAUGACAAAACUAGUGUCAAUCACUGUGUAAGCCUCCCUCAACAUUUCAUUUGUAUCUAUGACUACUUCUCUUUAAUACUCUUGGUUGUAUUGUGCUUAAAUUUGACUUGUCUAAAUGCCUUUCUCCUCAUUUUUUUUAAUAGACACGUGCACAUUUGCGUUAAGAACGGUUGUCACAUGAUCACACGAACCCGCCCUUUUUACUAACAAGCGGAGUGAUCCACGUGGCACGAUUCCAUUUGCACGGAUUUCAAACAUUUAUUGAAACCGCCUCUUGCACGUCUUCUCACACCUUCUUCAAAAACGUUUCAUCUUCGACCAAAGAUUUACUCAAUCUCAGAGAAAUCUUUGUGUGCAAAAUUUUUGAGUGUGCCUUUUUCUGCAAGACUAACAGCAAGAAUCCACAGUUUCUUCUCUGUGAGAAUCAAUCUUCAAGACUUUUGCAGAAAACCUCUCAAGAAACCCAUAUGGGAAAAUCAGCAUCACAACAAGUUGUGUGUUACGAAUCUGUAGCAACACUGGAAUCACUCCAACAGUUUGCUGAUUUCAAAAAGAUCGAUGAGAUCUUAGGACGACAUGGAUGGAUGAAGUUCGUCCAAUGCUCACCAAGUUUCCUUCUCGACAAACCGAUCAUCCGAGAGUUCUACGACAACAUCAAGACUGAUGAAUUGACUGGUGAACUCAAAACAGAGAUUUCUGUGUUUACAAGUGAAGAUUUCUCAGAUUCAACCAAGAUGUCCAUCAACAUAUCUGAAGCAGUAAGAGAUAUGUUCAAUCUCCCAACUGAUGGACCAGCCCCAUUCUUCAACGACGAAGAAGCCACUGAGCACACGAGGGAAGCACUGACAAGCAAUGCACAUGCCGAUCGCGUCAUCACAAAUGUACUGAGCAUUUCAAGAAUUCAUACUCAUCUCAGACCCAUUGCGAAGAUGAUCAAGAGAUGCUGGUUUGGCACUCUUGGAUCCCAUGGUCACCUCUCAAGACCACACAAACUUGUGUUGAUCGCCCUGAUGCAGAAAGGCCCAUUCAACUGGGAAAAGGCCACUUCUAUCCUCGUUUGCAUACAUAAGAGUUCAUUGAUAACGUUUUUUUCAAGGUCCGUUAGUCUGAGCGCUCUUUUAGGAAUGGAUUACUGUUUUGGAAGAAUCCUAUCUAUGUGUGUUGCUCUAUGCAAUCUGUUUGAAAAACCGUUUAUUUUUCUUUAUGUAUAUUUGCAUCUUAACUGUAUUUCCUCUCCUUUCUCCACCGUUAUCUAUGACCAUGUUUUAUAACGGUUUGUUCGUAACGUUCAUCUCCAGUAAAGAUCAUUUACAACGGUUUUGGAACCGUUAUGUUUGAGCGUAUACUAAAAACUGUUAUGUAUUAAUUUUUUUUAACUUUUUUAAUUUAUUUUUUUAAAACUUAUAUUUUAUUAAAUCAUAUCAUUUGAACUUAGUUUCCCCAUUCUACUCCACCCAAUCCGCUGCUGAACUCCCUCUUCCGGCCGCACCACCUGUCCGCCUUCCCACCGGCUCCGGCGAGGCCGUGUCCGGGCCGAGGGCGCUGCUCCUCGACUACUUCCUCCAUCAUCCAUUCUUCUCUACUAAAAUCAGGAUGAAGACAAAAGGGGAGCCCUAAUUUCCUCCCCAAAUCAGGAAACGCCGUCGCCUGAGCCGAAAUCCGGCAACCAGCGCCCUUCUCUCCGAUGUUGUCGAUGCCUCCACGCAGGAGGCCCCUUUCCUUCCAAUUUUGAGCCCUAGCUUUCAUAGAAAGAAAUACCGUUGCCGCUGCAACUGGAAGACCAGUGAAUGGGUCGGGCGAGUCGUUGUCACCUCCGCUCUCUCGUUACCUCUCUCACUCACUCUCAAGAACAGAUCUCCCUCACACACGAAGAGAAUAGAAACCGAGUCCUAGCUCUCUCUCGACUCUUUCCCAAUCUCUCGCUGCUGUUACGUUUCUCCGUCGAGCAGGUGAGGGCCUGCCGCCUCCGUCGAUCCUCCGAGCUCCGUCAUGCGUCGGAAGUUCGUCGUCGUGCCGCUCUCCUUGGUUACAGAGCAGGGUAGCCGCAAUUCUCCCCUUUCGAAGCUAGGUUUUCUAUUCCAUCCAUACAAUCUAGCCCUAAUUCUAUUUCUUACUUUUUAUUCUUGCUGAAUUCGGCAAAUUGAUGUUUGAGUUUGUACUUGUGAGUGUGAGUUACUCAUUAUUGCUGUUAAGCUGAAUAAUGGGCAAAGAUGGCUUAAUUUAACGAAUUUACGUAUUUGGUUAAUUUGUUGAACGGAGUUGGUUAUGAAUGUGUGGUGUGAUGCUAUCCUCAAUUCCUUACUAUCAGUGUAUUAUGUAUGUGGUGAUGUUUCUCCUGUACGUUUUAAGAAUUUUAUCAAGAGAAAUCUAAUAAUAGAUGAGGCACUUUCAAGAUUCAUAUAUCCUAUUUGUUCGUUGAAGUUUAUGCAAUUGCAGAAAUUGAGAUUUUAGAUUUUGGUACGUGGAAAGGAAUCAGUAGGAUUAUUUUUUAUCUGAUGUCUUGCUGGGAUCUGAUUCGUGUGAAUGUGAUCGACAGGGAACAGAGCAAAAUGAUGAGGUUGCAAACCUAUGGAGGGAUUAGUUUAAUAGCUUGAUCUAGCUUCACAUAGUUACGACUUUGACAUUGGAAGAAGAGAAUAAUGUGCUUAUUCGUAUGUCAGUCUACUUAUUUUAAAUCAAAAUAUAAUUUUGACAGUAUGUCAGUCUAUAUUCCUACUGGAAAGGUAAAGGUGUAACGUUAGUUGUUUUAAUAUGUUCUAGCCUUUUUAGGUUUCUUUUUCUCACUAAUUUGUGUGUUAUCUUAUCUGGUUUUAUAAAGAGCAUCUGCUCAAGAGGGUUCAUAGUUUUGAAAUCAAGUUGCAGGACUUACCUAAUCAUGUCUCUAUCCAGGUGGAUGAUUAUUUAUACACACUUCCCGUUAAGGCACUUCCUGGUAUUGGACAUGUUUUGGAAGAAAAAUUGAAGAAUAAACAAAUUAGAACAUGUGGCCAAUUGCGUUCAAUUACCAAGGUAAUCUUUACAGUAAUUGGGACCGAGUUUUUCAUUUGGUAUUGUUUGUCAUGGCUCUUUCUUUCAUACACAUCUUUUCCAGACUGAUCAUAAGUUGUCCAAAAAGUUCAGAGGGUAUUCUUUGGUGUUCUUUGACUAUUUCUGAUGCACUUUGUAUCUGCUCUGACCAACUUUGCCUUAGGUUUUAUUCAGAUAUUUUUCUGGGUCAGUUCUGUUACCUUAAUUCAUUAUGAUAUGAUCAAGGUAGGACUCUUUCAACUUGGAAACCUAUGACAUACUAUAUGAAUAGUAAGUAGUAGUUUACACAAGUUCCCACAAUCCCCCACGUCUCUCUCUCUCUCUCUCUCUCUAUAUAUAUAUAUAUAUAUAUAUAUAUAUAUAUAUAUAUAACAGACUUGAGCUGCGCAAAGGAAACUUAUUAUCCAUAAUUCUGGCCAGCAUAAUUUGUAGUGGGAGGAUGUGUUAUGGGUUGAUCUUUCACCACUUAUUUCUUAUUUAAAUAUAAAAAAGGGAAUAUUAGCUAGAGUUUAGCAGAUUGAUUUGAAUAAAAAUGUGCAUGUUAUCUGCUUAUUUGGUGCUUUUCCAUCUGGAAAUGGUGGCAAGUGAAGUUGAUUGUUGUUAUUUCUUGGUCAUCCCAGAACUUCAUUUUCCAUUUAUCACUAGCUCAGAUAUAUUAUCUCCACAAGCAUGAAUGUAAAUUGUGGAAAUGCUAGAAAUUAGGAAGCCCUCUCUUGAUGUAGUAAUAGAUUCUUAAAUUUGGUAAUGAUCAUACAUUCAUACUUACAAGUUACAGCAGUAUUCCAUUGUGUUUCGACUGCAAGUGUUUCAGGUACACUACAAAGUUGUGGUAAAAUUCGUCAGAUUUCUAGUUCAAGAUUAAUAAGUAGUAAUCAAGAGUGUUUAUUUGCCAAUAUAACAUCCACUUUAUCUCAAUCAGCUAGCUGUAAGGUGUGCAAUAUUGUCCUGUCAUUGAUAUCUUUCUAUCAUACUAUGUCCAGAGGCCACCUACUUUAUUAAACAAGGCACCAAAAGAGAGAAAAGAGAUGGUAACUAUCUCUCUGAAUCCUACUUUCUCUGCUCUUGUUAAGUUUUGCUAUUAAUUAACUUCAAAAUAUCAGGACGAAAGUAAGAGCAAAAAGGGCCUUGCUGAACUUUAUGAAUCUCAACGUGUUCUUAAAGCAUUGGGGAUGGAUUAUUUAGAGAAGGCUGCUGAUUAUGAUGCUUUAAAAUGCUUCAGAAAAGCUUAGGGCCUUAAAUCUGCUAUGCAUUCAUGUUCUUGGAACGAAGUAAGGACCUUUUCCAUUUUAAGUUAUUACAUGCCACUCCUUUUUAUUCCUCACCUAGCUAGAUUCUCUUCUGCUUCUUAUGUAUAGAAAGCUAAGAAAUUGGAUAGAAGACCAAAACAAACAAUUUGAGCAGAAGACAAAGGAAGCUAAAUCAAAGGUUUUUGAUGCUACAUGCAAGGUAAUCAAACAUUCUAAUUAGUAAUUACACCAGUUGUGAAACUAGAUUUAUAUCAGCUUUCUCCCCCUUCUCAUACUAUACUCUCAACAAAUAAAGUCUUCGCAGCUGAAAAUUAAAGGUGACAUUGCCAAAGCAAUUGAUGCUAGGGAUGGGGAGCGGGAAGCUCGUGCAAAGCUGCUCGAGUCAGAGGCGAUGCUGAUGCAAAGCUGCAUUAAUUAUUCUAUGCAGCAUAUUAGUUCUAACCGUUUUCUGUUUGUAGGUGGCACCUCUGGCCGUGUCUGAUGCAGCUAUGCUAGCUCCUGAAGAAGUAUUUUCUGGUAAAGGUGACAUCAAAGAAGAAACUGAGCUAACAAAGGCAGAUAGAAAGAGGAGAAGGGCAAAGAAAAAAAGACAGUUUAAAGGUGAAAUAUUGAUUUGAGUGUUUUCUUGCCUUUGCCGUCUAAUGUGAUUCAUGAUGUAGUGUGAAACAAAAGUCAACAUAUUGUUUGUUAUCUUUUUCUUGUCCAGUUUUCUUUUAUUUCACAUAUUUUAUUUGGAUUAUUUUUCUAUUGGCAGGUUGAGCUUGUGUGUCGGGUUCUCUCCUAAGUUAGUUGCUGCAAAUUCAUCAUAGCAGGUCAACUAGUUCAUGAGGACUUGGUGCUAGAACACAUAAUAUGAUAGAUUUUUGUUUUAGCUAUAAGAUAGUUGGUACUUUCAAUUUUGAAUCGAAAUAUGCAAUGAUCAUAUGUACUUGAUACUUGGUUCAUUUGGAUGGUAAUGUAUGAAUAUUUUGGAUGAUAUAUAAUAUUGUUAUUGGUGAUUUUAUCAUUUUGUUGUUUUAAAGUUAUUUAUUUAUUUCUUGAGAUAAAUAACAUAAAAAUCGAGAAAAAAUAUUAAAUAUGCUAGUUGUAGUUGAAAUACAUAACAGUAUAAAAAGUACAAAAAAAUCGUUAUGUAUUUCUAUCAAAGAUAACGGUAAAAACCGUUAUAAAAAGUAAAAAAAACUGUUAACUAUGAUAGAAAAAAACAAAAAAAAUACAAAACAUAACGGAAAAAUCCUCAUACAUAACGGUAAUAAAUCGUUAUGUAUAAGCAUUAUAGAUAACGGUUUCAUACCGUUAUGUAUAGAAAAAAACUGUUAACUAUGAUAAGGAAAAAAAACAAAAAAAAUACAAAACAUAACGGAAAAAUCCUCAUACAUAACGGUAUAAACCGUUAUGUAUAAUCAUUAUAGAUAACGGUUUCAUACCGUUAUGUAUAGAAAAAAAACUGUUAACUAUGAUAGGAAAAAAAACAAAAAAAUACAAAACAUAACGGAAAAAUCCUCAUACAUAACGGUAUAAACCGUUAUGUAUAAUCAUUAUAGAUAACGGUUUCAUACCGUUAUGUAUGAGCGUCUCGUACCGUUAUCUAUUCUCACAUACAUAACGGUUUUUAAACCGUUGUCUAUGAUACGUAUCAUAGAUAACACCACUAUACACAACGGUUUUUUUGCUCAUAGAUAACGGAUAAAAUCCGUUAUCUAUGAGCGUUUUUCUAGUAGUGGGGGAAACUAAGUUUCAAAUGAUAUAAUAAUAAGUUUUAAAAAAAUUUAAAAAAAAUAAUUAAAAAAAAUAAAAAAAAUUAUACAUAACAGUUUUUAGAUACGCUCAAACAUAACGGUUCCAAAACCGUUGUAAAUGACUCUUAUACAUAACGGUUCUUUAACGUUAUGAAUAAACCGUUAUAAAAGAUGGUCAUAGAUAACGGUGGCUUAACGGUUUUGUAAUACCGUUAUGUAUGCAACUAAUAGAUAACGCAAAAAGAUAACGCAAAAAACCGUUAUCUAUGCUAUAGACAACACUACAUAGAUAACGGAUUUUUCCAAAACCGUUAUCUAUUCCUAAAAGUGCGCUCAUACAUAACGGUUUUUGAAAAAAACUGUUAUCUAUGCACUGUUAUGUAUGUAAACUUUUGUAGUAGUGCCUUUAACUCCCCUACUACUUCACUUCACAUUUCGAUUAAGAAUCCCAAUUCAUGUUCAUGUAUCUGUGUAUAUGUAUAUAUAUUAGCUGCAUAACUUUUAAAAGAAUCACACGCAUACAUGUGUAUCUGAGCUGCGCAUACUCUAUUUAUGUUUAUGCUUGCAUACAAAGGAUGUAUGUGUUAAGAAAAAGAAGAAAGGUAGAGUUUUAAUUAAGUAGGUGUUGUUCUGUGUUGGGUCUGAGGUGCCGAGUCGGAGGGGUUGUUGCUGUCGGCAGCGACCUCGUCGUUUGUCGUCGGAGUGAGAGAGAAUCAGGGGUAGAGAAAGUAAGGGCGGUGGUGGCCGAAUUGGGGAUCUAGGGCUCGGUGGAGGCGUGGCCUGUAGGUUCCGUUUGUUGGAAAUAUAGAUGUUAUAUAUAUGUGGGAGGAUUUAGUUUUUGAAAAUGUGUAAAGUGGGGUGGACGUGUGUUAGAAAGAAAAUAAAGAAAUUGAUAUCAAAGCUUCCAACUUAAUUUUAUUGCUUCACACAUCAACUAAUGGAGCACAAUACAUAUUUAUAGAAGUAUUAUGUCGGUGAUUACUAGAUCACCGACUUCAACUUGUGGUUUUAAUUAGUUCUUCUAGAUUGAUCUUCUAAUUUUAUUUCCUAAUUCCACACGUGCACUUUAGCUAGCUAGGAGAUUCUAGAAUAUUCUUUCUUUUUCUUUUGUUUAUACAAAAUAUCUUUAUUCCAGAUAUUUCCUAGCAAAAUAUCUUCUCCUAAAUCAAGUUUAAUUUAUUAUUCCAACACUCCCCCUUAAACUUGAUUUAUCAUUCCGAGCAAACUUCUCAACUUGAUAAAAUCUUCGUACUUGAGCGGCUUUGUGAAAAUGUCGGCAACUUGAUCUUGUGAUUUCACAUAUUCCACUUGAACCUCCUUUUUUGCAAUGCAUUCUCUGAUGUAGUGAAAGCGGGCGUCAAUAUGCUUGCUUCGAUUAUGAAACACCGGAUUCUUUGAGAGCGCGAUUGCCGACUUGUUAUCCACACAAAUAGUUGUUGGCUCCUUUUGUGGCCAUCCAAGCUCUUCCAAUAAACUUCGUAGCCAAACUACAUGGCAAACACUAGAUGUAGCAGCCACAUAUUCAGCUUCACACGUUGAUAGCGUAACUAUGUGUUGCUUCUUGGACAUCCAGGUGAAAGCGGUGUCUCCCAUAAAAAACACGAACCCGCUCGUACUCUUGCGGCCAUCAUUAUCUCCAGCCCAAUCGCUAUCACUAUAGCCAACAAGCUUAUAAUCAUGAGUAUUUGAAUAGAAUAGGCCAUAGUCGAGCGUACCUUUGAGGUAGCGAAGAAUUCUCUUUGCUUCCUUAAAAUGCGUAGUGGUUGGAUUCUCCAUAUAGUGACUCACGAGUCCUGUCGCAUAAAGAAUGUCCGGCCUUGUGCAAGUUAAGUAUCGUAAACUUCCAACCAAGCUCUUGAACAAUGUCGGGUCCACCUUUUCUCCUCCAUCAUUCUUGGAUAAUUUUAUCCCGCAUUCCACUGGCGUGUUGAUUGCUUUGCAGCCCUCCAUCUUGAACUUCUUGAGGAUUUCCUUGGCGUAACCUUCUUGUGUGAUGAAGAUCCCAUCUUUGAGUUGCUUGACUUCCACGCCGAGGUAGUACGCCAUCAGCCCAAUGUCUGUCAUCUCGAACUCCUUUGACAUGGCCUUCUUGAACUCUUCGAUCAUCUUUGGAUUAUUUCCUGUGAAAAUCAAAUCAUCGACAUACAAGCANCAAUACAUAUUUAUAGAAGUAUUAUGUCGGUGAUUACUAGAUCACCGACUUCAACUUGUGGUUUUAAUUAGUUCUUCUAGAUUGAUCUUCUAAUAUUAUUUCCUAAUUCCACACGGCACUUUAGCUAGCUAGGAGAUUCUAGAUUAUUCUCUCUUUUUCUUUUGUUUAUACAAAAUAUCUUUAUUCUAGAUUUUUCCUUCUACAAAUCAAGUUUAAUAAUUUAUUAUUCCAACACUCCCCCUUAAACUUGAUUUGUCAUUCCGAGCAAACUUCUGAACUUGAUAAAGUCUUCAUACUUGAGUGGCUUUGUGAAGAUGUCUGCAACUUGAUCUUGUGAUUUCACGUAUUCCACUUGAACUUCUUUCUUUGCGAUGCAUUCUCUGAUGUAGUGGAAGCGGGUGUCAAUAUGCUUACUUCGAUUAUGAAACACCGGAUUCUUUGAGAGCGCGAUUGCCGACUUGUUAUCAACACAAAUAGUUGUUGGCUCCUUUUGUGGCCACCCAAGCUCUUCCAGUAAACUUCGUAGCCAAACUGCAUGACAAACACUGGAUGUGGCAGCCACAUAUUCAGCUUCACAUGUUGAUAAAGUGACUAUGGGUUGCUUCUUUGACAUCCAGGUGAAAGCAGUGUCUCCCAUGAAGAACACGAAUCCGCUUGUACUCUUCCGAUCAUCAUUAUCUCCAGCCCAAUCGCUAUCACUAUACCCGACAAGAUUAUAUUGAUUAGUACUUGAGUAGAAUAGGCCGUAGUUGAGCGUACCUUUGAGGUAGCGAAGAAUUCUCUUUGCCGCCUUAAAAUGCGUAGUGGUUGGAUUUUCCAUAUAGCGACUUACGAGUCCUGUCGCAUAAAGAAUAUCCGGCCUUGUGCAAAUUAAGUACCGUAAACUUCCAACCAAGCUCUUGAACAAUGUCGGGUCCACUUUUUCUCCUCCAUCAUUCUUGGAUAAUUUGAUCCCGCAUUCCACUGGCGUGUUGAUUGCUUUGCAGCCCUCCAUCUUGAACUUCUUGAGGAUUUCCUUGGCGUAUCCUUCUUGUGUGAUGAAGAUCCCAUCUUCGAGUUGCUUGACUUCCACCCGAGUAGUACGCCAUCAGCCCAAUGUCUGUCAUCUCAAACUCCUUUGACAUGGCCUUCUUGAACUCCUCAAUCAUCUUUGGAUUAUUUCCUGUGAAAAUCAAAUCAUCUACAUACAAGCACACAAUUAAGACAUCUCCUCCAUUGGCUUUCACGUAGAGAGCAUGCUCGUGAGGGCAUUUGGUGAAACCAUUCUCCUCCAAGUACUUAUCGAUCCUGCUAUUCCAUGCCCUUGGUGCUUGUUUAGUCCGUAUAGGGCCUUCUUUAACUUCAAGACUUUAUCUUCUUGCCCUUUCACCUCGUAGCCCAUUGGCUGCUUAUAUAGACUUCUUUGUCUAUAUACCCAUUCAAGAAGCUGAUUUGACAUCCAUUUGAUAAAUCUUCCAUCUAUUUUGGGCUGCAAGAGAGAGUAUUAGUCUAAUAGUUUCUAAGCGAGCGACGGGAGCAAAUACCUCAUCAUAAUCGAUUCCAGCUCUUUGACUAUAUCCUUUCACGACAGCCUGCUUUAUAUCUUUCACUUCACCCUUGAAUUCUUCUUAACUUUAUACACCCACUUGACUCCAAUGGCCUUUGCCCUUUUGGUAGUGUCACGAGCUCCCAUGUAUCAUUCUUCUUUAUGGCUUUGAUCUCUUCAUCCAUCGCGAUCGCCAAUUUUCACUAUCUGCUGCUUCUUCAAAGCUAACAGGUUCACAUCAGCAAAUAGGCAAAAUAAGGUAAGAUCUUCUAACCUUUCAGUAUCCUCAUAUAUCUCGCAAAUCCUUGCUCGUGGUGUGGCUCUUUCAUUUAAGAAAGAUGGUGGCGAGUCUUCAGUGACUGCACUGGUGAAGCUGGUGGAGUCACUGCUCUUGUUGGACUUCUCCAACUUCUCUUCUGCUCUUUGUUCUUCUAACUGUGGGAUUAGGUGAAGUCACCUGGCUGAAAUCCCAACUCCUUCUUCGUCGAACUCCACUCUCACUUAUCACUGUUUUCUUGGUAUUUGGAUUAUAUAACUUAUACCUUUAGAGUUAGAGUCGUACCCAUAAAAUGAAUGCUUCACUUUUGUCAUCGAGCUUCUUCUUCUCUCAUCUGGUACAUGCACGUAGGCUUUGCUCCAAAUACCUUUAGGUGGGAAAUUCCUGGCUUUCUCCCGCUCCAGGCUUCUUGUGGAGUCAUUCCCCACACGCUCCUUGUCGGCGAUCGGUUGGAUAGGUACACCGCGCACGCCACUGCUUCGGCCCAAAACUCUUUAGGCAGAUUCUUCGUCUUUAGCAUGCUUCUCGCCAUCUCCAUAAUUGUUCUGUUUUUUCUUUCCGCCACUCCAUUUUGUUGGGGGGAUCUCGGAACUGUCAGGGGCCGUCGAAUUCCAUUUGCUUCGCAAAAUUCUAGAAACUCCCUUGACGUGAAUUCUCCGCCUCGAUCGGACCUCAUUGCCUUGAUUUGUCGUCCGCUCUCCUUCUCUACGGCAGCUUUGAAUUUCUUGAAUGCAUCAAAUACUUCUGACUUCUGCUUCAAGAAAUAUACCCACGUUUUUCUAGAAAAAUCAUCAAUGAAUAGCAGAAAAUAAUUAUUUUUACCGAGGGAGCUUGGAUUUAUUGGCCCACACACGUCAGCAUGAAUCAACUCCAGUGGCUUUUGAGCUCUUGAGCUUGACUCCUUUGGGAAUGGCUUUCUGAACUGCUUCCCGAGUAGACAACCUUCGCAGAGUUGAUCGGGAUGCUUGAUGGAUGGUAGGCCUCUCACCAUCUCUUUCUUUGAUAGCAACUCCAAGCCGCCAAAAUUUAAGUGCCCAAACCGAAGAUGCCACAACCAAGACUUAUCUUGGUAACACGCUUUCAGGCAUUUUGCCAUGUCAUUUCGAAUAUUCAAUAAGAACAUUCUAUUUUUAGACAUUGGCACCUUGGCAAUAAGAUUAUUUUUGCCAUCUCUUAUUGAAAGGUUAUAAUCUCUCAUGUGAAUAUCAUAACCUUUCUCUAAGAGUUGUCCCAAACUCAAGAUAUUAUUUUUCAUAUUGGGCACGUAAUAAACGUUGGAAAUAAAUUCAUGAUUUCCAUUCUUCAAGCGAAUUAAAAUUUUCCCUUUUCCUUUAACUGGAAUUUUAGAUUCAUCACCAAAGGAGACGUUGCCACUUACCGACUCAUCGAGCUCCACGAACAUGUUUCUCUUCCCGCACAUGUGAUUGCUAGCACCAGUGUCGAGGUACCACGUGUCAUGUCUUCCAGCUUCUCCUUUAUAUGCCAGAAGCACACUACCAUUUGCUUCGCUCGUGUUCUCGGCAUAAUUGGCCUUUUCCUCAAUCCUUACUUUUUCACUUCUGCACUCGGAAGCAUAGUGCCCAAAUUUAUGGCAAUUAUAACACUUUAUCGAAGAUUUAUCGUACCUCGACUGCGGGUUGCUCCUCCCCCGACCACUUGUAAACUCAUUUCUUUCACCACUGUUGACGAAGCCUCCUCGUCCUCGUCCUCGUCCACGUCCACGGCCUCUGCCUCGAUCUUGUCCUUGGCCACGUCCUCUCCCGGACUGUCCAUGGCCAUUGCUCGGACCUUCUUCUUUUUCUUUCGGGCUUACUUGCAACUUUAAAAGUUGCUCUGAAAUCUCUUGCUUCUUCUUUUGCUUCUCCUCAUAUGCUUGCAGCGACCCCAACAAGAGAUCGAUCGUCAUCUCCUCCAAAUUUUUAGUUUCUUCGAUCGUCACCACAAUGUGCUCAAACUUUGGGGUUAGUGACCGCAAUAUUUUCUCCAUAAUUCUUACAUCCUCCAAUUUUUCACCAUUUCUUUUCAUUUGAUUAGACACCGCCAAGACUCUUGAAAAAUAAUCCGAAAUUGAUUCGGACUCUUUCAUAUGCAAAGACUCAAACUCUCCUCUUAAAGUUUGAAGUCGUACCUUUUUUACUUGCUCCGCUCCUUUGCACGCGUUCUGGAGCUUCUCCCACGCUUCUUUGGCGGUGCUCGCGUUUGAGAUUUUCUCGAAAUCAUCGUCCCCUAGCGCUUGAUAAAUGAGACAGAGAGCCUUCUUGUCUCUCUUUCUCGCGUCUCGCAAUCUAUCCUUUUGUUGUUGGGAUAGUGCGGCCUCGUCCUGCGGCUCCUCGUAGCCGUUCUCCACGAUCUCCCAAACGUCGUGGGCUCCUAAUAGCGCCUUCAUCUUGAUGCUCCAAUUGUCGAAGUUGCUCUUGUUGAGCAUGGGGACUUGAAACGAUUGUAAAUUCGCCAUACCAUAAGUAGAAUCUUGUGGCUCUGAUACCACUUUGUUGGAAAUAUAGAUGUUAUAUAUAUGUGGGAGGAUUUAGUUUUUGAAAAUGUGUAAAGUGGGGUGGACGUGUAUUAGAAAGAAAAUAAAGAAAUUGAUUUCAAAGCUUCCAACUUAAUUUUAUUUCUUCACACAUCAACUAAUGGAGCACAAUACAUAUUUAUAGAAGUAUUAUGUCGGUGAUUACUAGAUCACCUAUGUCGGUGAUUACUAGAUCACCGACUUCAACUUGUGGUUUUAAUUAGUUCUUCUAGAUUGAUCUUCUAAUUUUAUUUCCUAAUUCCACAUGUGCACUUUAGCUAGCUAGGAGAUUCUAGAAUAUUCUUUCUUUUUCUUUUGUUUAUACAAAAUAUCUUUAUUCUAGAUAUUUCCUAGCAAAAUAUCUUCUCCUAAAUCAAGUUUAAUUUAUUAUUCCAACAGUGUUUCCGUCAGAUCUAGAGGAGAGGAGAGUGAGGGUAGCGACCGUGGCUUGAUGCGGUCGCCAGAUAAAUAGAGAGAGGGGCAGAGUAGAGAGGGGUAGAGCAGAGUGGCAGAGCAGAGCGAGAGGGCAAAGCAGAGCGAGAGUGAAGAGCAGAGCUAAAGAGCAGAGCUAGAUGGCAGAGCAGAGCUGAAGAGCAGAGCUAAAGAGCACAACUAGAUUGCAGAGCGGAGCUAAAGAGCAGAGCUAGAUGGUAGAGUAGAGCCAGAUGGCAGAGCAGAGCUGAAGAGCAGAGCUAGAUGGAAGAGCAGAGCUGGGAUACCAGAGUUGAAAGACCAGAGCUGGAGAGCAGAGCUGGGAUACCAGAGCUGGAGAGCAGAGCUGGGAUACCCGAGCUGAGAAACCAGAGCUGGGAGACCAGAGCUGGUUGAGCAGAGCAAAGUAGAGCUGGUUGAGCAGAGUAGAGCAUAGUAAAACAGAGCAGAGAAAGGGGAGGAAGACGGCGAUCUCGCCGUAGGCUGCCUUUAUUAUAUUUUGGGCUUGUGCAUAUUUUAAGUAAACACUUAUAUGCUUGAGUAUAAAUUAAGUCAUGCAUUGCAUCAUGAUUUAAUUGGUUUUAUAAUUCCAAUUACAAAAGAACGACGAGUAAGAAUAUUGUUGGUGUUCUUAACUCAAGAGAAUUGUUUUCAAUUAUUUAUUCUUUAAAUUUUGAAAACCCGGCUAAGUGAAUCAUAGAAUGUUAACCACUUUACCGUGACUUGAGUUUACAUUUAAGAGACCUAUUAAGAAUAGAUUUCUUGUAGGCCUUGAACAUCAAGAGGAUUAGCACUGCUAUUUCGAUUCAGAGAUAAGAUAUAAACGACAGGCAUUGCCUAUUCAGGUGGGCUUAUUUUCCAAAUGUAUGAUUGAGCUAAUGAGCUUAAAUGUUUCAUGAAAUACAAACUGUUUAUCCAAUAAAUAUUUUUGUGCACUUUACCAUGUUUAAGGCUCGCCACAACGAAUCAAUUGAGGUUCUCUUAUAGCCUAACACGUUAUUUGAGAAUUGUGUACACUUGUUAGCUGACUCGGUGGGUUGAUCUCCAUCGAGCACUAACCAGAGGCGUUAUAAGGGUGCUCAACGGGAUGUAUUCCGGAGCAUAGUUUAUGAUAGGCCUGUCUGGAUUAAUUUCCGAGGUUUAUUUUACUUGGCUGGGUUACGCCCUCAGUUCAAGUCAGCGGGAGACAGAGAUCCGUCGGUGGCUAAAUGGUCCGGGAUCACAGCGAGUAACAGAAUGGAGUGUGCAAACGCGCGCAAAAUAAUUAAGUAUAUUAUGAAAUGUUUUAACAUGCGUAGAGGUUACUUCACUUCAAAACCUUCUAAGUCAUGUCAGUAUGAUUGGAUAAACUGCUCUUCAGAUUAUGAAAUGUUUCAAAAGUUGCAACCCACUAAGUACAUUAGUACUUAGCCCAAAAAUACUUUCAAAUGUUUUUCAGGUUAAUGGCUGGUGCUGACGGGGCGAGCUGAGGCUAGAGUUUAACUCUUUAUUUUGACUCCCGCUGUAGAACUAGCCAAUAUAUGUCUUUUGUUUCCUUAACUUAAGACCAUUAUGUUGUGACUCUAAACAAUAUCUUUUGUUGAGCCGAGACUAUUAAUUCGCAAGUAUUUCAUUCUAUAAAUGUUGGUUAUCUGAAGCAUGACACUAAACUUGUGAUCCUGAAGUUAUUAUGUUUGUUGAUGGAUUCAUAUCACUUGGAUACCUGUCUUUCUUCAUCCAAAGGGGCUAAACCUGAUUUGAGAGAAAGAAUUGUGCAAGCACAAAGAGAAGAUUGGUUCUUGGAGAAGAUGUGUCUUGCUGCAAGAACGAAUGAAACGAAAGGCUUCACUGAAGCAAAGAAUAAUGCACUAGGGGUAUGGUGAAAGAUUGUGUGUACCGCACAAUGAAGAAUAAAAGAACGAGAUUAUGAGCGAGGCUCAUGAUACUCCUUACACUGCACAUCCAGGCAGCACAAAGAUGCACCAGGAUUUAAAGACAAUUUUCUGGUGGAAAGGAAUGAAAAGAGAUAUAGCGUUGUUGUGGAGCGAUGUCUCGCAUGUCAACAAGUUAAACCCAUUCCUGAGUGGAAAUGGGAGCACAUCAACAUGGACUUCGUAGUGAGCCUACCAAAGUCAGCACGUGGAAACACUGCUUUUUGGGUCAUAGUGGACCGAUUGUCAAAGUCAGCGCACUUUCUGCCAAUUCAAAUGACAUUUGGAUUGGAGAAACUUGCAAGGUUAUAUGUCAAAGAGAUAGUACGCCUUCGCGGUGUACCUGUAUCUAUCACGUCAGAUCGUGACAUCAGAUUCACAUCGCGUUUCUGGAAAAGUUUACAAUAAGUAAUGGGCACUCAACUGAACUUCAGCAUAGCGUACCACCCUCAGACUGACAGGCAGUCAGAAAGAACGAUUCAGAUUCUAGAAGAUAUGUUGCGAACGAUUGUCGCAGACAAAGGUGGAAGUUGGGAGGAUUUGUUACCUCUCGUGGAAUUUGCUUAUAACAACAGUUAUCAAGCAACAAUUGAAAUGGCUCCAUAUGAGGCCUUGUAUGGCCGAAAAUGCCGUUCACCACUUUACUAGGAUGAAGUGGGUGAAAGAAAGCUGUUAGGUCCUGAGCUGGUCCAACAGAUGGUUGAGAAAGUUGACCACAUCAAGCAAAGAAUCAAAGAAGCUCAAGAUAGACAAAAGUCUUACGCCGAUAAACGCCGAUCGGAGUUAGAAUUCAAUAUUGGGGAUCGAGUUUUCCUCAAAGUUUUUCCCUCAAAUGGAGUUAUACGUUUCGGAAAGAGGGACAAGUUACGACCCCGUUAUAUAGGAUCUUUUGAGAUCCUAGAUAAGAUAGGCCCUAUAGCCUAUAGGUUGGCAUUGCCGCCUAGUAUUGGAGACGUGCACAAUGUGUUUCAUGUCUCUCAGUUAAGAAAGUAUGUGUUUGAUCCAAAGCAUGUGAUUAAGAACGAUGAAGUGGUCCUAGCUCAGGACUUAAGUUAUGAAGAGAAACCAGUCCAGAUACUUGAUCGCAAGGUUCAAGUUUUACGGAACAAGAAUAUUGUUCUCGUUAAAGUAAGUGGAACCAUCACGGGAUGAAGAGGCCACAUGGGGAACUGAAGAUUCAAUGAAAGUCAAAGUAUCCCAGCUAAUUAUCAAGUAUGUAAUUCGGGACAAAUUUUUUUUAAGGAGGGAGGGAUGUAAUACCCCGUUUCCUCAGCUAAGUUUAGAAUAUGUGAACUUAGAUUUAAGAUGAUUACGCCAUUGAAAAAAGAAUUUAUUUUAAUCCAACAAAAAUGAUUUACAAAAGCAUUUGUAAAAUUUAGUUAUUAAAUUUAUAUGCAUUGCAUAUUUAUUUAAUUAAGCAUUCAAGCAUUUAUACGAGCUAUUUAUUUAGCAAAGCCUGACGAAUAUUACAGUCCUGAUAUUUUAAUCCUAAUAUUUUUUUCCUGAUAUUUUCGCUCACCCUACACCGCCUUACUAUUUCUCUCUCCUCACCUUUAACUCCUCCGCAAGCUCACUCAAACAAUAGCCAAUUAUUUUCUCUCAACACCACUCUCUCGUUCCAACACCCCGGACUGAGCUUCAAGAACAGCAGCCCAACAAAUUCAAGCAGUCGACCAUCAGAAUUUGAGUAAACCACUAAAGGUUCCACCUUUAACUCCCCUGCUACUUCACUUCACAUUUCAAUUAAGAAUCACAAUUCAUGUUCAUGUAUCUGUGUAUAUGUAUAUAUAUUAGCUGCAUAACUUUUAAAAGAAUCACACGCAUACAUGUGUAUCUGAGCUGUGCAUACUCUGUUUAUGUUUAUGCUUGCAUACAAAAGAUGUCUGUGUUAAGAAAAAGAAGAAAUGUAGAGUUUUAAGUAGGUGUUGUUCUGUGUUGGGUCUGAGGUGCCGAGUCGGAGGGGUUGUUGCCGUCGGCGGUGACGUCGUCGUUUGUCGCCGGAGUGAGAGAGAAUCAGGGGUAGAGAAAGUAAGGGCGGUGGUGGCCGAAAUGGGGAUCUAGGGCUCGGCGGAGGCGUGGCCUGUAGGUUGCGUUUCCGUCAGAUCUAGAGGAGAUGAGAGUGAGGGUAGCGGCCGUGGCUUGCUGCGGUCGCCGGAUAAACAGAGGGAGGUGACGGCGCUUCGCCGUUGCCAAGGAGGUGAUCGGUGUGAGCUGUACUGGUGGGCUGAGAAAGAGAGAGUCGGCGAGUGUUCAGAAGUUGGGAGAUGAGAGUAGAGAGGGGUAGAGAAGAGUAGAGAGCGGCAGAGCAGAGCGAGAGUGGCAGAACAGAGCGAGACGGCAGAGCAGAGCGAGAGUGAAGAGCAGAGUGAGAGGGCAGAGCAGAGCGAGACGGCAGAGCAGAGCUAAAGAGCACAACUAGAUUGCAGAGCAGAGCUAGAUGGCAGAGCAGAGCUGAAGAGCAGAGCUAAAGAGCAGAGCUAGAUGGGAGAGUAGAGCUAAAGAGCAGAGCUGGGAUACCAGAGCUGAGAGACCAGAGCUGGAGAGCAGAGCUGGGAUACCCGAGCUGAGAAACCAGAGCUGGGAGACCAGAGCUGGUUGAGCAGAGCAAAGUAGAGCUGGUUGAGCAGAGUAGAGCAUUGUAAAACAGAGCAGUGAAACGGGGGGAAAGGUGGCGAUCUCGUCGUAGGCUGCCUUUAUUAUAUUUUGGGCUUGUGCAUAUUUUAAGUAAACACUUAUAUGCUUGAGUAUGAAAUGAGUCAUGCAUUGCAUCAUGAUUUAAUUGGUUUUAUAAUUCCAAUUACAAAAGAAAGACGAGUAAGAAUAUUGUUGGUGUUCUUAACUCAAGAUAAUUGUUUUCAAUUAUUUAUUCUUUAAAUUUUGAAAACCCGACUAAGUGAAUCAUAGAAUUUUAAGCACUUUACUGUGACUUGAGUUUAGAUUUAAAAGACCUAUUAAGAAUAGAUUUCUUGUAGGCCUUGAACAUCAAGAGGAUUAGCACUGCUAUUUUCCAAAUGUAUGAUUGAGCUAAUGAGCUUAAAUGUUUCAUGAAAUACAAAUUGUUUAUCCAAUAAAUAUUUUUGUGCACUCUACCAUGUUUAAGGCUCGCCACAACGAAUCAAUUGAGGUUCUCUUAUAGCCUAACACGUUAUUUGAGAAUUGUGUACACUUGUUAGCUGACUCGGUGGGUUGAUCUCCAUUGGGCACUAACUAGAGGCGUUAUAAGGGUGCUCGACGGGAUGUGUUCCGGAGCAUAGUUUAUGAUAGGCCUGUCUGGAUUAAUUUCUGAGGUUUAUUUUACUUGGCUGGGUUACGCCCUCAGUUCAAGUCAGCGGGAGACAGAGAUCCGUCGGUCACUAAAUGGUCCGGGAUCACAGCGAGUAACAGAAUGGAGUGUGCAAACGCGCGCAAAGUAAUAAGUAUAUUAUGAAAUGUUUUAACAUGCUUAGAAGUUAUUUCACUUCAAAACCUUCUAAGUCAUGUCAGUAUGAUUGGAUAAACUGCUCUUCAGAUUAUGAAAUGUUUCAAAAGUUGCAGCCCACUAAGUACAUUAGUACUUAGCCCAAAAAUACUUUCAAAUGUUUUUCAGGUUAAUGGCUGGUGCUGACGGGGCGAGCUGAGGCUAGAGUUCAACUCCUUAUUUUGACUUCCAUUGUAGAACUAGCCAGUAUAUGUCUUUUGUUUCCUUAACUUAAGACCAUUAUGUUGUGACUCUAAACAAUAUCUUUUGUUGAGCCGAGACUAUUAAUUCACAAUUAUUUCAUUCUAUAAAUGUUGGUUAUCUGAAGCAUGACACUAAACUUGUGAUCCUGAAGUUAUUAUGUUUGUUGAUGGAUUCAUAUCACUUGAAUACCUGUCUUUCUUCAUGCAAAGGGGUUAAGCCCGAUUGUUAUUCAUUUUAUUCGGAUUUCACAAGGUUUUUCCCUUGUUCAUUUUAAAUGAUGAGUCGUACCUAGUUACAGUUAUUGUUUCAAGAAUUGAGGUGUGACACCUUGGCACCCGUAAGCCAAGCGGGAGUUCAGACCAGGGUUCUGACGUCAGAGGCUGAUAGGGCACGAGUAUGUCUAAGCGUGCUAAGAGUGAGUGAGAAAUCCAACUCAAAGUGGUGUUGGUAUGUUUGCUGUGCACCUAUAUGCAUUAGCCCAGAGUGUUUGUCAGACUAAUCAUCUGGCUGUGGAGUAGGAAUGUUGUUUCCGAACCACGUAAAAAUCCUUGUGUUCUUUAUCUGCUUUCAGUUAUUCUUUUAUUUGUGUUAAAUCUGUUUUCAACAGAACUGGAUUAACUGAAAAGUGUAACUAAGGUUUUUACAAGUGACAAACCUUUUCUAAAGGCUAUUCGCACUAAGGGCGUGUUUGAUAUUGGCUAAUACACUGUAUUAGCUAAUUUAGUACAGAUCAGUCUAGUGUUUGGUAUUAUUUAGUAACAAUGCGGAUGACUCGGUUUAAUCCCUCGACCCAGUAUUAUUAAUCCAGAUUUCUUAGGAUUAAUAAUACCACCUCCCCCUAGGAUUAACUUAAACCAGGAUAUUCUGUAUUUAGCCAUGAUAGCAAACACCAACUCAGUAUUAAUAAUCUGUCAUUAUCCACGCUAAAUAUUCUGGUUACAAAUUAUCUUACAUAAUCCUUUACUGAAAACCAAACGAGCCCUAAGUUUAAAUUCUACUGCUGAGUUAUUAGUCUAACUAAUCAUAUAUAAGAUCGAUAACUCUUGGCCUCCUUUCCUUUGCCUUCAAUCCCUUGUUUUCUGCUCAUGUGGCUUCCAUCUAGGCCUCCUACCCGAACAUGACUCAAUCCCGCGCGGUACUCGAUGUGGGCACAACUUGGGCUGUGCCUCUGUUUGAAGUCGGGUACUUAUCUCUUUCGCGGAAUGGAGUCUGUUCCCUCCUUAUGCCUCCUGCACGCUUCCUGUGCCCAAAACAUGCCCUCCCAGUCACAAAACACACACACAAACAAGCAAAAAGACUCGAUCUAAACCUAAAAACAAACGCAAAAAGAACACGAAAAACGGGCUCAUCAAUGUCUAAAGUGAUUUUUCUUAUUUAUGUUUUGAAUCUGCCAAACUUGAACCCUAUUUGUGCAUUUAACUUUAGACAUUCAUGUCUCCUAAACCAUGAAUCAUUUUUGGUCAAAUCCAACUGGAGAGUGUUCUAAACUCUUCCUAGAUUUUGAAUCGACCUUUGGAGUCCCCAGUGCACCUUUGUAAUGACUAAUGGGAGAUGUGAAUUUUUUAUGAAUACCUACUGACUUAGUUUCAAUCUGGAAAUCUGAAAUAUCCACAUUUUGCUUGAUGAACGCCCAUCUUUGAGAGGGCCUAACUUGCUCAUUUGAACUCCGAUUCAUUCGAUUCAAAUUGGAGAAUGAUCCUUGAAGUUCCUAGUUUCCGAAAUGUCCAUCGGAGCCUCAUUUGGAGAUCCGAGGAAGAUUUGGUGUCUGUUGCAAAACAGCCUCUGAAGAGCUCAAAUUGUUGAAUUAUUUUCUAAGUAUGAAAGUUGAUUUUUAAAAAAAGAUGUUUAUGAAAUAUUAAGUAUAUGUGCAUGAUGAGUUUAAAACAUGUUUUAUGCAUAGUUUUCCUGAAAAACAAGUGAGUUAACCUAAAUAAGGCAUCAAGAUAAGCUAAUGUAUGAAAAAUACAUAGUCUUUAGUUUUGAUUAUGUAUUGUAAGUCUGGAAAUAGGUUGACCCAGAGACCUUAAGUAGACAACAACUCUUGUUAUCUAUGGUAUGUGCUGAGUGUUAAGUACUCGUCUUAUAGGAAUUGGUCCAUAGGACGGUGCCACAGCUUAAGAUCACCUCUCUCUUGCACUCCGGGGAUCAGGUGGGUUUGCUUUCAUAUAUAUAUAUAUAUAUAUAUAUAUAUAUAUAUAUCAAAUGAUUUAAAUAUUACAUUUGAGCAAGUUAUUUCGUUGCAAAAUCUUUGAAUUGAAAAUUAUUUCAACUACUGACUUGCCAUAAAUGUUUCAAUUUUAGUAUGAUAUCUAUCUGCAAUUAGUAAUCGAAUUCGGGUCCUAAGCAGUAGAUAGCUAUCCUGCCAGGGCUAGUGUACACCAGUGACCGUGAGUCAUCUAGCGGGUUGGCCGGUCAAGUGUCCGUGAGAGGUGGCCACCUCUCCGGCACACAGCUUCAAAUAUGAUAGAUUACAAGAGAACUUAGUCUGCACAGACGAACUUUAAUAUUCACAAACGAUUUCAAUAGGUUUGGGCUCCUUUAACGAAAAAUCCCUUGUUGUACUGUUUAUGAUGGCAUGACAAUUCACAGUUUUUAUUUAACAUGUAUUUUUAUACUUAGGCAUACGUGUCCAGUGAGUACUUUUGUACUCAGCCCUGCAUAUAUUUCUAAAUGUGCAGGUUGAGUAGCUGCCGGUGGUGAUGAAGUGACGAGCGGAACCCUUUUAUCUUAGUUUUAUGUAUUAAUGAACUCUGGGGAUACAUGUCUUCAUACAUGUAAUCAAAACCCUUAUUCCGCUGCGUACUCAGAAGUCUUAUGUUAUUUUGGCUAAGUUGGAGUUAUCCGAACUUACUAGUUUAUUUGAGUCAAUAUGACUAAACCUCCGUUAUAUUAUAAAUGUUUCUUUUUGUUAACAACGAUUAAAUACGAUCAUUCCUUAUUUAUUUACCCCUUUCUAUCCCCGCUUCUAAUCUCCCUUCCUUAGUCACGGUUUCCCCAGCUUAAUUAUCCUUAAUUAGGUCCGGUCAUGACACAUAUUCACCCAUGGCCAAUUGUACGCUGCUAUCUCACGAGUCACUAGGAAAAACGGUCUCAAAAUUUUAAUAUGUGACGAGGAUGAUCAAAUGCAUAACACAACAAUUAACAUGGUGUACGAUGAAAUUUUUGAUAAAUUAUAAGGUAAGUAUAUACAUAGAUACUCUUCUUGAUAUUUUCUAAUCAGUUAAAAAUAUCCCAUUUGAUAUUUUUAAAUUUAGGAUAUAGUUAUUCAUUAUUUUCAUUAUGUUGUAGUGUUUUUUGUAACAUUUGGCACUGCCUUGCUUUGUCUCAGCACUAUUCGGAGAGAGCAUCUAGAAGUUUAGUGUACUUCUUGCACAUCCAACUGUAAGAAAUUUAUCUGUAACGCCUGAUUGUACUUGACAAGAUGUUCUUUUCUAUCUUACGCAUACAUGUUUUAAGUUGCUUAACAUAACAUAUUGUAUGUCCCCUUUAUAUUAUUUUAUUUAAUAAAAUUGUGAGGCUUUCACUUUGUUAGAACAUCAUUUUUACGUUGAUGCUCAAACACAAUUUCAAAUUGCAUGUUCACAUUUUGUGAAAAUAAAUGGUCUUUACAUUUUAAUCUCAUUAUUUGUUUAUGGUUUAUGUGAUAAGGAACGUUGACUUGCAUGCAUAUGUCUACUAAACCCUUAACAUUGACAUCUAAAUUUAUUUUAUCAAAAAUAAGCAAUCACUUCCUUAUAUACAUAUUUAGUUGUUUAUUUGUACACAAAUAUUAUUAAAUUUUAAAAUAUAUAUUGUUCAUCUUUUUUCGUUUCUUACGGAAAAAAGAUGUGGAAAGAACAACAAAAGACCUACUUUCUAAUAUACUUUUCUAUUAUACUUUGAAAUAUAAUGUGAACUUAUUUUUUAAUAUUUUUUAAUACUCCUCCGUCCCAGGUUUUGGUAUCCAGUUGAGAACGGCACAGGUUUUAAUAAAGUGAUUGAUGUGUUGUGAGUGGAAUAAGGAUCCCACAUUUUAUAUGAGAGUUUAAAUAAUUAAAGUGGAGUAAGGGCCCCACUUACUUUUACUAAAAAUAGAAAUGGAUACCAAAAUAUGGGACAACCAAAAAAGGAAAGUUGGAUACUUAAUGUUGGGACGGAGGGAGUACUUUUUUUUUNUUACAAAUCUUGAUAGUUCUCCGCCGUUUGCGUUCAGCACUGCCGCGUGCCUUUCAUCUCAACCCCACACUCGUAAGCUCAACCCCACACUCGCAAGCUGGCCGUCUCUAGGAAUUCCGACAACAAAACGACGCACAUCCACCCCUCGCACUCCACCAAAGGAAGAUCGAGAAGGGAGUGAAUGGAAGACUUCUGCGAAUUCGAGAGGCCAAUUUUUUGGGUUUGCCACAUCAAUUGCGGCAGUUUUUCAAGCUUCUGCUCACAUUUGACCCCAAUUAGCUUGUGGAGAUGCUUCGACAACGUUGUUUUCUCAACCAUCAUUUUCAGUUUAGCUUUCAUAUCUCUCAACUCCACCAUAUUAGCAAUGGCUGUCGAGAAUUUUGAGCAAUGGAUAAAUUUUCUUGAAAUUGAUUCGAAAAGAUUGAAUCUUUUUUCCCUCUUUUUAAUCUUGCUAAUGUUUUUUUUAGAGUAUAAUCUUGCUAAUGUUAUUGUGAAUGUGUGGUGUCCAGUUUCGUUAAUUUCCGUCGAUAGUUGUGUAGGUCUACAAAUCAGAAUCAUUGUAAACAUUAAAAAUAAAUUUUGUUUGCAGGAAAUACGAUGAACAUUCCUCCGCGGCCGCCGCAACGUUUCUAGCGAGGGAGAUUUACUCUCCCCAUUAUUGCGUGACUAGACAAUAUUCAGGAAAUGGCAAGCCUGCGAGUUUGGGAGUGGGAUGAAGGACGACGGAGAACUGCCAUAAUUUGUAAAAAUAAAAGAAAAAUAAAAAUACUAAACGAAGUUAAACGAAUGUUAGGGAGGAGGGUUUAAUUGCACCGAAUUUGAAAUAUAGUGAGUUUGAUUGAUUCAAUAUCGAGUAUAGAUGACUAAACGUCACACAUAUAUAUACAUAUAUAUAUAGAGAAAUGUUAAACAGAGAAUAAUAAAUAUGUAGAGAAAGGAGAAUUAGUCUGGAGCAUCCAAAAUUACAAAUCCAAGGGCUGAUUUCUUCCUGUUUAUUUUCCUUAAUUAUAGCCGAAAAGGCUAUAUAUGUAAUUGUUCAAUUUUAUGCAGUCCGUUAAUUAAGAUUUGAAGAUUUGUAAUUAUCUACUUAUUUUUGGUAAGAUAUUAUACAUCCAAAUCUUUAUAUUUCUUUUAUUUUAAACUUUGACUGUUGUGUAUAGAAUAUAUGUUCACGUUAAUCUUUUCAUAAUCUGUACAAUAUAUUUAAUUUUUUAUGUUCGCAAUUUUUUUAUGCUUAUUCGAAAUAUUUUAUAUUAAAUAUGUUCCGACAGCAAGAAAUAUUCGAAUGUUCUAUUUAAAUGUUCGUAAUUUUAUUAGGCUUGUUCGAAAAGUUAUAUGUCAAAUAUUUUAUAUCAUCAGAAGAUUCGAAUAUUUUAGUUUAUAUGUUCGUAAUUUUUUUAAAGCCUGUUCGAAACAUUUUAUGUUUAAUAUUUUUAAAAUUCUCAAUCAUAUAUAAAUAAUAUUAUUCAGAAAUAUAAUACGUAACGAACAAUCACAAUUUUUCAAAGAACAAAAUAAAAUAUUUCAAUGAACUGAAUACAAGUUUUAAUCAUAAAAUGCGAAAAAAAAUGUUACACUGAAUAAAGUAAUAUUUAUCAUGAAUAUAAUAUAAAAUGAACAAUCAUGACUUUUCAAUGAACACAAUACAAUUUCUAGAUGAACAUAUCAAAAAAUUUUAAAUGAACAAACACAAUUUCUGAACGAACAGAACACAAUUCUUCGAUGAACAGGAGUCUAGCUGAAAAAUCAAUCUAACAGUCACGAUGCUUUGGUGGUUCGCCGUAGACUCCAUUGUGCGAAGCAGCAUUUGAUUCUACGAACACAGAUAUUGUGGAAGCUUUCUUUUUUCAGCAAACUUGAACGAAUUGAACGAAGCAGUAACUUUUACAUUAAAAAAUCUGGAAAUCUGAAAAUUUUGGUUUUGAACUUUCGAAAGCCCAACAUCGCAUAGCUAAAGACUUUUAAUUUUCUGAAAAAAAAUUCAAUCUUCAGCAAAAAACCCUCUAAAUUUUCGAACAAGUUCAAUUCUUCAAAACAUAAAAUCUAAAAC
rnacentral:lncRNA from 1 species